rnacentral:lncRNA from 1 species
UUGAACAUGGGAUGAAUGAGAGAGUUUGUAGCAACCUAGCAUGGUGCUGUCAUGGAACCUGCAUUUGUGGAAUCUGAACAUCUGGAAAUCACUCUAGGUGAACUCUGGUAUGGUGAGAUCAUAACAAGAGUUUCUUCAUUUGAGCCUGGAGUUCUUUCUCGAUGCUUAGACACUUCCAUUCCAUACAUUUUAUUAGUUGGCACAGCACAAAACCAACCAUGGUGGCUCUAUGUUAGGAGGUGGAAGUUGUGCAUGCCAUUGCUGUCUUUAAUGAUUUCCUGACCGAAUUCACAUCGAACUUUCCUUGAAUCCUUCAAUCCAAAUUAGUUAUUACAUCACCAUUCUGGAACUCAGGAUUCACCCACUCCACGAUGUGGACAAGAUCAUCACUUUCUAUGAUUGCAGCCUUGCAGGUUGGCCGGUAAAACUCUAAAAUUCAACCUUUGAUAAUUAUAGUACCUGCAGACAAUAAAAAGCAAUCAUAAAUAAACCACACUGGUCAUACAUUUGUAUUUAUAACAUGAUAAACAAUCUAAUAGAACACGGAAAUUUGAACAUACUUGCGAUCAAGAUAACCCGCUCCGCCCAUGAUCAAUGUCAACACAGAGGUCCCAUUAUCACUGGAAAAAACCAUGGACAGACCAAAACCUGCUCUUUUCGCGUCCAAGUUUUCGUUGUACUGUGCUUGCUCUCCUCUCUUAAUGCAAUUCUCCUAUUGGAUUCCCUUCUUGAGUGUAGCUGGAAUACAAAUCCAAUUUAUCUGUGAUUAACGUAUUCUAGAUAACUCGACAUGAUUUUAUUCAAGGAUGAAAGAUUGUAGAAAGAAGGUGCAUAUUGACUCAACAGAUUACCUUACACAAAAUUGGUCUCAUAAAAGUGUAUCUGCAUCAUAACACCAUGUGGAACAUGUCUUAGAACAUAUUCGAAUGCACAUUGGACGUUAUAACAUAUACAGAAUGACCACGGAUUCGUAAACAGUUGCAAAUGUACUUCUAUUUACUCAUAUUUAAGGAUUAAAAAACUUAAUUUCCACAAAAGUCUAAAGUGCUGUUCCAAAAAGAUUGUGAAAGCAAAGAAAUUAAUGUUCUUCCACGAGGCUAGAAAGUGUAAGACUUUGCAAACUAAAUGCAACUAAGACAAAAGAACAGAACCAAUCACGAAUUACUGUUUCGGGAAAGAAACCUACACUUGACUGUAGGAAAUGCGGGAAAUCUUGGGCCAGUCGAGAAGUUGCUUCUUUUAAUUUAGAACACAACAGUAAAAUUUGGACUGGCUUCCCUACUGUCGAUAGAUACUUCAGGUUCCCACAACGGUAAGUAGAUAGAUCGUCGACACAUGAAAGGUUCCGUCAUCACUCUGGUAAGACCCUUCUGAGUGCCAUUGUUGAUAGUAUUAGUAAUGAUCCAAGUAUUGCAACAACAAUAUUCUUCUUGAGCUUGCUUGAAUCUGAUUUAAAAAUAACUUAUCAGCAGAUAGAAAAUAUAAAUUCUGAAGGACGCAAUGCCAUUCGCUUUCGUUAAAGGAAAUGCUAACCUAUUGGGCACUCUCCAUGAACAAACUUGCACAGAGCAGUAGGACAAGGAAACCAGUUGAGAUCUUCAUCUCUCUGUCUCAUUGCAGCCUAUGAACUACCAGGUAUUUAAAACGCGUGACAAUGUCCCGACCAAAAAAACAGAAAAACGUAUGAGUGUGGAUUUGUAACCUCAUGCUGCACAAUGAUCCUUAUUACAUGGGGAUGCUUAGUGUACGUCAAUCAAUGGAUAAUGCAAUGUUUUUUUCUUUUUUUUGGAAACGUGGAUAAUGCAAUGUUCAUACUAGAGCAAUUUGGUCAAGCCAACGUAUUUUCUAGUCAAAGCAUUUCAAACAAUGUUCCUGUUAGGGUUAUGUGCUGUGAUACAACUCGAAGUAUUGGUCAAAAGUGAUUAAGUUGAGGACAAUAUAGAUACAUACUAGUAUGUAGCCUACACUGAUUCACUGCACAACAGAUCCCACACCCAGUUUUAGCCCACCAAGUUUUGAACAUGGGAUGAAUGAGAGUUUGUAGCUACCUAGCAUGGUGCAGUCAUGGAACCUGCAUUUGUGGAAUCUGAACAUCUGGAAAUCACUCUAGGUGUACUAUGGUAUGAUGAAAUCGUACAAAACCCAUGCUGCAGUCAUGGAACCUCCAUUUCCAAACGUUGUGUUAGUUGACACGACACAGCAAAAAACCCAUGCUGCAGACCAAAAAAAAAGUAAUCAUUAACCACUAACUGUUCUUACAUUUGUAUUCAUAACAUGAUAAAAAAUCUAAUAGAACAAGGAAAUUUGAACAUACUCUAGAUCAAGAUAACCCGCUGUGCCCAUGACUGAUGUCACCACACGAGUCCCAUUAUCACUGGAAAAAACCAUGGACAUACUGAAAUCUGCUAUUUUCGCGUCCAAGUUUUCAUUGCGCUGGGAUUGCCUCCUCUCUUAAUGCAAUUCUCUUACUGGAUUCCCUUCUUAAAUAGGCUGAAAUACAAAUCCAUUUCAUCAUUGAUUAACGUAUUUUACAUAACUUGACGUGCUUUUAUUCGAGGAUGAAAGAUGGAAGAAAGAAGUUACAUAUUAACUAAACAGAUUACCUUCCAUAAAAUUGGUCUAAUAAAACUGUGUUAGUUUGGUGAUCAGAUUACCCUGUACAAAAGUGUAUCUGCACCAUAACAAUCAAAUGGACCUAAGACAAGAGAACAGAACAUAUCGUUAAUGACUGUUUCGGGAAAGAAACCUACACUUGACUGUCGGAAAUGUGAGAAAGGUUGCAUUUUCUUUAAAUUUAGAACGCCACAGAAAAAAUUGCACCGGCUUCCCCACUGCUGUAGAUGCUUCAGAUUCCCACUGCUGUGAAAAGAUAGAUCGUCCGCACACGAAAGGUUCCGUCAUCACUCUGGCAAGAGCCUUUUGAAUCAUCAAGUGACAAUGAUUCCGAUUCUGACUAAUAUCCCGUUUACUGCAGAAAACGAGAGUGAGUGAACAAUAUUGGACAAAAUAUACAUGGAUAAUUGAUUGGAAAUAAAAAUAAGGGCUCCAAAAAUAAAAAUUACCUCUGAUAACUGGAAUGUGAGAAAUCUUUGGCCAUUAUGCGCCGUCCUUGGUCCAUCUUUCCUUGAGAUGGGGACACCUUUGAAUCUCUAGCUUAUGUAAUUUGGUUAGGCAUUGCAUAGCUUCGACCGUAGGCAGAUACAUCAGAUUCUCACACCAGGAAGUUUCCAACUCUGUAAGAGAUGUAAGGUUGCCCACACUGAUUCACUGCACAACAGAUCCCACACCCAUUUUUAACCCACCAAGUUAUGAACAUGGGAUGAAUGAGAGAGUUUGUAGCUACCUUAUCAUGGUGCCUUCAUGGAACCUGCAUUUAUGGAAUCUGAACAUCUGGAAAUCACUCUAGGUGAACUAUGGUAUGGUGAAAUCGUAACACAAGUUUCUUCAUUCGAGCCAGUUUCUUCAUUUGAGCCUUGAGUUCUUUUUGGAUGCCUAGACACCUUCAUUUCCAAGCAUUGUAUUAGUUGACAUGACACAACACAGAACCUGCACACAGUGAGAAGAAACACAACCUUGUACAAAAGUGUAUCUGCACCAUAACAAGUAACAACUAUGCGCAACAUGCCUUAGAACAUAUUUGCAAACCAAAUGGAACUAAGACAAGAGAAGAGAAAAAAUCAUGAAUUACUGUUUCGGGAAAGAAACCUACACUUGACUGUUGCUUGUUUUAAUUUAGAACGCAACAGUAAGAUUUGGAAUGGCUUCCCUACCGCCGAUAGAUACUUGAGAUUCCCACAACGGUGAAUAGAUAGAUGGUCGAUUCAUGAAAGGUUCCGUCAUCACUCUGGUAAGAGCCUUUUCAAUCAUAAAUACUGCAGAAAACGAGAGUGAAUGAGGAAUUUUGAACAAAAUAUACAUGGAUAAUUGAUUGGCUCCAAAAAUAAAAAUUACCUCAGAUAUGGAAUGUGAGAAAUCUUUGGCCAUUCUGGGCCGCUGUCCUUGGCGCAUCUUUCUUUCAGUCGGGGACACGAAUAAAUCUCUAGAUCAUGUAAUUUGGUUAGGCGUUGCAUAGCUUCGACCGUAGGCAGAUACAUAAGAUUCUUACAAUCCCAAAUUGACAACUUAGUAAGAGAUGUGAGGUUGCCCAACCACUCUGGAAGAGCCUCCAGACCAUCGAAUCUCCAAAUUGUCAACUCAGUUAGGGAAGCAGAGUGUUGAAUAUGCUGAGGCAGAGACUUGAGCUUAGGCCACCCGUACAAUCCUAAUUUUUUCACUUUCGAUGGGACCUGAAAAUCAGGGAAAGAAUCGAGCUCUUGGCAGAAGGCACCGAUACACAACUCUUCCAAACGAGAUAGAGAGUGCAGCCCCUUGGGCAAAUAUUGUAAUUUCCCACAAAUAAAUACAGAUAGAGAGGAAAGAGAUUGCAAGCUGGACACAUUGUGGUCCGCCAGAGAUAUCAAAUUGGAGCAGAAGCUGACACGCAAACGGGUUAGAGAUGUGCAGUAUGCAAGCCCACUCGGUAGACUUAUUAAUCCAUCACAUCCCAAAAUAUCCAAAUUAGUGAGGGACGUGAGGUUGUCUAAACUGGGAAUAGCCUCUAGAUUAGGGCAAUGAUGGACACGCAAAGAGGUAAGAGAUGUGCAGUAUGCAAGCCCACUCGGUAGACUUAUUAAUCCAUCACAUUGAAAAAUAGUCAAAAUAGUAAGAGAUGUGCAGUAUGCAAGCCCACUCGGUAGACUUAUUAAUCCAUCACAAUCCAUAAUAAUCAACUCAGUGAGGGACGUGAGGUUGUCUAAACUGGGAAAAGCCUCUAGAUUAGGGCAAUUCCGUAUUUCCAUCUUCUCAAGAGAGACGGGGGUUUGUAGCCCAUGACCCGACAAAGUCCUCAAAUUUCGACAAUCUGAGAUAUAUAGUGUGCGAAGACUAGUACAAGAAUGGAGCCCAGUACAAGAAUGGAGCCCACUCGGUAUACUUGUGAAUCCAUUGCAAUCUUUAAUUCUCAAUUUUACGGAGGGAUGUGCAAAAAGGUCCGUUAAAGAGUAAGGUCCCCUCAAGAGUAGGGCAAAGUUUAAGGGCAUAACUGAAUUUUGAAGUUCUCUUGGGCAAAUAAUUUCCCAAUAGAUUUGCCAAAGAUUUAUUCUUUAAUUUUGUCCUUGAAAUAUUGAGAUACCUCAGGUUUCACUUUCAAUUGAGAUGGGCAACUCCUCUAUUUUAGCCUUGUAUAAAUUCAACGUCCGUAAAUCUCUGAACCUUUCAAACAUGUUACUGAACUCAAAGUGUGGUGGAGGAAACAACGACCGCAGUCUCCCAACGCUCCCUUGUAGAAAUCUUUCAAGUGUUGUGGAAGAAAUCCGGGCAACAUGCUGAAUCUGAAGUGCUCCAUCGUCCAUCCGAUCCGAGUCUUGCGUCAAGCUUUCAAAUUUGAAUACUUCCUCAGCAAGAUCAUGCACAAGAUCAUGCAUCUUGUAUUUGGGAAUAUCAUACUCAUAGGAUCUAGCAUCUUGAAAUAAAGAGUUUUGCAAUAGAAUGUUAAAAUAUUCAUUACCUUUAUCUCCAUGGAAGAAAAUGGAGAUAUCCUUGAGCUGAGAGCUGGAUCAUCUUAUUCUCACAAUCUUUUUCAUCAUUGAGCAAUAUGCAAAACAUUGCUUCAAUGAAAAAUCAAAAGGUCCUUCAAGAUUUGAUUUGGUUCUUUCCAGCUUCCAGAAUUGGAUGCCAAGCUCCUUAUCAUUUAUUAGUUUCUAUAUUUUGAGAAAUAUUGGCUAUAAAAUAAUAACAACUGCUUGAACCCACUGUUAUGAGGAACAGUGAAAGACUGCUCUGUAGAAGAAUGCUAAGGGACUUGCUAUCCAAUAAGAAUUGGUCUCAGAAUUAAUUGAAAGAUACUUUAUUAGAUCGGUAAAAUAUAAGUUUUAAUUUUUUACCUCAAUAUUUUUUAACUAAAGGGAGGGGAGGUUCAGCUAAACUCAAUCGAAUCUAAUUUGGUUAAUCGAGAUUCGCCAAUCCAUAAGAUUUGAACUAAUACCUUCCUUCCAUAUGAAGAGGAAUAACCAUGAUAUGUAGUACUAAGGGGCAUAAGGUCAAUUGGAUACUUAAGAUAACUGAGUAAUUGAAUGGUUCGUAACAAUGCACUAGGAAGGGUAGUAUUUUGAAGGAGUGCUUUGAUCCACAAUUUUCUAGAGUGUUUACAUGUAUAUAUAAGGUUAAGAUUCGAACACCAUUGUUUUGAAACAUAUUUUAACAUAAGUUUUGUGGCUUGUUUUUGUAAUUUUUGUUCAAAAGAUCUCAAUCGUUUAUAAUUAAUCAUUCAUAGAUUUUCUUGUAAAAUAAUUAGCAAAUCCAAUUUCAAUUAUGACUUUUUUGUAGUGAAGAAAAAACCAAUACGAUCUUACAAAGAUAACACUAAAUUUUACGCAGUCGCGCGAAGCACAAUGAACUAUUUUUCGCCUUUUACUAAAAAAACACUAAAUUUGAUCCUACUAUCAAUCAUAUUUUUUUUGAGUGAUUUUUUUUUAUAAUGAUGUUAUUUUUUAGUAUUUUGAAGGAUGCUUUAAAUUAUAUUUCAGUAUUUGUUUACCCUAUAGUGUAUUUUUUAAUGAUUUUUGGUUUAAAUGACAGCAUUAAUUCACAUAUAUUCAUUAACAUAAGUUUUUGUGUCUUCAAAAUGGAUAUUUGUAUCUUUUAUUAUAUAUAUUAUAAUAUGUAUAUAUAUUUUAUAUAUAUAUUUUCUUAAUAUUAAUAUAAAUUAUAUAUAUAUAUAUAUAUUAAUUCUAUUCUGAAGAAGCUUUCUAUUUUUUCAGAUAAUAGGAUCCCUUAAUGGUCAUCUAUAUUUAUUUAAUAUUUUUUUUUUUAAUUUAAUUUUUCUUAUUUUUUUUUUAUAAUUUUAUUUUAAGUUUUUAUUUAUUUUUUAAUUUUUUUUUUUAUGGCUAAGGUAUAAGGGAUCCAUUUUUUUUUAUAUAAAAUAUAGGGGAUUUUUAUGGGUCUCAUUCCACAUUUUUUUAAAUAUUUUGGAUCUAUUAAUUGCAGUUAAUUACCUUAAUAAAAAUUCGUAGGUUUGGGUCACACUUGUUAUUUUGGAAUUUAGAGUUUCGAUCCCACGAAUCAAUUUUUAUAAAAAAUGAGGAAUAAGCAAGCCAAGGUAGACACAUUUUUGUCAUUUGUACUUCUAUAAAUAGGAGCUCCAGCUUUGCUGGGUUUUCUCAGGACCUACCCAAUCAGCGGCUAUCCUAGGGAUAUAUUCCUUGGUUUGCUGAGACAUUUAUGUUAACUUCUGUGAUAUGUUGAUUUGGUGAUUGCUAGUAUGAAUAGAUGAGCUAGAAAUCAUAUUAGAAGUAUUAUGUAGAACUUGUGUGUCUGUAUGACAAGAUUUAGUUUUCAUGUGAAAUGGAUAAUGUACAUACUCACAUUGUAAAUCAUAGGUGUUGAUGUAAGAGAUAUGAUGUGUUUUGUGGAGGAUGUUGUUAAUGCACGUACCACUAUGUAGUAGUGUGAUACAUAGGUGGUUCCACCUGGUUAAUCCGCAUUGGAAGACCACACUAUUAGAGGCAUGCCUAUGGUCCAACUAGGUUAAUCUGCAUUGGGGGACCGUACAUAUUUUAGAAGUGACUCUGCCAGGUUAAUCCACUUUGAGGGGUCAUUGCCUACUUAGUUACAUUACCUUCAUAGGUGGUCCCGCCUGGUUAAACCGCAUUGGGAGCCUACACUAUUAAAAGCGUGCCUAUGGUUCCGCCUAGUUAAUUUGCAUUGGAGGACCAUAUGUCUAGGGGUGAUCAUCCUUGAUAUAUCUACAAUGAGUGAUCACUAUCUACACAAUUAAGUUAUGCCUAUGGUUAUGCUUAAUUAAUCCGCGAUUGGGCGAUGCCAUUUUAGAUAUAUUCUAUUCGAUCUAUGCUUGAUAUUAUCUGUAUUUUCUCUGGUCGACUACUAAUCCUAUUAUUAUAGGAUGGGUGUUCUUUGGUUAUCAACAAUUGUGAUCAUUGCUUGGUAAUCAGGUGAUGGGAGUGUGUAUUCAUUGCUUUCUACUUGAUUAUUAGAUUAUUCUAUGGCUCUGCUCGGUAUAUCCGUGAUGGGAAACUAUAUGCAUUCUAAGGGUAGUCAUGCUUGCUUUGGUGUAUCAUGCCUUACACUAUUUUAGGUUAUGCAUAUGCUUUUGCUUGGUACAUUCGCAACGGCGAACUAUACGCACUUUAAGGGUAUAAUCGGAUGGGUGCAUGCUACUGAAGUAAGAUAGUGCUUGAAAAUUAGCGAUGACGAGUGGUUGAGUGGUCUAGAAUCCCAUCUCUUGUUCGGUUUCGUUGAAUUAAUCAGAAACCCUAGAUUCUUGUGAAUAGAAAUUGCUCAAGGUAGACAUUUGUGUUUGUAAAUUAGGGUUACAAUAUUGCUUGAAUCCAAGUAGGGAUAUGCAUAUAUUUGUUCUAUUAAAUUUCAUGAAUUGAUACUUGAUCUUGUUGGUUAAUUAAUGUAACCACUAACCAUGCAUCUUUAAGUCAUUGAACCAAUUAUUUGCUAUAAUUUUGGAAUUAUGUUGGAAAACAUUGUGAUAUAUGUGAUUGACGAAAUGACAAUCCUGGUUGUGAAAUUGUUGCCUUAAGUAGCCUGGAAUCUAGUGAGCCAUGCUUGUUAAGUCCCAUCUAUGUUUCUUGCCAUUUAAUGCCUUGAGAAAUUUUAAAACUUACAAGAAAUGUGAACUACAAAUGGCUUAAUCCCGUCUUUGAGUACAUGAGACAUAAAGGUUAGAUGCAUCCGUGUGAUAAAAGAGAAGUUACUACAUUAUUGACCUGUUGGUUUGUUUUUUGCCAUGUCUUAGAAGUGAGACAUGACAGUUAGGUAGGUACAUUCUGAAGUCACAUGUUGGUCCGGUAGAAAUCUCAGAAUGGGAUUCUACUAAGUACAAAUUCUUUAUAGAGGAAGCUAGCAAUGUACGUCUUGGACACAUUUCUAUUGCGACCCAUUUUUGUGUGUAAUUAAUGUCGCAUAUUACAAACUUGAUUCUAAGCUACUCAUUCAUCGUUCAAGACCCAAGAAGUUUUUAUUCCCAUUCGAUUGAUUAAUUUAACAUGGGAUAUGAGAGAGAUGUUAUAGAAACCAACUACUUGAAUCAUAUUUUACAGAUCACACGAUGUGUUAGCUCAUGGUUAGACUUAUUCUUUAAAGAGUGGUGAUUUUCCCACCCAGGUGUCUUAUUUCCUCACCCACUAUUUAAUGAAAAUGUUAGGCCAUCUCCAACUGAAGGGUCCAGAGGGCUAGAGGGCCGAAAAUAACCCUAAAACCGUCUCCAACCGAGGGCUAGACCAAAGGGGCUGGCUAUUUUUUUUUAUAGUUUUUCUAUUGCUGUCGGUUAUAACCGACAGUAAUAGUUAUUCAAAGGCAAAAUUUUUUUUUAAUUACUAUUAGUGUCGGUUAAUAUUGACACUAAUAGUUUGAAUUUUUUUUAAUACAACGGCUAGUAGCCGUUGUAUUAACUUUAUUAUUAUUUUUUAUAUGAAUGUAAACUUCUUUUUUUCCCUUUUUUUUCCUUUUCAUAUGAAUCAAAUUUUGUUUCAUAUUUUUUUUCAAUUCUAUUUUACAAAAUUUGUUUCAAUUUUUUUUAAAUUCCAUUUUUUUCCUAUAACUUCUAUUUUACAAAAUUUGUUUCAUUUUUUUUAAAUUCCAUUUUUUUCCUAUAACUUAUAUUUUACAAAAUUUGUUUCAUUUUUUUUAAAUUCCAUUUUUUUUCCUAUAGCUUCUAUUUCACAAAAUUUGUUUCAAUUUUUUUUAAAUUCUAUUUUUUUCCUAUAACUUCUAUUUUACAAAAUUUGAUUCAUAUUUUUUUUCAUAUAACUUCUAUUUUACAAAAUUUGAUUCAUAUUUUUUUUUCAUAUAACUUCUAUUUCACAAAAUUUGAUUCAUAUUUUUUUUUCAUAUAACUUCUAUUUCACAAAAUUUGUUUCAUAUUUUUUUUCAAUUCUAUUUUUUUCCUAUAACUUCCUAGGCCAUUUAUACAACAUUAAAUUAAAUUAAGUAACAUGAAACGACAUUAAACAAUAUGAAACAACAUUAAAUAACAUGAUUGAAUUGCAAGAGAUUGAAUUGAAAUAGAUUGAAUCAACGGCUAGCUGACAUCAUGUUGACGUCACUUAGCCGUUGGAUUUGAAUUUAAAUUGUAGUUUUUAAAUAAUAAAUUAUGCUUGACCCUAUGACCCUUUGGCCCUCGGUUGGAGACGAUUUUUUGUGACAGGGCUAAAACGAGCCCUCUGGCCCUUUGAUCCUCGGUUGGAGACGGAGGCAAAUAUGGUCAUGUACUGUUCAUUAAAAUAUUAAUAUCUUGGGGAAUCUUGGAGGGCCAGAUGGCUAAAACGAGCCCUCUGGCCAGCCCUCGGUUAGAGAUGGCCUUAAUAACAUAUUUAUCCUUUUAAAAUAUGACUCUCAAACCCCUAUUUAAUUAAGUACUAAAAUCUUGAAAAAACAAAAAAUGAUUUAAAAUAAUAAAUAAAUAAUGGUGGGUGGGGUGUGAUAUCUUUGGUGGAAAGAGGUUGGGAAAGAUUUGGGUUAGAAUCGACGGAGGACGAAGGCGAGAAACUUCAAUGGAGAAAAAAGAGAAUUGGGUGUGAGAUCUGCGGUUUUGACAAAAAAGAAGGAACAAUAGUGGUUUGGGGUCCGGGGUCUCUGCAGGACAACAAUGGGUGUGAAGGAGAUGAUGAAUGUCUAGGUCUUAGGUCUGACAUUUUCUUUCAUUUUUUUUUUCUAUUUUUAUUUAUUAAUUUAUAAUAUUAUUUAAAGAUAUAUUAGAGUUAUUUAGAAAAAAAUAUAUAUUAUGGUUAUUUUGGGAAUAAUUGUGGGUGAGGAAAUAACAUUUUACUUUUUUAAUUUUUUAUGAUGGGUGGGAUUAUCAUGUGGGUGGGAAAAUAGGACACUAGGGUGGGUCUAGUAGCACUCUUCUUUAAAUCAUUAAAUAAACAAUUCAACCAUCAAUCGUCACAUCAUAGGAUCUAAAUAUGUCUCCUACUACCUAUCUUAAAUUGCAACAAAACUUGAUACGGAAAACAGUUUGUUUUAUAAUCGUUAUCGAUUAGCAUCAUCUUUCUCUAUGAUUAAAACAGUUUGGCUUUAAUGACACACUAGAACCAAAACUUAUAAUCGUUAUAAAUUAGCAUCAUCUUUCUCCUGAACCCCAAUCAUCAAGAAAAUAGUGGUAAUUACUGUUAGAUCUUAAUCCUACAAUAUAAAAAGGGAACUAUUAUCUGCACUCCACAAAUUUCAUUAUACACUCCUCGUAUUUUUCUUUCUAAUAAUAAAAAAUUUGAAAUGCAAAAUGAGAUUUUUGGAGUGCCAAUAACAAUUCCCUAUAAAAAAAUCACAACAAAAAAGUGAACUAAGCACUAAUAGUUAGAUUAAGAUCGACAUCGGAUGACCAUGCAUGGUCACUAGGCUCUUGGAGAACAAUUAUGUUGGGUUUGAUAGGGUCCCUUCUGUUUGUGUGGUUAAUUCGCUAUUCAAUCUUAUUGACUUCAAACCUCUGUCGCUCAGAGAAAUAGAGGAAAGAAAUCGAGCAAAAUUUCAAAGCCAAUUCUAUGUUUGUCUCCUCUAAGAAAUUUAUAGUAAUACUGUUGAUGUAAUUAAAUUACUCCAUAUUUGUAUAGUUUAUAAUUUAACAUUUGUUUAUACGACUUUAUGCAUAACGUUUUUCUAGUCCUCACCUUUUUGUUUUCCUUUUUGUUUUUACUUUCCUUUCGUCUUCUUUCUCCUUCGUUUUGUUCUAAAACAUUUUCUUGAUUAGAAUUUAUUGCAUCAAGAAAUCUUCUUCAUUUUUUUGUGGUUUGCUAGUUAUCUUUUUAGUUUUUUUACCUCACGCAUCAUCUAUUUUGUAUUUUAUUCAAUUUUUUCCUCAUGGAUUAUCUACCUGUGAUGUAGGUCUCCUAAUUUUUUUCUUUUAUGGAAGGUUUCCUCUACUUAUCAUGUUAUUUAUCUACCUAUAACACGUGAUUUUUUUAAUCUACUUCUGUCACAGACUCACAGAUUUCCUAGAUAAUUGUAUGUUUGACACUAAAUAAAUAAUUAAAAUUUAAAAUUAUGUAACUGAGGCAUUAUUUAGGAGUUCAAUUAUCUGCUAUUUUAAGGGUGAACUAGGCAUAAAAAGUAGUAGUUCGAACAAAAAAACAUAAUUGGACUCACUUAAAAUGUAGCCCAUGAUUUUGGGCCUCUAUCUAAAAUCCCUAAUAAAAUAAUAUAUGAAUGCAUACCUUUGCCGCCAAUGGUAGACCAGCACACUUUUUAGCUAUGGCCAUUCCAAUGCGCUCUUGAUCUGAAUCUAGAGAAGAAGCAUCACCAUUUGGAAAUGCUUCACCCUUUAAUAAAGACCAACAAUCCUCCUCCGAUAGGCCCUUCAAAUCACACAUCGGCAUUGUCUCAAUGAUUGGCAUUGUCUCAAAGAUUGAUGCAACAUUAGCACUACGGGUAGUAACAAUGGCAAUGCUUCCGGGACCAGAAUUGAGUUUCGACAAACAAUCCAUAAACUCCCUCCAAAAAGUCUCCUCUUCAUUCCAAACAUCAUCAAGUAUCAGAAUAUAUCUCUUGUCUGUCAACCUUUCCGUGAGGUCAUCCAGCAAUGCUUGCCGACUUGUAAGUCCUGUCCUGCUUGACUUAAGGGAUUCUAACAUCCGAUUUAGAAUCAAAUUAACGUCAGAAGUGUCGGAUACACAGACCCACAUUUUUUCAACAAAAGGCGUACGAAUAGCAUCAUCAUUGAAUAUUGACUUUGCCAAAGUCGUCUUUCCGAGGCCUCCGAUUCCCACAACGGCCAUAACCGAAAGGUUCUUUUCCUGAUUCUUGGACAUCAAGAUUUUAAUGAUAUCCGACACAAUUUCCUCCCUUCCAAUGAUCUUGUCAUUCUGACCGAAUCUCGAGUCAGUUUCUCUGUUCCUCAUAAUUGGAGGAGGGUUAUGAUCUACUGGCGUUACAACCAAGCCAAUGGAAGGUGCCUCACUCUUGAGACCCGCCAGGGACGCAUUGAUGUUCUUAAUCUUGUGUGCCAUCUUUUGACGAAAUAAAAUGGGAUUGGAGGGCGAAAAGAAGUUAAGUACCUUCUUCUUCAUGUGGUUUUGAAUUUCUACUUUACGCCGGAGAACUUCGUAGUUGAUGUCCUCCAAGACGUCAUCAGCAUCAUGAGCCACGUCUUUCAGUUUCUUGACCCAGUUUCUGACUGCCAUGCUCCGAUCCUGUGGUUUGUGGGCAACAUCGCCUAAGUACUCUUGAAUCUCAAGUGACGAUUGAUGAAGCUUGGUUAGCUCUUUAUUGAAUCCUCGGAAAAGACUGAUUUCUUGAGCAGCAAGUGAACCGACCGACUUCAGUAUUCCCUCCACGGGAUAAGUGAUGAUACCUUGUAGCACAUCCAUACUCGCGCGACAAAGGGAGAUUAGAGAGUAGAAGGCAGAGAACUGAGAGAAAGCCAAGGAAGGACACAAGAAGAGCGAAUAAGAUGAAUGAAAGGCUUAACAAUAAUUCAAGAAAAUGUGGUAUAAUAAGAAGAAAGGACCCCUUAUAAUUGACGCCACUUUACAUCUGUGAGCGUGAACAUAAUGUUCAAGAGUGGAGUGUGGUCCAGCAAUAUAAACCCAUCUUGUCAGCAAAAUUCUUUCUAAACAACUUUAGUCAAUAGUGGAGGCCGACUUUAAUAAAGUAAUGAGGAUUUUAAUAUAAAAGAUGAAAAUGAGAUCUUGUUACCUAGUAUUUACGAUUUAAGAGUUUUAGUUCGAUUCUGUUAAAGGUAAAGUGAAUCACAUUAUUAAUAAACUCAUAUCAUUCUUUUUGUGUGGAUAAUAUUGUUGUUUAUAAAUAAUAAAUAAAAUAUAAACCCAUCUUAUUAGCAAAUGUGCUCUAAAAAUUAAUUACCUACGCAUUAUUCAUAUAAAAGAUAAAAGAUGACAACUUCCUUAGAAUAUUGAAAUACACUAAAACCUAAGAUGCUGAUUCACAUGAUAACAACAGAAUUCGGCUAAAAUGCUCAUAUAUCACAAACACAAGCAGUGAAAUUAAAUNGCUCUUCNNNNNNNNNNNNNNNNNNNNNNNNNNNNNNNNNNNNNNNNNNNNNNNNNNNNNNNNNNNNNNNNNNNNNNNNNNNNNNNNNNNNNNNNNNNNNNNNNNNNNNNNNNNNNNNNNNNNNNNNNNNNNNNNNNNNNNNNNNNNNNNNNNNNNNNNNNNNNNNNNNNNNNNNNNNNNNNNNNNNNNNNNNNNNNNNNNNNNNNNNNNNNNNNNNNNNNNNNNNNNNNNNNNNNNNNNNNNNNNNNNNNNNNNNNNNNNNNNNNNNNNNNNNNNNNNNNNNNNNNNNNNNNNNNNNNNNNNNNNNNNNNNNNNNNNNNNNNNNNNNNNNNNNNNNNNNNNNNNNNNNNNNNNNNNNNNNNNNNNNNNNNNNNNNNNNNNNNNNNNNNNNNNNNNNNNNNNNNNNNNNNNNNNNNNNNNNNNNNNNNNNNNNNNNNNNNNNNNNNNNNNNNNNNNNNNNNNNNNNNNNNNNNNNNNNNNNNNNNNNNNNNNNNNNNNNNNNNNNNNNNNNNNNNNNNNNNNNNNNNNNNNNNNNNNNNNNNNNNNNNNNNNNNNNNNNNNNNNNNNNNNNNNNNNNNNNNNNNNNNNNNNNNNNNNNNNNNNNNNNNNNNNNNNNNNNNNNNNNNNNNNNNNNNNNNNNNNNNNNNNNNNNNNNNNNNNNNNNNNNNNNNNNNNNNNNNNNNNNNNNNNNNNNNNNNNNNNNNNNNNNNNNNNNNNNNNNNNNNNNNNNNNNNNNNNNNNNNNNNNNNNNNNNNNNNNNNNNNNNNNNNNNNNNNNNNNNNNNNNNNNNNNNNNNNNNNNNNNNNNNNNNNNNNNNNNNNNNNNNNNNNNNNNNNNNNNNNNNNNNNNNNNNNNNNNNNNNNNNNNNNNNNNNNNNNNNNNNNNNNNNNNNNNNNNNNNNNNNNNNNNNNNNNNNNNNNNNNNNNNNNNNNNNNNNNNNNNNNNNNNNNNNNNNNNNNNNNNNNNNNNNNNNNNNNNNNNNNNNNNNNNNNNNNNNNNNNNNNNNNNNNNNNNNNNNNNNNNNNNNNNNNNNNNNNNNNNNNNNNNNNNNNNNNNNNNNNNNNNNNNNNNNNNNNNNNNNNNNNNNNNNNNNNNNNNNNNNNNNNNNNNNNNNNNNNNNNNNNNNNNNNNNNNNNNNNNNNNNNNNNNNNNNNNNNNNNNNNNNNNNNNNNNNNNNNNNNNNNNNNNNNNNNNNNNNNNNNNNNNNNNNNNNNNNNNNNNNNNNNNNNNNNNNNNNNNNNNNNNNNNNNNNNNNNNNNNNNNNNNNNNNNNNNNNNNNNNNNNNNNNNNNNNNNNNNNNNNNNNNNNNNNNNNNNNNNNNNNNNNNNNNNNNNNNNNNNNNNNNNNNNNNNNNNNNNNNNNNNNNNNNNNNNNNNNNNNNNNNNNNNNNNNNNNNNNNNNNNNNNNNNNNNNNNNNNNNNNNNNNNNNNNNNNNNNNNNNNNNNNNNNNNNNNNNNNNNNNNNNNNNNNNNNNNNNNNNNNNNNNNNNNNNNNNNNNNNNNNNNNNNNNNNNNNNNNNNNNNNNNNNNNNNNNNNNNNNNNNNNNNNNNNNNNNNNNNNNNNNNNNNNNNNNNNNNNNNNNNNNNNNNNNNNNNNNNNNNNNNNNNNNNNNNNNNNNNNNNNNNNNNNNNNNNNNNNNNNNNNNNNNNNNNNNNNNNNNNNNNNNNNNNNNNNNNNNNNNNNNNNNNNNNNNNNNNNNNNNNNNNNNNNNNNNNNNNNNNNNNNNNNNNNNNNNNNNNNNNNNNNNNNNNNNNNNNNNNNNNNNNNNNNNNNNNNNNNNNNNNNNNNNNNNNNNNNNNNNNNNNNNNNNNNNNNNNNNNNNNNNNNNNNNNNNNNNNNNNNNNNNNNNNNNNNNNNNNNNNNNNNNNNNNNNNNNNNNNNNNNNNNNNNNNNNNNNNNNNNNNNNNNNNNNNNNNNNNNNNNNNNNNNNNNNNNNNNNNNNNNNNNNNNNNNNNNNNNNNNNNNNNNNNNNNNNNNNNNNNNNNNNNNNNNNNNNNNNNNNNNNNNNNNNNNNNNNNNNNNNNNNNNNNNNNNNNNNNNNNNNNNNNNNNNNNNNNNNNNNNNNNNNNNNNNNNNNNNNNNNNNNNNNNNNNNNNNNNNNNNNNNNNNNNNNNNNNNNNNNNNNNNNNNNNNNNNNNNNNNNNNNNNNNNNNNNNNNNNNNNNNNNNNNNNNNNNNNNNNNNNNNNNNNNNNNNNNNNNNNNNNNNNNNNNNNNNNNNNNNNNNNNNNNNNNNNNNNNNNNNNNNNNNNNNNNNNNNNNNNNNNNNNNNNNNNNNNNNNNNNNNNNNNNNNNNNNNNNNNNNNNNNNNNNNNNNNNNNNNNNNNNNNNNNNNNNNNNNNNNNNNNNNNNNNNNNNNNNNNNNNNNNNNNNNNNNNNNNNNNNNNNNNNNNNNNNNNNNNNNNNNNNNNNNNNNNNNNNNNNNNNNNNNNNNNNNNNNNNNNNNNNNNNNNNNNNNNNNNNNNNNNNNNNNNNNNNNNNNNNNNNNNNNNNNNNNNNNNNNNNNNNNNNNNNNNNNNNNNNNNNNNNNNNNNNNNNNNNNNNNNNNNNNNNNNNNNNNNNNNNNNNNNNNNNNNNNNNNNNNNNNNNNNNNNNNNNNNNNNNNNNNNNNNNNNNNNNNNNNNNNNNNNNNNNNNNNNNNNNNNNNNNNNNNNNNNNNNNNNNNNNNNNNNNNNNNNNNNNNNNNNNNNNNNNNNNNNNNNNNNNNNNNNNNNNNNNNNNNNNNNNNNNNNNNNNNNNNNNNNNNNNNNNNNNNNNNNNNNNNNNNNNNNNNNNNNNNNNNNNNNNNNNNNNNNNNNNNNNNNNNNNNNNNNNNNNNNNNNNNNNNNNNNNNNNNNNNNNNNNNNNNNNNNNNNNNNNNNNNNNNNNNNNNNNNNNNNNNNNNNNNNNNNNNNNNNNNNNNNNNNNNNNNNNNNNNNNNNNNNNNNNNNNNNNNNNNNNNNNNNNNNNNNNNNNNNNNNNNNNNNNNNNNNNNNNNNNNNNNNNNNNNNNNNNNNNNNNNNNNNNNNNNNNNNNNNNNNNNNNNNNNNNNNNNNNNNNNNNNNNNNNNNNNNNNNNNNNNNNNNNNNNNNNNNNNNNNNNNNNNNNNNNNNNNNNNNNNNNNNNNNNNNNNNNNNNNNNNNNNNNNNNNNNNNNNNNNNNNNNNNNNNNNNNNNNNNNNNNNNNNNNNNNNNNNNNNNNNNNNNNNNNNNNNNNNNNNNNNNNNNNNNNNNNNNNNNNNNNNNNNNNNNNNNNNNNNNNNNNNNNNNNNNNNNNNNNNNNNNNNNNNNNNNNNNNNNNNNNNNNNNNNNNNNNNNNNNNNNNNNNNNNNNNNNNNNNNNNNNNNNNNNNNNNNNNNNNNNNNNNNNNNNNNNNNNNNNNNNNNNNNNNNNNNNNNNNNNNNNNNNNNNNNNNNNNNNNNNNNNNNNNNNNNNNNNNNNNNNNNNNNNNNNNNNNNNNNNNNNNNNNNNNNNNNNNNNNNNNNNNNNNNNNNNNNNNNNNNNNNNNNNNNNNNNNNNNNNNNNNNNNNNNNNNNNNNNNNNNNNNNNNNNNNNNNNNNNNNNNNNNNNNNNNNNNNNNNNNNNNNNNNNNNNNNNNNNNNNNNNNNNNNNNNNNNNNNNNNNNNNNNNNNNNNNNNNNNNNNNNNNNNNNNNNNNNNNNNNNNNNNNNNNNNNNNNNNNNNNNNNNNNNNNNNNNNNNNNNNNNNNNNNNNNNNNNNNNNNNNNNNNNNNNNNNNNNNNNNNNNNNNNNNNNNNNNNNNNNNNNNNNNNNNNNNNNNNNNNNNNNNNNNNNNNNNNNNNNNNNNNNNNNNNNNNNNNNNNNNNNNNNNNNNNNNNNNNNNNNNNNNNNNNNNNNNNNNNNNNNNNNNNNNNNNNNNNNNNNNNNNNNNNNNNNNNNNNNNNNNNNNNNNNNNNNNNNNNNNNNNNNNNNNNNNNNNNNNNNNNNNNNNNNNNNNNNNNNNNNNNNNNNNNNNNNNNNNNNNNNNNNNNNNNNNNNNNNNNNNNNNNNNNNNNNNNNNNNNNNNNNNNNNNNNNNNNNNNNNNNNNNNNNNNNNNNNNNNNNNNNNNNNNNNNNNNNNNNNNNNNNNNNNNNNNNNNNNNNNNNNNNNNNNNNNNNNNNNNNNNNNNNNNNNNNNNNGCUUGCUUCGAGUGAAGACGUCCACACGCAAAAGAUCUUCAUCGUCCACUUUAUUUCACGCGGUGAUUCAUUUAUUGGCUUUAAAUUAUUUUGAUUAGUCAACAUUUAUUGGUCCUCCAUGGAUUUUUGUCAGGACUCAAUACUAGUGACUAUUCAACCCUACUUGAUCCUGUCACUUCAUCUUCAAUAUGAUUUCGCAUAGGCAGUGGUAUUUACAUAUUUAACUUUACUUUUUAUUCUUAAUUUUAUUGAAUGAAUUAAAGAAGAUUAAUUAUACAAAAUUAACAAAAAUAUGUCAAAAAUAAAAAUGAUUGUGUGAAUAAGACUAUCUUUCACAUAAACUGUGGUUUCUUUUACACAAUCGAGCUAGAAACUUGUCUCUUAUACAUUGAAUUGGCUAAUGAUUUACACUCAUCUUUGUGCCUUUUUCAUUGACUAAGGUAAACCUAAACCUAGUGAGAAAAUGUGGUAACUAUUACAAUCGAACGCUAGGAAUUCGUCUCCGACAAUACACAUAUUUGAUAAAGAGCGUUCAAAUUGGUUUUGCUUUUAGCAGUUUAUAAAUACGUCAAAUCCAACGAAAUCAAACCAAACUAAUUAUAGUUUGAUUAGUUCAACCUAAAAUUGCAUUUUUUUUUUCAUUAUAAAAGUCUUACCAAACUUCUUAGAUUGAUUUUUAUACAACGAUAUAUUUUUGCAUAGCUAAAAGCUAAAUCAAAACUUCUUGGAUUGGGGUGGGGUAUAAAUUUGUAUCGAACUCGUCAUUCUUGAGAUUCAAACUUAAGACCUAUUAUUUAUAAGUAAAGAUAAAUACCGUUAGAUCAUAAUAUUAAAUGACAACCGAUUGGAUGGUUUAGUUUGAACAGUAUUUCAUACAACGAAUAUUUACAUUAAAUUGAGAUAAAAUGGACAAGAAUGCUCUCCGGAUCCCUAUUUAGGAACUUCCACCACUAUCUAUGAGAGCUCAUUUAAAGACUUUAAAAAAAUAUUUGAGUCCUUAAAAGAGUAUAUUUUUUUUUUAUGAAAAGUUCUUAUAGUGUAAUCCUUCAAAUUAAUAAAAACUAAAAUAUUGAAAAAUUAUUAUCAAUGGAUGAAAAAACUAAAAAAAAUUCUCUACCCUUAGUUUUUCAAAAAUUAAAAAAAUAAAAAAAUAACGUGAAAAAACCAAAAAUGAAAAUAGAAAACUUCAUUUUAAUCCUUAAAAAAGAUGAGUUUUAGAUUAUAACCAUAUUAAGCUUAAAAUCCAAUUUAGUCCUUAACACUUUAAUCAUAUCAUAUAUUAUUGUAUUUUGAUGUUUUUAUUUUAUCUUUUAUUUUUUAUUUUAAUGUAUAAUUACAUUUAAAUUUAAUUUUAUUUCAUUCAUCAAAUAUAUAUUUUAAUGUCUACAUUUAAGCAACUAAUUUUUUUAUAAUAUAUAUUCCGAUAACAAUUUUGUAUGUUCUUCAUUUAGGUACAUUAAUACAUUUGAAUAUUUUGGUAUAUCCAUCGGUACAAACAUUUAGUUACAUUGAUUCAAUAUAAUGCAUUUCGGUCAAUAUAAUGCAUUUCAUUACGUACACUUUGGUACACACAUUUGAGUAUUGACUUUUAAGUACAUUAAUUCAAUUAUUAUAUUUCGGUAAAUACAUUUAGGUACAUACAUUUUGGUAUUGAUACUUAUGUACAUACAUUUUCGGUAUUAACAUUUAGGUACGUACAUUUUGGUACAUACAGUUCGGUACGUAUAUUUUGGUACAUACAUUUUGGUAUUGAUAUUUAGGUACAUUAAUUCAAUAUAAUACAUUUCGGUACAUACAUUUAGGUUCAUUAUAAUAUAUUUCGGUACAAUCAUGUAGGUACAAAUAUUUCAGUACAAAAAAGUCAAUUUUAUAUAUUUUGGCACAAUCAUUUUUGUACACGUAUGUAUUUAUAUAUUUUUGUAUCAUAAAUUUCUUUUAAUAUUUUCUCAUUUACGUUCAUUUCUAAUUAAAAAAAUUAAAUAUGUGCAUAUUAAUAAAAUUAAAAUUUAGUAUGGAGAGAUUAAAUAAAAAUACACAUUAAAUAACAAAAAUUAAAUGUAAAUUUUGAUAAUAGUACACUCAAGAGAUUAAAUUGAAUAUUUAAUCUAGCAUCAGUUUUUUAUUUUUUUAUUUUAAUCUUUUGCAAGAACUAAUGUUCAAAAACCCUAAAUGAAAAUUUCACGUGGGUGGGAUCAACAAACAAGGUAAAAGACAAAAAUCCAGCUGGUGUGCAGCAAGGACAAAAAACCAGCUGUUGUGCAGCACUGCAUUCCCACGUUUAUGGGUCACUUUUCUGCACAAAAUCAACAGAGGCCCACUAUACAAUUUUCGCAUUUGAGAUUUUCUUUCGAAGUAUUUAGCGAGUUUUUAUAUAUUGAAAUAUUUUUUGACAAAAAAAACAUAUUGAAAUAUUUUAUAGACUUUAAUUUCGACUUAUUAAAAACUUUCUGUCUCUAUAUUUAGAGAUUGUACUAUUGUAAAGACUUGGUUUAGGUUCUUUAUUAUAGAUGCUCUAACAUGACAAAAAAGUAAAAGCAGAGUAAGACCACAUAAAUAUAAAAUCAUUUUAUCUGCAAUCUCUCUCAACAACUUUAGACGAUGGUGGAAACCCAACUUUAACAAAGUAAAUUAAAGAUAUUUAUAAAAAAAAUAAUAACAACUUCAUUAGUACAUUCAAAAGUGUAUGUACGAUAAGGAGAUUCAAAUUAGAUACGUAUUCGCUCUUCAGUACUAACGAGAGUCAUCAGAUAAAAAAAACCUCCAAAUAAUUGUAGACAAUUGGAAUUCACGGAACGACUAUACAAAUUCUACAUAGGUCAUUUGGUUUACAAGUUGAUCACUACGUGUACUUUCAGUAAUAUCUUGGAUUCUUGUUUUCAAUUUGUUUGGAUUUGCAGAUCCUCCAUCUUCUAAGAUAAGAGGAAAAUUUUCCAACACUGCCUUCCUUGUAAUUGCUGUAAUGAGAUGAGUUGUUGCUUUCAUGGGGCAGGUCCUAAUGAAUCCUAUAGCUAUUGGACCCCAUCCCACAUGAAUCAUGUUAUUGGUGGCACCACUGUGUUUGGCAAUCAAUAAUUAAUGAUGGGGUUGGGAAGAAAGGAAGGAUUUAUAUACUCAAGGCAGGGGAUUAACUAAUCGCCAUCAUACCAUUCAUCUCGAUGAAUAUAUUGAUACAAUUUAUUUGCAUUUGCAUAUCCUCCAUCUUCUAAGAUAAGAGGAAAAUUUUCCAACACUGCCUUCCUUGUAAUUGCUGUAAUGAGAUAAGUUGUUGUUUUCAUGGGGCAGGUCCUAAUGAAUCCUAUAGCUAUUGGACCCCAUCCCACAUGAAUCAUGUUAUCGGUGGCACCACUGUGUUUGGCAAUCAAUAAUUAAUGAUGGGGUUGGGAAGAAAUGAAGGAUCUAUAUACUCAAGGCAGGGGAUUAAUUAAUCGCCAUCAUACCAUUCAUCUCGAUGAAUAUAUUGAUACAAUUUAUUUGGAUUUGCAGAUCCUCCAUCUUCUAAGAUAGAGGAAAAUUUUCCAACACUGCCUUCCUUGUAAUUGCUGUAAUGAGAUGAGUUGUUGUUUUCAUGGGGCAAGUCCUAAUGAAUCCUAUGGCUAUUGGACCCAUCCCACUUGUGUUUGGCAUCGGUGGCACCAUUGUGUUUGGCAAUCAAUAAUUAAUGAUGGGGUUGGGAAGAAAUGAAGGAUUUAUAUACUCAAGGCAGGGGAUUAAUUAAUCGCCAUCAUACCAUUCAUCUCGAUGAAUAUAUUGAUAUAGUAUGAGGGAAGUCCAACGAAAUACCUAAGUUAGAAUUCACAAGCAAUUUGAAACCAUUAAAAUUUGAGAAAAUCUCAAAAUCUAUCGAUUGAAUGAUAUAAAAGGGGUAAUGCUAGAAAGACCAUCUAUUUAAACUGUGGUAAUGCUAGGAAGACUAUCUAUUUAAACUAUAUGACGUGAUUAUUGAUGAUUGAAUUAUUACAUAAAUGUUGAUUAACAUGUUUAUUUUCUAUUAGUGACAUAUCAAAUUAUAAAUAGCACAACAAUGCAGCAAGCGGAUAAUCCUUCGUAGUAGCAUCAUGCAAAAUUACGUACAAUAAUUUAAGUAUCAAACAAAAUGUAAACUUCAUUGUAGAAUCAGCCAUGAUGAAUGAAAUAAUGACAUAAAAGUAAAUAAGAAAAGAGCUUGACCUAAUAUAGAUAUUCAAAUCCAAAAUGUCCUUACGAUUAAAACCAAGUUGUAGCAAAGAGGUUUUCAUUAAACCCCCUCCAAAAUUUAUUGAUUGAAUAAUAUAUAAGGUCACAACUCUAACACUUAGACUUGAUACAAAAUUACUGAAAAUAAUACCCUAAAAAAGAGAGAAUUCGACUUAAAAAGCUCAGACAUCACAACAAAACAGUGGGUUGAAUUUGUGACAUUGUUCUUUUUGGCCGGUUCUAAUCGUGAAUUAAUGAUAACAACCAUAAUUCUCCUUUAAAGCAGAUACUUGGUUACAUGAGAGUAUUUCUUUUUUAAAACUGACAUAUCACGACUAUCCAUACUUAAGAAUUUCUUGUGUACCAAACAAUUUAUGUUGAGUAUGGGAAUUUUUAGAUGUUCUUAGGUAUUAGAUUUUUUAUCACACAUUCAACUGUCUCACAAUAUUAGAUUCUCGUGAUUGCACAUUCAACUAUACCACAGAACUCAACUAAAGCAAAGAAGUAUAGUAGAAUUUUGGGAAUUUCAUUAUUAUUUAUUUUAAACAAAGAUCUAACUGUACCAGCUACCCCGGACGUAACAUCUUUGAAAUUGUGGUACCUGAAUUGGAAUUCAAGAUAAAGGGGGAGUAUCUAUGAAAUCCUAAUCUGGGCUUGUUUCCACCUUUGGAUUUCUGUAUACCUGACAUGUGAGCGAUAAGCUUUGUUAUCCGACGGUGGAAGAUUUGUCAACAACAUGAUAGGGUUUUAAGUCAUUGAUUUGGACUUGAAGCUAUGAUUGAUUUGAACUUAUGAAGUAGGGUUUGUUAAUUUUCUGACACCGACUUUUGGAAGGAAGCAGCUUUUGGCUUUUUAUUACUUGUUGAAUCUACCCGCUUCUGCUGAUUGAAUUCACGAAAAAUGAAUUUAAUUACAGAGAAACUAUGCACCAAAUCAUAAAACUUAAAUGGAUAAAAAAGCUUAACAAUAUAUUAAAAAAAGAAUUUCAAACAAUAGUGUAGGAGCCAGCAAAGUUAAAGCCUAAAUAGCUACCGAGCAAAUGGUGCUGUCAUGGAACCUGCAUUUGUGGAAUAUGAACAUAUGGAAAUCACUCCAGGUGAACUAUGGUAUUGUGAAAUCGUACCACGAGUUUCUUCAUUUGAGCCUGGAGUUCUUUCUCGAUGCAUAGACACCUCCAUUUCCAAACAUUGUGUUAAUUGGCACAACACAAAACCCAUGGUUGGGAGGUGGAAGUUGUGCAUGCCAUUGCUGUCUCUAAUGCUUUACAAACCGAAUUCACAUCGAACUCUCCUCGAAUCCUUCGAUCCAAAAUAGUCGUUAAAUCCCCAUUCUGGAACUCAGGAUUCACCCACUCCACUAUGUGGACAAGAUCAUCACUUUCUAUGAUUGCAGGUUGGCCAGUAAUUAUCUCUAAUAGAACUACCCCAAAACUAUAAACAUCAAAUUUUUCAUUCAACCUUUCAUAAUUAUAGUACCUGCAGACCAAAAAAAAAAAUCAUAAAUCACGCACUGCUCAUAGAUUUUUUUUCAAAUGGCCAAAAUUCUAAGAACAUGAAAUCUGAACAUACUCAGGAUCAAGAUGCCCUGUUGUGCCCACGAUUAAUGCCACAUGAGUCUCGUUGUUAUUGGGAAAAACCAUGGACAUACCGAAAUCUACUAUUUUUGCAUCCAAGUUUUUGCUCAAGAGAAUAUUGGCAGUCUUUACAUCUCUAUGCACAAUAUGUGGAUUGCAUUCUUUAUGCAAGUAGUGUAGCCCUGUGAGCCAAAUUUCACAAUAUACAUAGGUUGAAUAAGGCACAUGAACUUACGCAAAUAUAUUAGCCUGCAACAUAAUACGAAACACCAACCUAGCGCAAUAUCUAAAGCCAUCCGAAGUUUCAUUUCCCAAGUCAUAUGUGAGCUUCUAUCUGCAUCCGCAAUGAGAAACAUGAUACUUCAAUAUUUUGAAACCGUCCAAGAUAAAGCUUAUAAAAGUAUAGAACUACGUAUACCUGAGAGAUAUUCUUUUAGGUUUCCAUUGGGCAUGUACUCGUACAUAAGUGCCAAGUUGUCGGUAUCGUCACAGUAUCCAGUAAGCGAGGCCAAGUUUCUAUGAUGGAUACUCAUCACAAGCUCAACCUGCAGCAACAAGGAACUCAUCAAUCUCUAACGUUAUCUCCAACCUAAAGGGUUAAGCUCCCAUAAUGUAGCCCUGUAUUUUCAAUUAUUCAUCUAUACGUAUGAGGUUAGUCAAUUUUUUUUCCUCCAACAGGUAAGAAACCUAUAAUUCCCACCCUCAACUUUAUAAUUUGUUAAACUUUUGUAUUUCGUCGAUUAUUUUUUUCUAAUAAUUUUGGAAUUAGUUUUUGUGUAAUCUAUCUUGUUUUAUUUUUACGAACAUUUUGAUGUAAACAAAAAAAAAUUUAAUUCUGAAAAAAAAUAUUGAUGGUGAAAUAUGAGAAAAUUGAAAUUUUUUUUGUGGAAUAGUGAACAAAUGUAUGAGUAUUUAUAGAAUUUUGAAGGAGUUUUGGUGCUGGAUCUGAUUUCAAUUAAUUAAUAAUAGUAUUUUCACCGUUGGAUUUAAAUUUGAGCCGUUGGAUUUAAAAAUGGAAGUAGUUGGGCAUGCCACGCUGGAUCAAAACACAAUAGGAGCGCCAGUCACUGAAUGAAUCUCAACGGCUUGCCAACCUGAGCCGUAGAAGUUAGAACCACUGCUUUCUUUUGCCCUCGCCCGCAGAGAAUUCCUCCACCCAAGAUUUAUACAUGAGUUUUCCUCAUAAUUACCGUCCUAUACUAAUUAUAACAUAAAUUACAAAUAAAUUACAUAACAGAAAGUGGUUACAAAAAACUUAGAACAAAUAAAGUACAAAUAAAUUGCAUAACGGAAAGUAGAUACAAAGAACUCAUUCAAUAGAUGAUUAAGACGGUAACUCCCUAACAAACUAACACGUAUUCGGAUGAAAAUAGUGGGAUGACCAUAUUAUUUACCAGGAUUUUGGUUUUCUGUAAAGUAAUUAAGAUUAGAUUUGAAUGAUGAUGGAAUUAUGCAUGAAGUUUAUCGACUAAUCAUAUUCAGCUAGUGGUCCCAUUUCGUACUAAUAUUUUAAGAUAUAUAUGCAGUCAACAAUAUUUUGUUUUAUUCUGACUAAUCAGUAGUCACGUUAGUUGUAUAGUGCAGCUGGUAUUAGUCAAGCUAAAGUGAAGAAGUCUCCAUCCAUACGGAGGAAAAAUUCCAAAGUCCAGCACCCGGUUCACGUGUCCAUGCGGCCCUAGAUACAAUAAAGAUUAUAUAUCUCAUCUCUUGAUAUUUGGGGCUCACUACUACUCCAUGUAAUGACUCCAUUCUCACUUUUCACAACACCUUCAUGGCCCUACAUCUUCGGUUUCGAACAAAAGAAUUUCUCAUCCGGAGAAGUUCUUCGGUUCGAAACCUGAGCUAAGGUUAAUAGAGGAGGGGUGAGACCAAAAUUUGGGGUAUGGUGGGCCUCACAAUGAGGGAGUGGGAUAUAGUGCUUUUUUACUGUCUAGGCCGUAGGGAUUUGGUGUUUCGGUUUCUCUACACAAGAAUUUUUCCUCCAUUUUGACAAAUUGGCAAUGACGGCCCCUCUUCUCUAUGUUGUUUAUAGUGUCGAUAUUGUCCCAAUAUACCGAUUGCAGAAAACCCAUAUCAGGAUUAAUAUGUAUUAACAAAAUAUUAAUGCUUUAUUUAAGAAUCAUAACCUUUGGAUGAGUUUACGAUAGAUAAAUACAACAAAGUACAGAUAGUCAAAAGUUCAAACAUUAUUGACGGAUAGUGAAUGUCAAUGAUAAUUCAAGAGUGGUGAGAAAGAUGAUUGGUAUUUAGAACAUCUGGAAGUCACUCGAGGUGAACUAUGGCAUGGUGAAAUCGCAACACGAGUUUCUUCAUUUGAGCAUGGAGUUCUUUCUCGAUGCCUAGACGUACACCUCCGUUUCCAAACAUUGUGUUUGUUGGCACAGCACAAAACCCAUGGUGGCUCUAUGCUGGGAGGUGGAAGUUAUGCAUGUCGUUUCUGUGAUUCCAGGUUGGCCAGUAAAACUCUAAACUUCAUUUUUUUCAUUCGCCAUUGAUAAUUAUAGUACCUGCAGACAAAAAAAGAGUAAUCAUAAGUCACUCACUACUCAUAGAUUUGUUUUAUUUCAAAUGAUCAAAAUUCUAAGACCACGAAAUCUGAACAUACUCGGGAUCAAGAUACCCCACUGUGCUCAUGACCGAUGCCACUAUUGAGUCUUACUAUCGCUGGGAAAAACCAUCUUCCAGGUAGCCACGGUAUACAAUCCCAAAUCCUCCUUUCUCAAUUUCAGUAUGAAAGUUUUCAGUGAUUUCUAAAACCUCAUCAUAAGUAAACUGGGACUUCAUUAAUGCUACAGAAAUUUUCUUAUGCUUUUCUCCAUCUGCAGCUUAAGUAGACAAAAAGAUAUGCGUUCAGACCAAAUGGAUAGAAAUACCACGACGCCACAGUAGCAGCGCCGGUUCUAAGUGUCAAGGGUAUAAAAUGGCACCUGGUUUUCUUGUUCUUCUCAGCUUUCAUACCAGUAUGAGCACUAUAACUUGAAGGGGAGGGUCAUCAUUGAUGGUAACGAUCCUAGUAUUGGAACAACAACGUUCUUCUUGCAUUUGCUUGAAUCUGAGCUAAAAAGAACUUAUAAGCAGACAGAAAAUAUAAAUCUGAAGGACGCAAUACCAUUCGCUUUCAUUAAAGAAAAUGCUAACCUAUUCGGCGUAAACUACAGAAGUCCUUGUAUGGUCUUAAACAGGCUCCUCAGGCAUGGAAUGAGAAGUUUACAAGCUUCUUACCUGGUUUAGGCUUCAAAGCGUCUUUUGCUGAUCCAUCUUUGUUUGUCAAGCAAACAUCCAAUGGUAUUGUGAUCCUCUUACUCUAUGUGGAUGAUAUCAUCCUCACUGGCAGCAGUACAUCUCUUAUGUCUGAAGUCAUUUUAGCUUUGACACAAGAGUUUGAUAUGAAGGACUUGGGCAAUUUACAUUACUUCUUAGGUUUGCAGAUCACUUACAAGAACACAGGCUUGUUUGUUUCUCAAACCAAAUAUAUUCAAGAUCUUCUAGCCAAGGUUGAUAUGCAAGAUGCAAAAUCAUGUGCCACACCUUGCCUUCCUUAUCAUAGGUUAUCUAAGACAGAUGGUACAUCUUAUCAUAGUCCAGAACAAUAUCGCAGUAUCUCCAUGAACGAAACUUGCACAAAGCAGUAGGACGAGGAAACCAGUUGAGAUCUUCAUCUCUCUGUCUCAUUGCAGCCUAUGAACUACCUGGUAUUUAUAACGUGUGACAAUGUCUGGACAUAAAAAACAGAAAAACAUAAACGACACUGGAUUUGUAACCUCAUGCUGCACAACUUGCACAGUACAUGCAUGAUCCUUAUUUCAUGGAGAUGCUUAGUCUACGUCAAUCAAUGGAUCAUUCAAUGUUCAUACUAAGACAGCAAUAUGGUUAAGCAUUUUCUAGUCAAAGCAUUUCAAACAUUGUACAAGUCAGGGAGACAAUCCGAAGUAUUGGACAAAAGUGAUUAAGUCGACAAUAUAGAUACAAACUAGUAGGCUACACUGAUUCACUGCACAACAGAUCCCACACCCAUUUUUAACCCACCAAGUUAUGAACAUGGGAUGAAUGAGAGAGUUUGUAGCUACCUUAGCAUGGUGCUGUCAUGGAACCUGCAUUUGUGGAAUCUGAACAUCUGGAAAUCACUCCAGGUGAACUAUGGUAUGGUGAAAUCGUAACACAAGCUUCUUCAUUCAAGCCAGUUUCUUCAUUUGAGCCUUGAGUUCUUUCUGGAUGCCUAGACACCUUCAUUUCCAAACAUUGUGUUAGUUGACAUGACACAGCACAAAACCCAUGCUGCAGACCCAAAAAAGUAUUCAUAAACCACUCACUGUUCAUAAAUUUGUAUUCAUAACAUGAUAAAAAAAAAUCUAAUAGAACAAGGAAAUUUGAAAAUACUCUGGGUCAAGAUAACCUGCUGUACCCAUGACUGAUGUCACCACUCGAGUCCCAUUAUCACUGGAAAAAACCAUGGAUAUACUGAAAUCUGCUAUUUUCGCGUCCAAGUUUUUGUUGCACUGGGAUUGCUCUCCUCUCUUAAUGCAAUUCUCUUACUGGAUUCCCUUCUUAAGUGAGCUGAAAUACUAAUCAAAUUUAUCUGUGAUUAACGUAUUCUAGAUAACUCGACAUGAUUUUAUUCAAGGAUGAAAGAUUGAAGAAAAAAGUUACAAUUGACUAAACCGAUUACCUUCCACAAAAUUGGUCUCAUAAAACUGUGUUAGUUGAGAGAACCUGCACAGAGUGAGAAGAAACACAGCCUUCUACAAAAGCGUAUCUGCACCAUAACAACCAUGCACAACAAGCCUUAGAACAUAUUCGAAUGCACGUUGAAUGUUGUAAGUUAUACAGAAUGGCCAGAGACUUGUAAACACUUGCAAUUUUACUUCUAAUUACACAUAAAGUACUAAAAGCUUACAACAACAACAACAAAGCCUUUUCCCACUAAGUGGGGUCGGCUAAAAGUACUAAAAGCUUAAUUUCCACAAAAGCCUAAAGUCCUGUUCCAAAAAUAUUAUGAAAGCAAAAUAAUUAAUGUUCUUCCACAAGGCUAGAUAGUCUAUGAUUUUGCAAACCAAAUGGAACUAAGACAAGUGAACAAAACAGAUCAUGAAUUACUGUUCCGGGAAAGAAACCUACACUUGACUGUCGGAAAUGUGUGAAAUCUUGGGCCAGUCGGGCAGGUUGCAUCUUUCUUUAUUCAGAUUCGUACCAGUCCCGAUUGAACUAAGCAAGGAAUAUGUUUGGUUAACACUUAACACUUAACACUUGAGAAAUCGAGAGUGAGUGAACAAUAUUGAACCAAAUAUACAUGAAUAAUUGAUUGGAGAUAAAAAUAAAAAAUACCUCUUAUAUCUGGAAUAUGAUAAAUCUUUGGCCAUUCUGGGCCACUGUUCAUGGUGCAUCUUGGUAUUUACUCUUUGGUUACUAUUAUCUUUAGCAAAUGGAGUAGACUUUGUACUUGAAAGUUGAUGACCAAAUUGACAACUGCCUCCUCUUCAUUUGGCUGCAAUUAAAUCCUAACUAGCUAGUAGCUACCCAGUAAAUGGUGUUGAGCCUGGAGUUCCUUCUCGAUGCCUAGAUACCUCCAUUUCCACAAUUCACAAAACUCAUGGUGGCUCUAUGUUGGGAGGCAUGCCAUGCUGUCUCUGAUGCCUUCCAGACCGAAUUCACUUUAAAUUAUCCUCGAAGCCCUUGAUCGAAAAUAGUCGUUCAAUCCCUGUUCUGGAACUCAAGAUUCACCCACUCCACUAUGUGGACAAGAUCAUCAUUUUCUAUGAAUGCAGGUUGGCCUGUAAAACUCUAAACAUCAAAUUUUUUUCAUUCAACCUUUGCUAAUUAUAGUACCUGCAGACCAAAUAAAGUAAUCAUAGAUCACUCACUGCACAUAGAUUUGUUUUUUUUAACAUAAUCAAAAUUCUAAGAACAGUAGAACAAGAAAUCUAAACAUGCUCGGAAUCAAGAUACCUUGCUGUGCCCAUGACUGAUGCCACCAGAGUCUCAGUGUCACUGGGAAAAACCAUGGACAGACCAAAAUCGCUAUUUUGCAUCCAAGUUUUAAUUCAAGAGAAUGUUGGCUGUCUUUACAUCUCUAUGCACAAUACUGGAUUGUGCAUAUAUAUUAGCAUACAAAAUAACACUAAGCACCUAUCUAACUCAAUAUCUAAUGCUAUCCGAAGUCUCAUUUCCCAAGUUUAUGUGAGCUUCUAUCUGCAUCCGCAACCAGUGACAUGACACUUCAAUAUUUUGAAACCCUCUGUUGGAGGACAACCCUGGACAGACCGAAAUCUGCUAUUUUUUGCAUCUAAGUUUCCGUUGUGCUGUGCUUGCUCUCCCCUCCUAAUGCAAUUCUCUUACUGGAAUCCCUUCUUAAGUGAGCUGAAAUACAAAUCCAAUUUUAUCUGUGAUUAAUGUACUCUAGAUAACUUGACAUGGUUUUAUUCAAGGAUGAAAACCUUGAACAAAGAAGUUACAUAUUGACUAAACAGAUUACCUUCCAUAAAAUUGGUCUGAUAAAACCGUGUGAGUUGAGAGGACAUGCACACAGUGAGAAGAAACACAACCUUGUACAAAAGUGUAUCUGCACCAUAACAAGUAAAAACCAUGCGCAACAUGCCUUAGAACAUAUUUGCAAACCAAAUGGAACUAAGACAAGAGAAGAGAACAAAUCAUGAAUUACUGUUUCGGGAAAGAAACCUACACUUGACUCUGGGAAAUGCGAGAAAUCUUGGGCCAGUCGGGCAAGUGCUUCUUUUAAUUUAGAACGCACCGGUAAAAUUUGGAUUGGCUUCCCUACUGCCAAUAGAUACUUGAGAUUCCGACAACGGUGAAUAGAUAGAUGGUCGAUUCAUGAAAGGUUCCGUCAUCACUCUGGUAAGAGCCUUUUCAAUCAUAUAAUACUGCAGAAAGCGAGAGUGAACGAAGAAUUUUGAACAAAAUAUACAUGGAUAAUUGAUUGGCUCCAAAAAUAAGGGCUCCAAAAAUAAAAACUACCUCAGAUCUGGAAUGUGAGAAAUCUUUGGCCAUUCUGGGCCGCUGUCCUUGGCGCAUCUUUCUUCCAGACGGGGACACCGUCCAAUCAGUAGCUCAUGUAAUUUGGGCAUAGCUUCGACCGUAGGCAGAUACAUCAGGUUCUUACAUUUCCGAAUCGACAACUUAGUAAGAGAUGUGAGGUUGCCCAACCACUCUGGAAGAGCCUCCAGACCAUCGAAUUUCCGAAUUUCCAACUUAGUUAGAGAAGCAGAGUGUUGAAUUUGCGGAGGCAGAGACUUGAGCUUAGGCCACCCGUACAAUCUUAAUUCUUCAAGUUUCGAUGGGACCUGAAUAUCCGGGAAAGAAUCGAGCUCUUGGCAGAAGGCACCGAUCCACAACACUUUCAAACGAGAUAGAGAGUGCAGCCCCUUGGGCAAAUAUUGCAAUUUCCCACAAAAAGAUAAUUGUAAAGAGGAAAGAAAUUGCAAGCUGGACACAUUUUGAUCCGCCAGAGAUAUCAAAUUGGAGCAUUCACUAACAAGCAAAUGGGUAAGAGAUGUGCAGUAUGCAAGCCCACUCGGUAGACUUAUUAAUCCAUCACAUCUCAUAAUAUUCAAUAUAGUGAGGGAUGUGAGGUUGUCUAAACUGGGAAUAGCCUCUAGAUUAGGGCAUUCCCAUAUUUCCAUCUUCUCAAGAGAGACGGGGGUUUGUACUUGUAGCCCAUGACCCGACAAAGUCCUCAAAUUUUGACAAUCCCAGAUACUCAGUUUGCGAAGAGUAGUACAAGAAUGGAGCCCACUCAAUAUACUUGUGAAUCCAUCGUAGUAUUUAAUUGUCAAUUCACAUAGGAAUGUGCAACCAUUUAAAGACAAGUCCCCCUCGAGAGUAGUGCAUCUCUCAAUAACCAAAUCACGGAGUGAGGGCAUACACUGAAUUGAAGUGCAUCUUAGCUUUGGGCAAUUAACUAUUUUCAACUCCUGAAGAGAUUGGGAUGGUGAAUUUGGAAGGAUUCUAGAUCGCCGCAAUCCUCAAUUUUCACCAUCUCAAGUGAGGGGCAAUAUUCUAACCCACAACACAAGCUCGACAAUUUCUCACAUCUCUUAAUUCUCAAUUGACGGAGAUUGGUUACUCGACAAUUUCUCAUCAUCCAAGAUGCAAAUUUAGUACCAUUGAAUUCCUUAAUCGUCAAGCUUUCUAAGUUGGGGUGCGGUUGGAGUCCUUCGAGAAUAUCCUCGUUAAGAAAAUUGCCAUUUUUUUCUUCAGGAGGGACCCAACUCCAUUUUAAUAUCAAUUUUCGUAGGUUUGCCUUUUCCACUAAUUUUGAUUUUAUUGCUUCUUCCUUGUCUCUCACAAAAUCCAAUGAUCCAAUAACUAGUUCCCCUUUCAGUUCAUUUAGCCCACCUAGCUCAUCAAGUCUAUGACGCCUUGCUCUAUCCAAUUUAAAAGAAGGUAGCAUUUGCAGAUGAGUCAAUCUUUUCAUCCCAAAUGGAACUUCCUUAUCCUUAUCAAAAUAAACAUGUCUCAAGUUGAUCAAAUUUUCCAUUUCCCUAGGAAACGUUUUAAGAUUGUCUGUAUUUGACAUUCUUAACGUCUGAAGAUUAUAGAGCUUGCCCAUAGAUUUGGGGAGUGCUUUUAAUUUUGUACUUGAAAUAUUGAGAUACCUCAAGCGUUUCAACUUUCCAAUUGAGAUGGGCAACUCCUCUAUUACAGCCAUGUAUAAAUUCAAUGUCCGUAAAUCUCUGAACCUUUCAAACAUGUUACUGAACUCAAAGCGUCGUGGAGGAAACAAUGAUAGCAAUCUCCUAACGCUUCCUUGUAGAAAUCUUUCAAGUGUCGUGGAAGAAAUCCGGGCAACAUGCUGAAUCUCAAGUGCUCCAUCGUCCAUCCGAUCCAAGUCUCGUGUCAAGCUUUCAAAUUUGAAUACUUCCUCAGCAAGAUCAUGCACAAGAUCGUGCAUCUUGCAUUUGGUAUUCCCAUACUCAUCUUCUCUUUCUCUUCUAUGUGCAUACUGAUAGUUUCUAGCAUAUUGAAAUAAAGAGUUUUGCAAUAGAAUAUUAAAAUAUUCAUUACCUUUAUCCUCCAUGGGAGAAGAAUGGAGAUAUCCUUGAGCCAUCCAGAGUUGGACCAAGUCAUCUUUUUCAAUCUCACAAUCUUUUUCAAACAUUGAGCAAUAUGCAAAACAUUGCUUCAAUGAUGGCUCUCUUAAAUUAUCAAAACUCAACUUCAAGAUCGGCAUGAUUCGGUCCUCUCGAUCUGGUAAUUCCCAUAUUUUACUUUCUAGAAUUGACGACCAUUCCUGUGAAUGCAUCAAGCUUCCUAAAACCUGUUGAUACAUAAGAUAAUUAGUUUCUAUAUGUUGUAGAAUAAUAAAACCUGAUUAGCAAAAUAAUAACAGUGCCAAAUUUUAGUUUUAUUGAAUUUUGACUAACAUUAUUGGCAAGAUAAUGACGCAUUGAACUCAACUUUGUUUUGUAUCGAUGAAAAGUGAAAGACUGCUCCUGUUAGAAGAGAAAUACUAAAGGGACUUGCUAGCCAAGUAAGAAUUGGUUUCAGAAUUAAUUGAAAGAUACUUUAUUAGAUCAGUUAAAUAUAAGUUUUAAUUUUUUUUUAGUACAUCAAUAUGUUUUUAUAUUAAAGGGAGGGAGAGUUCGGCUAAACCACAUAAUGGAUAACAUAAUUUGGUAUCGAAUUCACCAUCCACAAGAUUUGAACCUAAGACCUCUCACUUUCAAGUGAAGAGAAAUACCAUGAUACUGUAGUAUUGGAGCUAUAAGUUUCAAUUAGAUACUUAUGAUAACUGGGUAAUUGAAUGGUUUGUAACAAUGCACUAGGAAGGUAGUAUUUUGAAGGAGCGCUUUGAUCCACAUUUUCUACUUUGACAUGUAUAUAUAAGGUUAAGCUUCGGAGACACUCAUUUUUGAAACAUAUUUUAACACAAGUUUUCGUGGCUUUCAUUCUAUAAUUUUUUUUUUUCAAGGAUCUCAAUCAUUUAUAUUUCAAUUCAUCAUUCAUAAAUCUUUCUUGUAAAAAAUUAGAAAAAUCCAAACUCAUUUUGACAUUUAUUUGUAGUGAAGGAAAAAGCCGAUAUGAUUCUACAAAGAUACACUAAAUUUACGCAAUUGCGCGAUGAGCACAAAGUGAACUAUUCUUUCGCCUUUUACUAAAGAAACACUAAAUUUGAUCCAAUGGUUUUUUUGGUAGAGAUGAUAUUUUAGGGAAGACGUCAAAUAUAAGACGGUUUAAUUGUUGAAAUACAUUAAACACACAAUAUAUAUAUAUAUAUAUAUAUAUAUAUAUAUAUAUAUAUAUUGGUUUUAAGGGAAGGUAUCCACAUUUUUUUUAUAAAAUUAGGGAUCUGUUGUGGGGCCCACACCACAUCGAAUUUUAACGAUCCGAACCGUCUAUUUUUUAAGUUGCACCUCAAAGAUCAUCCUUGCAAAAUAUUAGCCAAAUUGGAAAUAUUUAAGACAUCUAAAUGGGUUCAAAGAAAUUAACGAAUACUUGUUAUAUAAAAAACAACGAAAUUUUAUCUUGAUAAUUAAAUAGGCAAAUGAUUUCAGAUUGAAUUGAAUUGUUGCAAGAAUGAUCUAUGAAUCGAGACUUACAAAAUAGACUAUUUAGAUCAUUGAAGUUCGAUGUGAAGUGGCCUACGGAUUGUGUCAAAAAAUGUGUCUCCCAAUCCUAAUCCAUAUAUAUAUAUAUAUAUAUAUAUAUAUAUAUAUUAUAUAAACAAAAUUGACCCUUUAAAGCUCACUAUUAUGUUUUUCAUGCAAUUUUCCUUUAAAAAUGUUGGACAAAAUUAGAUAUACCAAGUUAAGGCUUUUUAUAAUGGCGAUUAUGUUGAAUAUUUAAUCAUACUUAUAUUACUAACGUAUAGUGAUAUUUUUUUUACCUGUAACUGAAGGGUCUUAAGUUUGACUCAUAUGAAUGGUGAUGACACAUUAUAUUUAUUUGAGUUUGAGAUCUAGUAAUGACUAAUCCAUUAUAUGGCCUAGCCCAAUUAAACUUAGGGGGAGUCUAUCCAGGAGUCUCACUUGACCUUAAUAUAUUCUUUUUCCCAAUAGUUUGAAGCAUUUUUUCCUUUAAGUUUUUGCUACCUAAUAAGGUUUUAAUGAGACACCCAUCUUGGGAUUGUCAUACCCUUGUGUGCGUCCUUUUAGACGUUUAAUCUUUACUUUGCAUUAACUCAUAUUUCUCCUUAAGACUUAUUUUCAUAUGCAAGUUCCUUAUUUAAAACUAGCAUGUUUCUCUAUCAGUGCCUACGAGACGACUUCAUACUAUUUUUACAAAUCUGAUGCAAUAUCUACUUGAGUAUUUACACACUCAAGGGGGAGUGUUGUAAUUAAUAUUUGACAUUGUGUGUGUUUGUACCAUACUUGACCAAUCCCGAAACUACUGAGCAUCGGUCAACGUUAUAGCGUCAAGGACCCAAAAGAGUUUCCCUCCAACCAGAAGGUCAAUCACAGCGAGACACGUGUUGACAUCAGAAGCCAAUCAUAGCGCGACACGUGUCAACAUCAGAAGCCAAUCACACGUGUCAAUGUCAGAAUGAAACUAGAAACUCUCUUCUAUAAAUAGAGAUCAUUCUCUCACAAUAUUUCCUAAUGUCAUUUGUACUAAAUCAUUCACUUGUACUCACUAAAGGAGAGCUUGAACCUAUGUACUUGUGUAAACCCUUCACAAUUAAUGAGAACUCAUCUACUCCGUGGACGUAGCCAAUCUGGGUGAACCACGUACAUCUUGUGUUUGCUUCCCUGUCUCUAUCCAUUUACAUACUUAUCCACACUAGUGACCGGAGCAAUCUAGCGAAGGUCACAAACUUUACAUUUUCUGUUGUACCAAAGUCCUUACUGAUUUUGUGCAUCAACAUUUGGCGCCGUCUGUGGGAACGACACUUAUUCCCAUUCUCUUCAGCUUUGCCAAGCUGGUUUCCACCAUUCGUACACUCUCUUUUGACCAGGCAUCCCUCUCCAACAUGGGGAGCAAAGGAAGCCAGAGCACACAGAAUGACACCCAUCUUGCACCUAGUGCAAAGCAACGAAAGAAGGAAGGAAAUAAGGCUACUCUUCAAGCUAAAGUCGAUGAGCUAGAAGCUCAGAACAACAAGAUAGCAAUGAAGAAUGAGAUCCUCCGGGAGCAGUAUGAGAAGCUUUUUUAGACGCUCCACGAAACUAGGCAUACUCAAACACGCGAGCUCGUUGCCCCUGUAGACAUCAACCAUCAUCUGGGUGCCCCCCAACAUGGAGGGUAACCUCCCUUCGACAUGGGUAUCCCUGAUGAGGAGCGAGCUAAUCAUCAAAACAUUGAUCAACAUGAGACUUCUCUCAACCAGAUGCUUCGACCCAAAGUAGAAGAAGUGGAGGAAGAUACCUCCUUGCAGAAGGGUUGGAACUUAUCAAUCUCUAACCAACGAGACAAGGCACUUGCAAUUCCAAGGAAUUAAAAUCCUAACUAUCAAACCUCUGUUUGGAAUGCCCUAGCUCCUUGAGUUGACGAUGGAGAAAGUAUUUUAACCGCAACUUGAGUGCCAUCUUCCAAGUAGCCAUGGUAUACAAUCCCAAAUCCUCCUUUCCCAAUUUCAGUUUGAAAGUUUUUGGUGAUUUUUAAAACCUCGUCACAAGUAAACUGGGACUUCAUUGAUGCUACUGGUGUGCUACAUGUGUUUUGUUAUGUUUCUCCAUCUGCAGCUUAAGGACAAAAAGUUAUGAGUUCUAACUGGAUAGGAAUACCACUACGCCAUAGUAGCAGCGCUAUUUCUAACUAUAUAAUUAUCAAGGGCAUAAAAUGGCACCUGGUUUUCUUAUUCUUCUCAGCUUCCAGACCAGUAAGAGCACUAUAACUUGAAGGAGGGCCAUUGUUGAAAGUAAUGAUCCAAGUAUUGGAACAACAAUGUUCUUCUUGCACUUGCUUGAAUCUGAGCUAAAAAGAACUUAUCAGCAGAUAGAAAAUAUAAAUCUGAAGGACGCAAUACCAUUUGCUUUCGUUAAAGAAAAUGCUAACCUAUUCAGCACUCUCCAUGAACGAAACUUGCACAGAGCAGUAGGACGAGGAAACCAGUUGAGAUCUUCAUCUGUCUCAUUGCAGCCUAUGAACUACCUGGUAUUUAAAAUGUGUGACAAUGUCCUGACCAAAAAAACAGAAAAACAUAUAUGACAGUGUUGAUUUGUAAUCUCAUGCUGCACAACUUGCAGAGUACAUACAUGAUCCUUUACAUGGGGAUGCUUAGUCUACGUCAAUCAAUGGAUCAUGCAAUGUUCAUACUAAGAGAGCAAUUUGGUCAACCCAACGUAUUUUCUAGUCAAAGCAUUUAAAACAUUGUUCCUAUUAGGGUUAUGUGGUGUGAUACAAGUCAGGGAGAUAACCCGAAGUAUUAGACAAAAGUGAUUAAGUCGAGGACAAUAUAGAUGCAUACUUGUAUUUAGCCUAGACUGAUUCACUGCACAACAGAUCCCAACCCCAUUUUUAACCCACCAAGUUUUGAACAUGGGAUGAACGAGAGAGUUUGUAGCUACCUAGCAUGCUGCUGUCAUGGAACGUGCAUUUGUGGAAUCUGAACAUCUGGAAAUCACUCUAGGUGAACUCUGGUAUUGUGAGAUCAUAACAAGAGUUUCUUCAUUUGAGCCUGGAGUUCUUUCUCGAUGCUUAGACACCUCCAUUACAUACAUUUUAUUAGUUGGCACAGCACAAAACCAACCAUGGUGGCUCUAUGUUGGGAGGUGGAAGUUGUGCAUGCCAUUGCUGUCUUUAAUGAUUUCCUGACCGAAUUCACAUCGAACUUUCUUUGAAUCCUUCGAUCCAAAUUAGUUGUUAAAUCACCAUUCUGGAACUCAGAAUUCACCCACUCCACGAUGCAGACAAGAUCAUCACUUUCUAUGAUUGCAGCCUUGCAGGUUGGCCCGUAAAACUCUAAAAUUCAACCUUUGAUAAUUAUAGUACCUGCAGACAAUAAAAAGUAAUCAUAAAUAAACCACUCACUGUUCAUACAUUUGUAUUUAUAACAUGAUAAACAAUCUAAUAGAACACAGAAAUUUGAAUAUACUCGCAAUCAAGAUAACCCGCUCUGCCCAUGACCUAUGUCACCACACGAGUCCCAUUAUCACUGGAAAAAACCACAGACAGACCGAAACCUGCUCUUUUCGCAUCCAAGUUUUCGUUGUACUGUGCUUGCUCUCCCCUCUUAAUGCAAUUCUUCUAUUGGAUUCCCUUCUUGAGUGUAGCUGAAAUACAAAUCCAAUUUAUCUGUGAUUAACGUAUUCUAGAUAACUCGACAUGAUUUUAUUCAAGGAUGAAAGACCGAAGAAAGAAGGUGUAUAUUGGCUAAACAGACUACCUUACACAAAACUGGUCUCAUAAAAUUGUAUCUGCACCAUAACACCAUGUGGAAGAUGUCUUAGAACAUAUUCGAAUGCACAUUGGACGUUAUAACAUAUACAGAAUGACCACGGAUUCGUAAACAGUUGCAAAUGUACUUCUAUUAACUCAUAUUUAAGGACUAAAAAGCUUAAUCUCCACAAAAGUCUAAAGUGUUGUUCCAAAAAGAUUGUGAAAGCAAAGAAAUUAAUGUUCUUCCAUGAGGCUAGAAAGUGUAUGAUUUUGCAAACUAAAUGCAACUAAGACAAGAGAACAGAACCAAUCACGAAUUACUGUUUCGGGAAAGAAACUUACACUUGACUGUCAGAAAUGCAAGAAAUCUUGGGCCAGUUGAGCAGGUUACUUCUUUUAAUUUAGAACACAACAGUAAAAUGUAGACUGGCUUUCCUACUGUCGACAGAUACUUCAGGUUCCAACAACGGUGAGUAGAUAGAUCGUCGACACAUGAAAGGUUCCGUCAUCACUCUGGUAAGACCCUUCUGAAUCAUCCAGUGCCAUUGUUGAUGGUAAUGAUCCAAGUAUUGGAACAACAAUAUUCUUCUUGAGCUUGCUUGAAUCUAAUCUAAAAAUAACUUAUCAGCAGAUACAACAACAACAACAACAACAACAAAGCCUUUUCCCACUAAGUGGGGUCGGCUAAAAAUAACUUAUCAGCAGAUAGAAAAUAUAAAUCUGAAGGACGCAACGCCAUUCACAAAACUUGCCCAGAGCAGCAGGACGAGGAAACCAGUUGAGAUCUUCAUCUCUCUGUCUCAUUGCAGCCUAUGAACUACCAGGUAUUUAAAACGCAUGACAAUAUCCCGGCCAAAAAAAUUGAAAAACGUAUAUGAGUGCGAAUGAUCCUUAUUACAUGGGGAUGCUUAGUGUACGUCAAUCAAAAUGCAAUGUUCAUACUAGAGCAAUUUGGUCAAGCCAACGUAUUUUCUAGUCAAAGCAUUUCAAACAAUGUUCCUGUUAGGGUUAUGUGCUGUGAUACAACCCGAAGUAUUGGACAAAAGUGAUUAAGUUGAGUACAAUAUAGAUACAUAUUAUUAUGUAGCCUACACUGAUUCACUACAUAACAGAUCCCACACCCAUUUUUAACCCACCCAGUUUUGAACAUGGGAUGAAUGAGAGUUUGUAGCUACCUAGCUAUUAAGGGUGAAAAUGUAAUACAAUUAGUAAUAUAAUUAGGUAGUUAGUAUUUGGUUAAAGUAGUUAGGAUUUCUAUAUAAACAGUAUGUGUAAUCUUCAUUUGAGUUAGUUAAUACAAAUCCUAUUUCUCUCUCUAAACUCUCUGUCUCUCAAACUCUCUGUAUUGAUCUUUCUUCUCUUCAUCUUUCUUGUUGAUUUUCUUUCAAUUCCCAAAUAUUACAAUGUAGUUAAUAUGGUAUCAGAGCCACCAGGCUCACGCCAUGGAUUCUGGUGGUUUCACUUCCCAUUAUUUUACAUUUGGUUCUAGCUUAGUUCUAUCCAAAUUUUCAUUAGAUGUUAGGAAUUACGAUAAGUUUCUGGGUGCUUCCACGAUCGUUCUUUUACUUCUGGGUUGAUGUGUUUCUGGGUUGAUUUCUUUCUGAUCAAAUUCAUGAGUCUAUUCCCGAUCGAAAGCGAGAGAUCGAAAGUUGGAGAAAAUUUCAAAGCAAAAUGGUGGCAGAGCAAAUGCAGAGAGUAGCAUCUCCACCGUCGCAAUCGAUUGAGGCGCCGAAGAAGAAUAGAAUUCAGGUCUCCAACAAUAAGAAACCGCUCUUCUCGUUAAUCUUGCUAAGAGGUACAUAAAGCAGUACUAGGAGACUCAGUAUUCUGGGUCCGAUUGCGGAGGUUUCUUUGAUAUCUUGAUCAUGGCGGUUGGGCAACUCUUGGCGUUUGCACUACUUGCCUGGUAAUGUUGCUUUUCCGAUUCAGUUGCUUAAUUUCAUUAUUGGGUAACUUGAUUUGUUGAUUCUUGGAGGGUUCUUAGAGAUCUUUGAUCAGAACAGUGGACUGUGAAUUGGGUUCAAUUACUUGCUUUGAUUAGUAGAUGACUAGCACAGUUUUUCGAUUCAAGGAGGUGGUGUUGCUAAUUCCUUAAUUGGGUAUAUGAAGAAACAGUUGUUAAUUACUUAAUUGGUAAUUCUGAUUCUUGAAGAUGGUUUUGGGGAUUCAAUUUGUUCAGUUUGGACUGUUGCUCAAAGAAAGUACUGUUUUAUAAUCUGUUUUUGUAUAGGAAAUGGUUGUUGUUUGUUCAAGAUUGCAAAUCUUGGGAGCUCUUCAGGUUAUGAUUAUGUGCACUCCAACUGUUUGAAGGAAUGGGUCAGUAAAUUCUUUGAUCUCUACUCUGUUCUCUGGUAUGGAAGAAAGAUCAGACAUGGGUGCAGUCCAGGUGUUUGUUGAAAUGCCCAACUCAAACGUUUCAUGUGAAGUCUUUGUGGUAGUCUUAGCUGAACUUUUGUGGGAUCAAUUAAAAACCAAAAGGACUCAUUCUAGAAGCUCGUCAAAAGUGCAACAACCAUUUAGUUCUUGGUUCAUGGAUGAUCUUCUUGCAUUUUUUGAUAGAUCGGAAGAUACGACAAAUGAAUGUAUAGUAUGUGUUGUCAUUUACAACAUUGAUGGACCUGGACUAAGGGAAUCAGAAACCCAACAGUGUCUUGCAUGAGUUGUUUCUUGUUCUUAUAUUUGCAUUUUGGCCUCUAUAUGACAGCAUGUUUAGUGCACUGUGAAGUGGGAUGUCCUCCGAAUGUGAGCUCAUACAACACCAUGUUUAGUGCAUUGUGGAACUGUGGAGACAGAGUUUGAGCUUCGCAAAUGGUAUCAGAAAUGUUAAGCAAAGGAAUAGAUCCCGAUGGGAUUACUUACAAUUCGUUUACAUCGUGUUUGUGCAGUAUAUUUUCUUAUCUCAGCCUAUAAUUUCAUAGUCUAACCAACUCAGUUGUUAGCAUGAAUCUACAGUAAGUCCGGUUAUACGAUGAAGGAAGUUGUGAACGGUCAAUCCCACGAAGGGUAAUUCCGUGAUGUGAAUAGGUAAAUCCCACGAAAGGUAGAAGUUGUUAACGGUAAAUCCCACAAAGGGUAAUUCCGUGAUGUGAGUAGGUAAAUCCCACGAAGGGUAAUCCUACAUAGAUGUUGAUUUUCAAUUGUGAAGGCCGAUGCCAUUGUUCAAAGAAGUUGUUUUUUGGUAAAAUCCACAAAGGGCGAUCCCGUGGUGCUAUAGUUAAGGCCGAUGCCAUUGUUCAAAGAAGUUGUUUUUUGGUAAAAUCCACAAAGGGCGAUCCCGUGGUGCUAUAGUUAAGGCCGAUGCCACACUAUAGUUUGUUAAUUUUCUGUUUUUGUAAAUAUUAAAGGCCGAAGCCAAGUUGAAUGAGAUUGUUGACGGUGAAUCCCAUGAAGGGUAAUCCCGUAAGAAAUUGUUAUAACCGGCAUGAGGGUGUGCUACGACUCCUUUAUAGAAGGUUGUUCUUUGUGAAGAUACUGUUAGAGGCAGGGGAAGGAUGUCAUGAUUUCGGUCCACUGGUUGGAGUCAGAAGCUGGAAAUAGCAAGAUGAACAACUUCAUUAUUACACACUACUCCAAACUGCAAGUGACAGAGCAAUGGAACAUUAUUUGCCCAGAUCAAGUUGAAUGAGUUGAAAUUGGACACAGUUUGAUAACAUUUGAAGCAGAGAAGAUACUCAUUUUUGCCAUUUUACACACCCAUGAUGGAACAGUUGUUUUCUUGUUCUUUUUAUAAGAUGAAGUUGUUGAUGUCUGAUUAAAGUACUUUGAAAAUUGCUUUCAACUUUUGGAAGAUUGGUGCACCCAAACAUGGGGAAUUGGGUUACUCUUCCUUAGCGCCAUUGAUCGGUCUGCUCCAAUCUCAAUAUGAGUUUCCCCAGUUGAGAUUGAGGGGGAGUAUUAAGGGUGAAAAUGUAAUACAGUUAGUAAUAUAGUUAGGUAGUUAGUAUUUGGUUAAAGUAGUCAGGAUUUCUAUAUAAACAGUAUGUGUAAUCUUCAUUUGAGUUAGUUAAUACAAAUCCUAUUUCUCUCUCUAAACUCUCUGUCUCUCAAACUCUCUGUAUUGAUCUUUCUUCUCUUCAUCUUUCUUGUUGAUUUUCUUUCAAUUCCCAAAUAUUACAAUGUAGUUAAUACUAGCAUGGUGCAGUCAUGGAACCUGCAUUUGUGGAAUCUGAACAUCUGGAAAUCACUCUAGGUGAACUAUGGUAUGGUGAAAUCGUAACACGAGUUUAUUCAUUUGAGCCUGGAGUUCUUUCUGGAUGCCUAGGCACCUCCAUUUCCAAACGUUGUGUUAGUUGACAUGACACUGCACAAAACUCAUGCUGCAGACCAAAAAAAGUAAUCAUACACCACUAACUGUUCUUACAUUUGUAUCCAUAACAUGAUAAAAAAUCUAAACCACGAACAAAUCAAGAUAACCCGCUGUGCCCAUGAUUGAUGUCACCACACAAGUCCCAUUAUCACUGGAAAAAACGAUGGACAUGCUCAAAUCUGCUAUUUUCGAGUCCAAGUUUUCGUUGCGCUGGGAUUGCCUCCUCUCUUAAUGCAAUUCUCUUGCUGGAUUCCCUUCUUAAGUAAGCUGAAAUACAAAUCAAUUUAUCUGUGAUUAACGUAUUUUACAUAACUUGACAUGAUCUUAUUCGAGGAUGAAAGAUGGAAGAAAGAAGUUACAUUUUAACUAAACAUAUUACCUUCCAUAAAAUUGGUAUAAUAAAACUGUGUUCGUUGGGUGAACCCACUGCCGUAGAUACUUGAGAUUCCCACAGCUCUGAAUAGAUAGUUCGUCCACACACGAAAGGUUCCGUCAUCACUCUGGCAAGAGCCUUUUGAAUCAUCAAGUGACAAUGCUUCCGAUUCUUCACCCGACUAAUAUCCCGUUUAUUGCAGAAAACGAGAGUGAGUGAACAAUAUUGGACAAAAUAUACAUGGAUAAUUGAUUGCAAAUAAAAAUAAGGGCUCCAAAAUAAAAAUUACCUUUGACAACUGGAAUGUGAUAAAUCUUUGGCUAUUCUGGGCCGUCCCUAGCGCAUCUUUCUUGGAGACGGGGACACCAUCGGAUCUCUAGCUUAUGUAAUUUGGUUAGGCGUUGCAUAGCUUCGACCGCAGGCAGAAACAUCAGAUUCUUACAAUAGGAAAUUUCCAACUUUGUAAGAGAUGUAAGGUUGCCCAACCACUCUGGAAGAGCCUCCACACCAUGGAACUUAUAAAUGGACAAAGAUGUUAGACAAGUAGAGUGUUGAAUUGGCUGAGGCAGAGACUUGAGCUUAGGCCACCCGUAUAAUAUUAAUUUUUCCGAUGGGACCUGAAGAUCCGGGAAAGAAUCGAGCUGCUUGCAGAACUUACCGAUCCACAACCUUUUCAAACCAGAUAGAGAGUGCAGCCCCUUGGGCAAAUAUUGUAAUUUCCGACAAUUAGAUACAGAUAGAGAGGAAAGAGAUUGCAAGCUGGACAAAUUGUGAUCUGCUAGAGAUAUCAAAUUGUGGCAACCAUCGACAUACAAACUGGUAAGAGAUAUGCAGGAUGCAAGCCCACUCGGUAUACUUGUUAAUCGACCGCAAUCCACAAUCUGCAACUCAGUGAGGGAUGUAAGGUUGUCUAUACUGGGAAUAGCCUCUAGAUCAGGGCAUUCGCUGAUAAUUAGAACUUCAAGUGAGACGGGGGUUUGUAGCCCAUGACCCGACAACGUCCUCAAAUUUGGACAAUGCCAAAUACUUAGGGGGGUGUAUUCAAUUGAGAAUGUGAGAGAUUUUAAUGGAUUUAUAAAUCUAUGGAUUUUUAUGGAGUUUAAUUGAUUUGUAGAGAUUCCAUAUAAAAUUUUGAUUCAAUUCCCUCGAAAUCUCAUGGGAAGAGGUGAGAUUUGUGGUUACUUAAAAUACACUAUGAAAUCUCUCCAAUUCCCUCUAAUUCCUCGACUUUCUCAAAUUCUUUAAAAUCAAUUUCUAAUUGAAUACAUCUGGAAUGUUAUAAACUUCUUUAAAAUCUUAAUUGAAUACACCUGGAUUUCUAAGGAUUUUAAUAAACUAUUUAAAAAUUCUAAUUGAAUACACCUAGAAUUUCAGAGAAUCCCUUAAAAUCCUGAUUGAAUACCCCUAGAUUCAUUAAAAGAAUUAAAAUCCCUUAAAAUCCCAAUUGAAUACACCCCCUUAGUGUGCGAAGACUAGUACAAGAAUGGCGCCCACUCAGUAUACUUUUGAAUCCAUUGCAAUUUUCAAUAAACAAAUCAUGGAGGGAUGUGCAACCGUUUAAAGACAAGUCAUCCUCCUCCUCCUCCGGUAAGAAAUCUACCGACUUCUCAAUUCACAAAAGACGGAGUGAGGGCAAACUGUGAAUUGAAGUGCAUCUUAGCUUUCAGCCUCCAACUAUUCUCAACUCCUCCGAUGAGAAACCCGUUCUGCCCAUGACCAAUGUCCCUACACAAGUCUCAUUAUCACUGGAAAAAAAACCAUGGACAGACCGAAAUCUGCUAUUUUUUGCAUCUAAGUUUCCGUUGUGCUGCGCUUGCUCUCCUCUCCUAAUGCAAUUCUCUUACUGGAAUCCCUUCUUAAGUGAGCUGAAAUACAAAUCCAAUUUUAUCUGUGAAGACUGUGAUUAAUGUAUUCUAGAUAACUUGACAUGGUUUUAUUCAAGGAUGAAAGCUUUGAACAAAGAAGUUACAUAUUGACUAAACAUAUUACCUUCCAUAAAAUUGGUCUAAUAAAACUGUGUGAGUUGAGAGGACCUGCACACAGUGAGAAGAAACACAACCUUGUACAAAACUGCGAGAAAUCUUGCGCCAGUCGGGCGGAUUGCUUGUUUUAAUUUAGAAGGCAACAGUAAAAUUUGGAUUGGCUUCCCUACUGCCGAGUGCCGAUAGAUACUUGAGAUUCCCACAACGGUGAAUAGAUAAAUGGUCGAUUCAUGAAAGGUUCCGUCACCACUCUGGUAAGAGCCUUUUCAAUCAUCAAGUGACAAUCAUUCUGCUGUCAAUACUGCAGAAAACGAGAGUGAAUGAAGAAUUUAGAACAAAAGAUACAUGGAUAAUUGAUUGGAGAUAAAAAUGAGCACUCCAAAAAAAAAAAUUACCUCAGAUGUGGAAUGUGAGAAAUCUUUGGCCAUUCUGGGCCGCUGUCCUUGGCGCAUCUUUCUUCCAGACGGGGACACCGUCCAAUCUCUAGAUCAUGUAAUUUGGUUAGGCGUUGCAUAGCUUCGACCGUAGGCAGAUACAUCAGAUUCUUACAUUUCCAAAUUGACAACCGUGUAAGAGAUGUGAGGUUGCCCAACCAUUCUGGAAGAGCCUCCAGACCAUCGAAACAAGAAAUGGACAAACGUGUUAGAGAAGCAGAGUGUUGAAUUUGCUGAGGCAGAGACUGGAGCUUAGGCCACCCGUACAAUCUUAAUUGUUUCGAUGGGACCUGAAAAUCAGGGAAAGAAUCGAGCUCUUGGCAGAAGGCACCGAUAGACAACACUUCCAAACGAGAUAGAGAGUGCAGCCCCUUGGGAAAAUAUUGUAAUUUCCCACAUUCAGAUAAAUAUAAAGAGGAAAGAGAUUGCAAGCUGGACACAUUGUGAUCCGCCAGAGAUAUCAAAUUGUCGCAUGAGUCGACCAGUAAUUUGGUAAGAGAUGUGCAGGAUGCGAGGCCACUUGGUAUACUUGUUAAUCGAUCGCAGUUGCCAAUAGACAAUUCAAGGAGGGAUGUGAGGUUGUCUAAACUGGGAAGAGCCUCCAGAUUACUGCAAUGCUUGAUACUUAGAUGUUCAAGAGAGACGGGGGUUUGUAGCCCAGGACCCGACAAAGUCCUCAAAUUUGGACAUUUAUAAAUAUCCAUUGUGCGAAGACUGGUACAAGAAAGGAGCCCACUCAGUAUACUUUUGAAUCCAUCGCAGUAUCUAAUAAUCAAAUGACGGAGGGAUGUGCAACCGUUUAAAGACAAGUCUUCCUCGAGAGUAGUGCAUCUCUCAAUAACCAAAUCACGGAGUGAGGGCAUAUUCUGAAUUGAAGUGCAUCUUAACUUUGGGCAAUCAACUAUUUUCAACUCCUCAAGAGACUGGGAUGAUGAAAUUUGGAAGGAUUCUAGAUUGCGGCAAUAUUUAAUUUCCACUGUCUCAAGUGAAGGGCAAUAGUCUAACCCACAACACAAGCUCAACAAUUUCUCACAACUCCUAAUUCUCAAUUCACGGAGAUUGGUUACUCGACUGCAUAUAUUUUCUAUUGGCAUGGCGUUAUCAACAUAACGUAUAUCUAACUCCCUGAGAGAUGGAAAAUGAGUGGGAGCACUUGCCAAUCCCCGACAAUGCUCUAUUGUCAACUGCUCAAGGCAGGGAAACACUACUAAGGCUGCUUUCUCACCUGUUGACCUCACUUUCUCAACAACCGCUUCCUUCCAUUCACUUAAUGAUGGGCAAUGGAUAAAUGAUAAGCUUUUCAAUGCUGGAAACAAAGUCACCUCCGUGGCCGCCUCAUCAUUAUUAAUGUAUUUAUAACCAUAAAACUCAACUCCAACACAUUUAAGCUUCUCCAUAUUCUCAAAUAAAAUACGUCUAAGAUUCGGCAAGUGUCCGAGUGGUGGGACUGCUUCACAUUCUACACAACAGCUUAACUCAAUCUCUAUUAAAUUGAUGGGCAACGAAUCGCUCAUCAUCCAUGAUGCAAAUUUAGUACCCUUGAAUUCCUCAAUCCUCAAGCUUUCUAUGUUGGGGUGCGGCUGGAGUCCUUCAAGAAUAUCCUCGUCAAGAAAAUUGCCAUUUCUUUCUUCAGGAGGGACCCACCCCCAUUUUAAUAUCAAUUUUCGUAGGUUUGCCUUUUUCACUAAUUUUGAUUUCAUUGCUUCUUCCUUGUCUCUCACAAAUUCCAAUGAUCCAAUAACUAGUUUCCCUUUCAGUUCAUUUAACCCACCUAGCUCAUCAAGUCUAUGACGCCUUGCUCUAUCCAAUUUAAAAGAAGAUAGUGUUUGCAGAUGAGUCAAUCUUGUCAUUCCAAAUGGAACUUCCACAUCCCCGUCGAAAUAAACAUGUCUCAAGUUGAUCAAAUUUUCCAUUUCCCUAGGAAACGUUUUAAGCCUCCAUGCUCUUAACAUUCUUAACGUUUGAAGAUUAUAGAGCUUGCCAACAGAUUUUGGGAGUUCUUUUAUUCCUGUCCAGGAAAUGUUGAGAUACCUCAAGCGUUUCAACUUUCCAAUUGAAUUGGGCAACUCCUCAAUUUCAGCAUCGAAUAAAUUCAACAUCCGUAAACCUUUAAACCUUUCAAAGAUGUUACCACUAGGGACCUUGCAAUCAACAAACAACGACCGCAAUCUCUUAACACUCCCUUUUGGAAUUCUUUCAAGUGUAGUGGAAGAAAUCCGCGCAACAUGCUGAAUCUCAAGUGCAUCAUCAUCCAUCUGAUCCAAGUCUCGCGUCAAGCUUUCAAAUUUGAAUGCUUUUUCUGCAAGAUCAUGCACCAGAUCGUGCAUCUUGCAAAUGGUAAUACUGUACUCUUCUCUAGCAUCUUGAAAUAAAGAAUUUUGCAAUAGAAUAUUAAAAUAUUCAUUACCUAUAUCCUCCAUACUCACGUUGGUAGAAGAAUGGAGAUAUCCUUGAGCCAUCCAGAGCUGGACCAAGUCAUCUUUUUCAAUUUCAAAAUCUUUCACAAACAUUGAGCAAUAUGCAAAACAUUGCUUCAAUAAUGACGGUGUUAAAUUAUCAAAACUCAACUUCAAGACCGACAUGAUUUUCUCCUCUUCAUUUGGUAAUUCCCAUAUUUUACUUUCUAGAAUUGACGACCAUUCACGCCUGCUAUUUUUAGAACGCAUCAGGCUUCCUAAAACCUGUUGAUAUAUAAGUUAGUUUCUACGUAUUUUAUAAUAUAAAAAGGUGAUUAGCACAAUAAUAAUCCCAAAUUAUAGUUUCAUUGAAUUUUGAAUAGAGUGAUUAGCAAAACAAAGAUGCAUUAAACUCAACUUUGUUUUGUAUAGACCAGAAGUGCAAGAUUGCUCUCCAAUAGUUUUGCUUGUUAGAAGAGAAAUACUACGGAGACUUGCUAGCCAAGUAAGAAUUAGUCUCAGAAUUAAACUCAAAGAUCCUUGAUUAGAUCAUUUAAAUGUGUUAAUUUAAUACUUAUAUGAUAACCGAGUAAUUGAACAGUUUGUAACAAUGCACUAGGAAAGUAGUAUUUUGAAGGAGCGUUUUGAUCCAAAUUUUUUAUAGUGUUCUACAAAGAAACACUAAAUUUAUGCAGCCGCGGGGUGAGCAUAGAGCGAACUAUUCUUUCGCCUUUUACUAAAGAAACGCUAAAUUUGAUCCAACGGUCAUACGACUUCGGAUUUGGGUGAUCUUUUGUAAUGAUCAUUUUGAGGAAACACAAAAAUAGACGGUUAAAUCGUUGAAAUAUACAAACCUAUAUAUAUAUAUAUAUAUAUAUAUAUUAUAAACAAAUUGAUCCUUUAAAAGCUCAUUAUUAUGUUUUUCAUGCAAUUUUCUUACAAAAAUGUUGGGACAAGAUUAAAUUUUACUGAGUUAAGGUUUUUUAUAAUGGCGAUUUUGUUGAAUAUUUAAUCAUACUUAUAUUAGCAAACUAAAAGAUCUUAAGUUCGACUCAUAUGAAUGAGGAUAACUUAUUAUAUUUGUUUGAGUUCGAAACCAUACUCAUACAUGACCCAGCCCAAUUCCCGUUAAGAGUAGAAUAGUAGAAAUCAUAGUCAUACAUUACCCUAAUUCUGCAAACUAAUCCUUUAUGGAGAAAGCCACCAAUCUAUGUCUUCGACUGGCGACCCAUUUUUGUGUGUAAUUAAUGUCUCAUAUUACAAACUUAUCUCUGAACUACUCAUUAAUCUUUUAAUAUCUAUUUUAGGUAAACGUAUUUGACAAAACCAAGAUGUUUUUAUUCCCAUUCAAUUGAUUAAUUCAAUAUGGGAUAUCGGAGUGAUGCUAGAGAGACCAACUACUUCAAUCACACUCAUAGAUCACAUGAUGUGUUAGUUGAUGGUUGGACUUAUUAUUCAAAUCAUUAAAGAAAGAAUCCAACUAUCAACUGCUACAUCAUGCGGUCUACAAAAUAUGGUAUCCCUACUCCCUAGCAUAAAAUUGCAAGAAAACUUGAUAUGAAAAACAAUUUGGGUCAUAAUCGUUAUCAAUUUGCAUCAUCUUUCUCUAUGAUUAAAACUGUAGAUUUUUUGUUUCAAAGUGUUUUCUAUUUCAUGAGUAAUUCCGAAUGUACAAUGCAGUAUAUACAGGCAAGAGAAACAAAUGGUUAGAAGCAACCAUCUUUACAUGAAACCCUAGAGACCGGUUAAACCUAGGACACAAGCUUUUCCUUAAUUUAAGGUGAUUUACAUCAAAUCCUAGACUAAGAAGUAAUCAGCAAGUUAAGUGCCUUGAAUCAAGGAACUAGAAAAACUGGCGGUUGACUUGUGUAUCUAUGGUUACUUGUGGACUUGAUAUGAGAUGACAUGCUAGGGUUUAGUGUGACUGGUUCCAACACUCCCCCUCAAGCUGGAUCGUGAAGUGUAGUCGAGCCAAGCUUGCUCAGAAGCCUAUGUAACUGAGAAAAGGGUAGAGCCUUAGUAAAUAAGUCAGCCAAUUGAUCAUGACUUUGAGUGAAUUGAGUCUGAAUGACUUGUGUUUGAACUUGAGCUCAGAUGAAAUGGCAGUCCACCUCAAUGUGCUUGGUUCUUUCAUGAAAAACAGGAUUAGCUACAAUGUGCAUGGCAGCUUGGUUAUCACACAUGAGAGACAUAAGGGCUUGAUGUGAGAGCCCUAAAUCUGAAACCAAGCCUUUAAGCCAAAUCAGUAAGCAUGCAGUGGCUGCCAUUGCUUAAUACUUUGCUUCAGCACUCAAUCGUGCUAUAACAUGUUGCUUCUUACUCUUCCAUGUCACGAGGUUUCCCCUAAUGAAAGUACAAUAUGUAAUGGUAGAUUUUCUGUCAAUUGCAUUACCUGCCCAGUCUGCAUCGGUGUACGCACUAAUUUCUAUGGACUGAUUGUUUGACAUAAGAAUGCCUCUGUCCAAUGAACCUUUGAGAUAACGAAGAACACAUUUACCAAGGUAAAGAUGUUGCAUUGUGGGAGCAUGCAUAAACUGACUAACUAAGCUGACAACAUAGGUGAUGUCUGGAUGUGUGAUAGUGAGGUAGAUAAGCUUACCAACAAAUCUUUGGUAGUAGCUUAUGUUGGUGAGAGGUUCUCCAGUAGAAUCAAUCUUCAUUUUGCUGUCAAUAGGUGUGAUGGCAGGCUUGCAAUAGAGAUUAGCCUCAGUGAGUAAAUUAACAACAUUCUUUCUUUGACUGAGGAACAACCCUUUGUGAGAGGUGGUCAUUUCAAUGCCAAGAAAGUACUUUAAUCUCCCAAGAUCUUUGAUGGAAGAUGUGUGGUGUAAGGAGUGUUUCAAGGCUUUGAUUCACUCUCAUUGUCACCAGUGAUGAUUAGAUCGUCAACAUAGAUGAGAACCACAAGUUUUCCACUUGAACCACUUCAAAUAAAUAACAAGGAAUCAACAUUGCUUCUUAUGAACUCUGUUUUUUCUAAGACAAAACUUAGCUUGGCAUACCAUGCUCUCGGAGAUUGCUUGAGUCCAUAGAUUGCCUUAUGUAGUUUACAAACCAUUCUUUUUUCCACUUGAGUGUAACCUAGUGGGGGUUGCAUGUAGACUUCUUGAAGUUCUUCAUGGAGAAAGGCAUUCUUUAUGCCUUUCUAUUGAACCAUCUGCCUUGAGCUUAGUUUUGUAAAACCACCAGCUUCCAACAGCAUUCUUUCCUAGAGGCAACUUGACAAUGCUCCAGGUAUUGUUCUCUUCCAAUGCAUUCAGCUCUUCAGCCAUAGCUAAUUUCCAAUAUGGCAAGGAAACAGCUUCUAAGAAUGUUCUUGGUUCAGCAAUUUUGGAGACUUCAGUAAGAAAUGCACGGUGAGAAGUUGAAUACUUUAAGUAAUGUAGUACAUCAGAGAUAGGGUACCUUAAGGCAUAAGUGACAUAGUCCAAUAGCCUCGCUGGAGGUUUUCUUGUCCAAGCAAGAUUUCUUCGUGCACCUUGAGUUGGCUGUGAUGAUUGUUCAUUGUCAACUUGAUUUUUAGAGCCAUGCUCAACGUCCUCUUGUGAAAUGACCUAUGGAUUUGAGAGGUUUGUGACUUGGUGCACCUCCCCAUUGCCUUGAGUGCCUUGCUGGAACAUCAUCAUCUUGUUCUAUGUACAUAGGUAAUGGGACCAAGUCAUGUAGAGACCCCCCUCCACCAGAAGCAUGCUUGGUGGUUAGAAGAAAUGAGUGUCUUCAUAAAAAAAAAACAUCUCUUGAGACAAUGCAUUUUGUUGGUAGGGGAUUGAAGCAUUUGUACCUUUUUUGUGUAGAUGAGUACCCUACAAACACACAUUUUGCAGCCCUAGCCUCCAGUUUGUCACGAUGUUGAGGCUACACAUGAACAAAGCAUGAGCAACCAAACACUUUCAAGUGAGACAGGUUGAUAGACCUCUUUUCUAGAGUUUCACAAGGAGAUUUAAACCAUAGAACAUGACUGGGUAGUCGGUUGAUGAGGUAUGUAGCUGUCAAAAUUGCAUAGGACCAAAACUUCUUUGGAACAUUCAUGUGUAACAUCAAUGCACGAGUCUUUUCAAGUAGGUCUCGGUUCUUCCGUUCAGCAAUCCCAUUUUGCUGUGGGGUUCCCACAUAGCUAGUUUGAUGUACAAUUCAUUUUGAACUCAAGUAUUGAACCAUGGUGUUGGAUAAAAACUCAAUGCCAUUAUCUGAUCUUAGUGUUUUAAUAGUUGAAUGAAAUUGGUUGGACACGAGUGUAUGAAAGUCUUGAAGGAUAGUUGAAACUUCACUUUUAGAUUUCAUGAGAUAAAGAAAAGUGACACGAGUGCAAUCAUCUACAAAUAUGACAAUGUAUGUGUAACCUUCCAUUGAUUCAAUAGUAGGACCCCAUACAUCGGUGUGAACAAGUUCGAAAUGUAUGCUAGAUCCUUACAUUGAGGUUCCAAAAGGUAACCUAGCAAACUUUGAGAAAUGACAAGUAUCACACUUAAUCAAUAGGUGACAAAACUUGGGAAAUAGUUUUGACAAAACAACUUCGGAUGGAUGGGCUAGCCUUUGGUGACAAAGUUGUUGAUUCUUGGAAAAGCUUGGUUGAACUUGAAGGGCUUUUGACAAAAGGGGUUUCGUGCAAAAAUAAUAGAGACCAUUUUGAUAGAAUCUUUCACCAAUCGUCCUCUUGGUGAGCAUCCUGAAAAAUUACAUUUGUGGGUGAGAAUAUGGCUAGGUAAUUUAGAGUGUUAGUGAGUUGUCCUACGUACAUCAACUGAAAUGGAAAAGAGGGUACGUAUAAGGAAGUAGACUCUAUGGUGUUUGAGACUAAACCUAGUUUUCCUCUUCCCAUGACCAAGACAUUUUUUCUAUUUGCAAUUGACACAUGAGAUGGUUUUGACAAGACUUGAAAAUCAUGUAAGUUUGAGGCUUUAUUUGUUAUGUUAUCAGAAGCACCUGAGUUAAUUGUCCAACAAUCAUGAUUAAAACUAGUUUAUAGUGUAGUUGAGAAUGCUUUGAAGAUACUUGGGACUGCAUCUUGUGAAACAUGAUCAUGAUCAGCUAGAAAUCCUGCAAACUGUCCAAGAAGUGUAGUUUGUUUGUUCCCUUCACCCUUGAUGUUUGUGCAGCUUCUCCAUGAUUCUUGGUUUGCAAGUAAGUUGCAAACUCGUUGAUAAGAGUAACAGGAUUGGUUGUGAAAUCCAUCAAGCCAUGAGUGAGUGAGUUGGUAGCAUGGUUGGCAACAUGCUAAGCCUUGAGAGGAGCCACUGAUGAGGAUCUUGGAACCAUCAUCCUAUUGUCUUUUAAUUUGGGCUUGAGUUCAGGGUGCAGCUCCCAACACCUCUCUUAUGUGUGACCAUAUGCAUUGCAAUACUUACACUUUAGAUGUGGAGUCUUUCCUCGGUACAUUUUGGCAUCAUGGUUUCUGUGGUUUGCAACAUACCCUUGAGCCUCAUAUAGCUUGAGAUUAGGCUCCACAUUCAUCACCCUUAUUCUUGCUUCUUCACGUUGCACUGUGACACAAACAGUCUUGAAUGAUGGUAGCUCCACGCUCAUUAAUAUGUGACUCCAGAGAUCCUCAUAUUCUGAGCUGAGGCUUGCGAGCAGUUGAUAGAUCUUAUUCUCCUCAACUCUUUUAAGAAGAAUAGUGGGAUCCGUGGUGUGAGGGAGGCCCUAAAUGUUGAACAAAAGACUUAUUUUCUUCCUGGAGGCAAGCAAUAUCUCUUUUCAAUUGGAAUACCCUGGCGUAGUUAUUCUAGUUCCCAUACAUAUCCUUCACAGAUUUCCACAAAUCUUGCAAGGAUUCACAGUAACUGAAUAUCUCAACAACAUGUUUCUCCAAAGUGUUGAGUAACAAGGACAUGACAAGUUGAUCCUUGCACAGCCAUGCUCCAUAGGUCUGAAAAGAAGAAUCUGGAAUUUCAACACUUCCAUUGAUGAACCCUAACUUUCCCCUUCCUCCUAGAGCGAGUGAAACUACCCUAGACCAAGGAAGGUAGUUGAGCUCAUUCAGCAGCACCGAGCAUAGGCGCUGGUUGGUAUUGACUUCAGCAUUCAAAAAAUUCGAGGGAGCAACCUGAGAGUUUUCUCCCUCAAGAUUGACUAUGCUUUCCUCAGCCAUUACAAAAGUUUAAACGAACACCAGUGGAAACAACACGGGCAGAGACAAGUCAAGGAUGACACUGCUCUGAUACCAUGUAGAUUUUUGGUUUCAAAGUGUUUUCUAUUUCAUGAGUAAUUCUGAAUGUACAAUGCAGUAUAUAUAGGCGAGAGAAACAAAUGGUUACAAGCAACCAUCUUUACAUGAAACCCUAGAGACCAGUUAAACCUAGGACACAAGUUUUUCCUUAAUUUAAGGUGAUUUACAUCAAAUCCAAGAAUAAGAAGUAAUCAGCAAGUUAAGUGCCUUGAAUCAAGGAGCUGGAAAACUAGCGAUUGACUUGUGUAUCCAUGAUUACUUGUAGACUUGAUAUGAGAUGACAUGCUAGGGUUGCUUUUGCUAGGGUUUAGUGUGACUGGUUCCAACAAAAACAGUUGGGCUUUAAUGACACGGAUUAAAUCUUAUUGGGUUUGAGAGUCAUGUUUUCCUAGACUUCAAUGACUAAGAAAAUGAUUAUCACUCACUGUUAAAUGUUUAAUCCAACAGUACAGAAAAAAGUAUAGUAAAAAAGUUAAAUGAGCACCAACCAUUAGAUUAAGAUCGAACGGUGGGUGACCACCAUUUUCUUGGUAAUUGGAUUAUAGGAGAACAAUUCUGUUGGGUUUUAUAGGGUUUCUUCUGUUUGAGUGGUUAAUUGGCUAUUCAAUCUUAUUGACCUCAAACCUAUGUGGCUAAAAGAAAUAGAGGAUUCAAAGCCAAGUCUAUGUUUGUCUCCUUUAAGAAAAUUUAGAGUAAUACUGUUGAUGUAAUCAAAUUUACUCCCUUAUUUGUGUAGUUUAUACUUUAACAUUAGUUUAUACGACUUCAUGCAUAAAAUUUGUUUAUAUAACAUUUUUUUAUAUAGCAUUUUUCCAUUCGUUGUCUUAAUCCACUUUGCUUUUCUAGGCACUUGAAGAUGAUCUACCCUCGCCCAUUACACCCAGAAACUCCCCACCCCUCCUUCUAAAUCUAUAUUUAUGUUAUUAAAAUAAAAAACCAAACAAAAGACAGCAAGGGGGAAUAUGAUAAUAGACAUACCUUUGCCACCAAUGGUACACCGGCACACUUUUCAGCUAUCGCCCUUCCAAUGCCCUCUUGAUCUGAAUCUAGAGAACGAGCAUUACCAUUUCGUAAUGCUUCACCCCUUAAUAUGGACCAACAAUCCUCGUUUGAUAGGAGCCCCAAAUCACACUUCGGCAUUGUCCCCGUGAUUAAUGCAACCUUUUCACUGCGGGUAGUAACAAUGGUAAUGCUUCCGGGAGCAGAAUUGAGCAUCGACAAACAAUCCGUAAAACUGCUCCAUAAAUCCUCAGCUUCAUUCCAAACAUCAUCGAGUAUCAGCAUAUAUCUCUUCCCUUUCAACCUUUCUUUGAGGUUAUUCAGCGAUGCUUCCCGACUUGUACAUCCUGCCAAUUUAAGGGACUCUAACAUCCGAUUUAGAAUCGAAUUAACGUAAAAAGGGUUGGAUACACACACCCACAUUUUUUCCUGGAAAUGUCCACCAAUAGCAUCAUCAUUGAAUAUUGAUUUUGCCAAAGUCGUCUUUCCAAGUCCUCCCAAUCCCACAACGGCCAUAACCGAAAGGUUAUUUUCCUGAUUCUUGGACUCGAUCAAGGUUGCAAUGAUAUCCGACACUGUCUUCUCCCUUCCAAUGAUCUUCUCAUCCUGACGGAAGCUUGAGACGGUUUCUCUGUUCCCCAUAGCUGGAAGGGUUUGAUCUUCUCUCCUUGCAACUAAGCCAAUGAAAGAUGCCUCACUCUUGAGAACCGCCAGGGACGCAUUGAUGUUCUUAAUCUUGUGUGCCAUCUUUUGACGAAAUAAAAUGGGAUUGGAGAGCGAAAAGAAGUUAAGUACCUUCUUCUUCAUGUGGUUUUGCAGUUCUGCUUUACGCCGGAGAACUUCAUAGUUGAUGUCCUCCAAGACAUCAUCAGCAUCAUGAGCUACGUCUUUCAGUUUUUUCACCCAGUCCUCCAACGCCUUGCGCUUGUGAGGUGGUUGGUGGGCAACAUCGCCUAAGUAAUCUUGAAUCGCAAGUGACGAUUGUUGAAGCUCAGUUAGCUCUUUAUUGAAUCCUCGGAAAAGACUGAUUUCUUGAGCAGCAAGUGAAGCGACCGACUUCAGUAUUCCCUCCACCGGAAAAGUGAUGAGACCUUCUAGCACCUUUACAGGAUCCAUACCCGCCCGAUAAGGGGAGAUUAGAGAGUAGGAAGCAGAGAACUGAGAGAAAGCCAAGGAAGGACACAAGAAGAGCGAAUUAGAUGAAUGAAAGGCUUAACAAUAAUUCAAGAAAAUGUGGUAUAAGAAGAAAGGACCCUUUAUAAUUGACGCCACUUUACGCCUGUGAGCGUCAACAUAAUGUUCAAGAGUGGAGGCCAACUUUAAUAAAGUAACGAGGAUUGAAUAGGAAAGAUAAAAAGAAGACAAAAAUAUAAACCCAUCUUAUUAGCAAAUGUGUUCCAAAAAUUAAUUACCUAGCAUUAUUCUAUCUAUAUUAUCAAGAGAACUUUCAUUGUCAACCUUUCUCGAAAAUAAGAAUUAUAUCAUUGUUUUUCUUAUUUUACCCUUAACCUUUUCUUAAAAUGACAAUCAUAUCCUCAGUUUUUUUAAUUUUACCCUCAUUUUUGAUACACAAUAUUUACAUAAAGAAGACAAAAUUGUAAUUAUAUAAUAUUAAGAAAAAUAUGCCCUUAUGAAGAGAAACUGUCUCAUCAUCAUUGUCUCAUACUUUUUAAAAAAAAUUUAAAAACUAAUCACUCCUUAAUCAAAAACAAAAAAGAAAAUGAAAUUAUUCACACACUAAGUGUGCUCAUCUGCCAGUUCAUAUAAAAGAUAACAGAUAGAAGAUGACAACUUUCACUUGGGCUUUCUAGUAAAUUAAUGAAAAUACACUAAAACCUAAAGAUGCUAAUUCAACAUGAUAAAUGACAGAAUUCGGCCUAAAAUGCUCAUGCAUCACAACAAAGUGGUGAAUUAAAUUUGUGAUUUUUCUGAAAAGCCGGUUCAAUGCAUAAAUAUUAUCAUGAAUUAACGAUAACGAUCAGAAUUCUCCUUGAGAGCAACAGGGGCAAGUUCUUGAGCCACGGCUUUACCUACUGAAACCUUUCUCCUAACAAAUGAGACGCCGGAUAACUUGCUGCGCAUCCAAGGCCAUCUUGAGCCCUUCAACCCCACCAACAUAACAUCCGACUCUAUUCCAAUCAAACAUGGGCCCCGCACGUCCCCACACGGCACAUUCCCUGACCCCCUUCGUCCUCAAUUUCCCUCCAAGAAUGUUACAUGGACAUCAACAUUCAAGUAUGAUGCAUAAACUGUAGUUUCAUCAUCCUUCCAACACGCAAUAUUUUAGUAUGCGUUGGUUGCAUCGAAUAUUUCAGACUGGAUUAGUUUUAGAGGCUAAGUUAAAUUAUGUUAAUAUAAACUAAACUUAAUUCAUAUGAUAAUACGUUUAAUGCAAUGUCAGAUUAAGACACAAAAUAAUUAAGAAAAAGGCAAAUGAAAAUCCAAUUACUUUGCUUUUAAAUCAGCAUAAACUUUUUUCUCAAAUAAUUCAAGAAAAUGUGGAUAAGAAGAUGAGAGAUACAUAUCAAGAUGGUAGGACCCCUUAUAAUUGAUGCCACUUUACAAUUGUGAACUUAAUUUGGUGAGACUGAGCACUUUUCUAAUAGUAUGGAGACAUAAAAUGGCAAAAAAUUGUAAAGCAAAGCAAGACCACAUAAAUGUAAAUCCAUCGUAUCAGCAAAGAUUUUUUCUGGACAAUUUUAGACAAUAGUGGAGAUUCAACUUUAUUAUAUGAAGAUAAUUCUAGUGUUCGGUCUUUUGAUCAAUCUGGCGAUGUGUUGCACACUCACACUAAUAUGAGCAUCAUUAUAUUGUGUUUUAUCAACCUUAAAAUUAACCCCACCCCACACGAUGGAGUGAGUCUAGUGCCGAAAAAUCAUUGUAUCAACCUCUCUAGACAACUUUAGAUGAUAAUAGAGAUCCGACUUCAAUAAAAUUAAGGAAAGAACAAAAAAUAAUAAUGCAACAGAGGAAAAAAAAAAGGGAGCACGUAAGUACAAAGAUUAUAUAAAAGAGAGAAAUGCUAAGUAACUCUCUUAAGUUGAGAUUCUAUGUGGACUUUUCGUUACUUUAUGUUUGUAAAAAAUUAUUUUAUAAUAUUGACAAGAAAAAAAAUUACAAAAAAUUUAUAGAGAAUCACACUUUUGAAAAAAUCUCCGAGAUUCUUGGCUUUUAUUACAGCUAUCCAACUAUCAAUAGCAUGCAUUGUUUUAGGAUGGAAUUUGGAAGCAUUUGAGACGGUCAUCCACGCACCAGAGAGAUGAAAGUCGUCAUGUAACUCUACCAACACGUAAUAGGGGUGGAAAAGCAAGGAGACAAAAUUGGUAUUGUAACCCUACCGACGCGUAAUAGAACGGUGGAAAAGCAGGUGCUGCUUUUUCAAGAAAACCAAGGGAAUGACGUUUCCACUUCCCAAUGGAAAACCACGAUGCCACUAUUUAAUCACUGGAUGGUUAAGAUUGAAAUUUCGCAAAAGAUUCAUGCAUAUACGAUAUUUAGUUAAUAAUUUAAUCAUUUGUAAUUACAUUAUUGAAUUUGUGAAUUUGAUUUAAAAUUUUUAAUUUCUCUAAUAUUACCAAUAUUGAAACACCUAACCCAACUCAAGCUCCUUCAAUCAACAAAAGAAAAAGUCAUCCACCUCCAUCAAAAUUGAGAUAAAAUGGACCAGAAUGCUCUCAUGAUCCUUCUCUCCAAAUCUGAUUGGGUCAUUUUCUUGAGUCGAGUAAUAGCAUUAAUAAGUUACAUAUUCUAUUAAUCGCCGAUAAAAUUCAAACUUACACCAUUAUACAAGGAUACAAAACAUUUCCAUCACUAUAAUAAAAGACCACUUGCGACCGGGUCAUUUAAUUUAAAUCGCCCAUCCCAGCGUGUGGCAACUUCUUUCUUUUCAUACUUUCUCUGCGUGAAGACGUCUACACGCGAAAGAUCUUCAUCGUCCACCUUAUUUCACGCGGUGAUUCAUUUAUUGACUUAAACUUGUUUCGAUUAGUCAACAAAUAUAGGUCUUCCAUGAAUUUUUGUCAGGACUCAGUGCUAGUGACUAUUCAAACCCUACCUAAUUCUCACAUCUUCACCAUGAUUAGUCAACAAAUAUUGGUUUUAACUUUUUACUAUACUAUAAUGUUUAGUCUCUAAAUUAUCUAAUAUUCUGUUAUCGGCCCCACGCGUUGUCCCCACAUGGCACAUCCCAUUUCUUCCUCAAUUUCCUCCAAUAAUGUUUACAUGGACGUCAAUAUUAAUUCAAGUAUAAUGGACAAGGUGUAGUUUCAUCGUCCUUCCAAUAUGCUAUAUUUGAGUAUGCGUUUGUUGCAAUGAAUUAUUUCAUAUUGAAAUAUAAAUACAAAUAUUAAACUGAAUUGACUUAAAAUACACUAAAUUUGACUAAUUUAAUGAAACGUUUGAUCUAAUUUCAAACUAAAUAGCAAAGUAAUUAAUAAAAUGGUAAGUUCAUCCCAACAAAAUUUACCACAUCACUAGUUUCAUCCCAACAAAAUUUGCAUAGUUCGAAUUAUUUAGGUUGAAAUGUUCACAAGAAAUAUUUUACGACAAUGUAAGAUUAAAUUAAUUCAAAGAAAGUUAACACAAACACAAAACUUUGUAACCAAUCAAAUUAUCAUAUAAAAUCGUAAAAACCAUAAAUUUAUGAAUUCUACCAUAGGAACUCACUCAUUGAAGGUAAUAUUGCUUUAGGGACACAAAGAUUCUUUUUAAAUCCUUAAAUGAGUCCUUAAAAGUGAUGGUUCAAGUCCCUAAAUCUCUAACACCUUGAGAGAUGAAAUAAAUUCAAAUCCGUAAAUCUCUAAACCUUUGGAACAUAAUAUUGGGGACCUUGCCAUAAAAAAUAAAGGGUGACUCUGAAUGCAGUCAUUAAUCACUAAUAUUGUUUGAUUGAAAUCUUAUUAGUUCUAAGUUUUUUUUAUCAAAGUCUUUGACUUUGUACGUCUCUUCAUAUUGAUAUUAAUGUAGUUUCAUAUCAACUAAUUAUUUUUGAAGUUCCUUAAUUCUUGGACUUCAAAUUUUGUAAUAAAUUAAUUCCUGAAAAAGCAUAAGACACAUAAUAAAUAGUAAAAUUUGUAACGAAUAGAACAUUUAUCUACCAAUAAUCAAGCAUUACAUUCUAAACACAUAAAAAACAAUGUACACAUAUAAUUGGAUUUUAAAAAAAAAGAAUUUAUCAUUAUAAUUGAGAAAUUUAGAAAAAUAAUCAAAAUUUGAACCUCAUAGAAAAUUAUAGCCGUUUUUUAAGUUAAUGAUAAUUAUAACCAAAGUUGAUGUAAAAGUAUUAACAUAUAUACUCAUGAGGUUCUCUCCGCCACCUCCAAUUCUUCAAACUUUUAGACCGUCUCCGAGGAGUUAAGCUCUCCAGUCCAACAUAAUAUCUAGGUUUUUCGUUUCAGUAGGUAAUCGUUAUAACCAUGGUGGGCAUGGCCACGAAAGGUACUAUUUUUCUUACGAUUCCUAACAUAUUCCUUCAAUUUUUGUUCUUUAAUUUUUCUGAUUUUUGUUGCAUUUGAUUUUCUAAACAUAUUAGAUUAGAUUUCGACCUCUUUCAUCAACACUGCGAAACCGAUGUUCCGAUUGGCCGGGCAAAGUCAUGGUACACCAUCCCAUUUCAGAUUGUAAAAGGUUGACUUUUGGUUUCUGGCUUUUAACUUUGAGCUUUUGGUUUUUGUUUUUUAAUAUUUUCACGUAGAAAUAGCAUUAUUAAUAUGGGAGCACAACAAUAUAUAUGAACCUACAGAGAAAUUAAAGAAAAACAGAGAUGUUGGUCUGCCAUAUGUAAAUUGACAUAUUUGGCUUCUAGCAUUGGGAAGAAAGAAAUUGUGUAUAUUUGAAUUAUAAAUUGCAUUUUCCAUCCAAAUUAAGUAUUUAAAAUUAUUGCCGACAAGAGGAGUUUUGUGAUUAGUCGCCUGCAGGUACGCGUAGACUCAUAUUUACUAUUCACAAAAUGUCAUUAUCGUUCCCGCGUGCAUACGUACGAUCCACCCGUCCAUUCUUGAUUUGUAAAUAUUAUAAACAUAAGUAGCUACUAUGAACGCAUAUGCCAUGACAAUUCUUUUUUUUUUUUUAUAAUUUAUUUUAUUUUUGCUUCUUUGAUUGUGAUAUCCCAGCAAAUUGAGGUUACCCCGUCAAACAAAAUCACUAAUAAAUUCGAUUUAGUAGUUGGCAGUCGGCUAUGGUGGGUGCGCCCAUGGUUUCAAGUCUAAUUUGCAUUUUUUAUUAAUAGUUGGCACGGUCACAUGGUGGUAACCACUUAUUUGUCUUUUGAUUGAUGCAGAUCCGGAUUAAAAAACAAAUGGUCUUUCUAAUUAGGAUAUUUUAUUACUAAUUGUGUUGAUCAAUGAUUGUUUGGCUAUUUGUAACUUGUAAGGUUCAUGAGUGUUGAAAGAGAAAACCGAACACAAGAUUUCAGUUGUAAGUACUAAAUGUAUGCUCUUAACCACUAGAGUUAUAAGUUUUUUGUGUGCUCAAUGUUCGACUCUCGUUCUUUCUAAACAUGAAUUGUGUGGACCAUUGGAUCUGAUGGAGAAUUGGACACCUUAGCAUCAUUGAAGUGAAACAUGCUAUUUGCUCCUCAAGAGGCUAUUUUUCAUGCAGACCUUACGUGCAGAUCAGAUAUAGUACUUUGGAUCUAAUUUGAACUACCGAAAUCAAAACAAGUUUAGGGUGAAACCAGCUCACAAUAAAACAAAGCUCAUUGGUGGAACAGGGUCUGAAAAACCCGUAUAAUUCAUCGGCACAACUCGAAUAUCUCAUCCUUUUUCGUUUUUUUUUUCUUUUCCCGCAAUGGAUUUGGAAUUCCCCAUGGCUGAUGUCACCACACGAGUCUCAUUAUCACCGGAAAAAACCAUGGACAUACUAAAAUCUGCUAUUUUCGUGUCCAAGUUUUCGUUGCACUGGGAUUACUCUCCACUCUUAAUCCAAUUCUCUUACUGGAUUCCCUUCUUAAGUGAGCUGAAAUACUAAUCAAAUUUAUCUGUGAUUAACAUAUUCUAGAAAACUCGGCAUGAUUUUAUUCAAGGAUGAAAGAUUGAAGAAAAAGAGUUACAUAUUGACUAAACAGAUUACCUUCCACAAAAUUGGUCUCAUAAAACUGUGUUAGUUGGGAGAACCUGCACAGAGUGAGAAGAAACACAACCUUCUACAAAAGCGUAUCUGCAGAGUGAGAAGAAACCUUCUACAAAAGUUGCAUCUUUCUUUAUUCAGAUUCGUACCAGUCCCGAUAACACUUAACACAUGAGAAAACGAGAGUGAGUGAACAAUAUUGAAUCAAAUAUUCAUGAAUAAUUGAUUGGAGAUAAAAAUAAAAAAUACCUCUGAUAUCUGGAAUAUGAUAAAUCUUCGGCCAUCUUGGGCCACUGUUCUUGGCGCAUUCUUUCUGCCAGACGUUGGUGAUUGGUAUUUAGUCUUUGGUUACUAUUAUCUUUAGCAAAUGGAGUAGACUUGUCCUUGAAAGUUGAUGACCAAAUUGACAACUACCUCCUCUUCAUUUGGCUACAAUUAAAUCCUAACUAGCUAGUAGCUACCCAGCAAAUGGUGUUGUCAUGGGACCUGCAUUGGUGGAAUAUGAACAUCUGGAAUUCAAUCCAGCUGAAUUAUGGUAUGGUGAAAUCGUAACACAAGUUUCUUCAUUUCAGCCGGGAGUUCCUUCUCGAUGCCUAGACACCUCCAUUUCCACAAUUCACAAAACUCAUGGUGGCUCUAUGUUGGGAGGCAUGCCGUGCUGUCUCUGAUGCUUCCAGACCGAAUUCACAUUGAACUCUCCUCGAAGCCUUUGAUCCAAAAUAGUAUUUCAAUCCCUGUUCUGGAACUCAAGAUUCACCCACUCCACUAUGUGGACAAGAUCAUCAUUUUCUAUGAUUGCAGGUUGGCCAGUAAAAAUCUAAACAUCAAUUUUUUUUUCUUUCAACCUUGCUAAUUAUAGUAUCUGCAGACCAAAUAAAGUAAUCAUAGAUCACUCACUGCUCAUAGAUUUGUUUUUUUUUUUUAACAUGAUCAAAAUUCUAAGAACAGUAGAACACAGAAAUCUGAACAAGCUCGGUAUCCCAUGACCGAUGCCACCAGAGUCUCAGUGUCACUGGGAAAAACCAUGGACAUACCAAACUCUGCUAUUUUGCAUCCAAGUUUUAAUUCAAGAGAAUGUUGGCAGUCUUUACAUCUCUAUGCACAAUACUGGAUUGUGCAUAUAUAUUAGCAUACAAAAUAACACUAAGCACCUAUCUAACGCAAUAUCUAAUGCUAUCCGAAGUCUCAUUUCCCAAGUUUAUGUGAGCUUUGUUGAAUUAUAAGUCUCUAGCUGAUUGAGUAUUAGAAAUAAGAUGAGUUUUAAUGUGUGUAUUCACUUGAGCAUAUCUGCCAAGUGUAAGGUUAAAUGAUGUAAGGCCAUGAGUGCUAUGUGGUGUUUGAUCCAUGUAAUUAGGUUGAUGAGUGACUAAGUUUAAAAGUAGUGUUUUGUGUGGUCCUAAAGCUAAGGCCAUCAGUUAAAUGUAAAGCAGUGUUAGUGCGCAUUUUUCUGUGCAGUACAAAUAUUCCUCUGCAAUACUUUUGCAGCAGAGAGAACAAGAAAGAAAAACUUUUCGGUUCAACUUCUAUCUUUGCUUUGCUUCUGUUCAGCAUUCUGAAAAUAAACCCAGCAAAAUCAAGUUACACUAACAUGGCCUCAGAGCCUUGUUUCGAUUAGAUCUGGGCGUGUUUCUGUGAGCUCAAACAUCACCGUUUCUGGACUCGGUGAAGUUUGCCGGAGUUUGUUUGUGAGCUAAGAACUACGUGUUUCUGGAUUCACACAAGCUCACGAUGGCUGGAUCUGGGAGUGCUGAAGUGAGGACCCCGAUCUUCUCCGGUGAGAACUACGAGUUCUGGAGAAUCAAAAUGGUUACCAUUUUCAAGUCAUAUGGACUGUGGAAUCUGGUGGAAAAAGGGAUUUCGGUUUCUGAUUCGAAGAAGAAGAAAGCUAAGACUGAUGAAGAUACAGAUGUUGAUGCUGACGAUGAUGAGAAAAUGGCUGCAACCUUCAUGAAAGAUGCAAAAGCACUCGGAAUCAUUCAAAACGCAGUCUCUGAUCAGAUUUUCCCUCGAAUCGCAAACGCAGACUCAGCAAAAAUGGCAUGGGAUCUGUUAUAUGGCGAAUAUCACGGUGGGGAUCAGGUAAGAUUUGUGAAACUCCAGAAUCUUAAACGAGAAUUUGAAUACACUAGAAUGCGUGAUGAUGAAUCUUUGACUGGGUAUCUUACUCGUUUAAAUGAUCUGAUUAAUCAAAUGAAGACGUUUGGUGAAAUUCUGUCAAAUGAGAGAUUAGUUCAGAAGGUGUUAAUCAGUCUCACUAAGAUAUAUGAUCCUAUAUGCUUAGUGAUAGAAAACACCAAAUGUUUAGAAUCUGUUGAAUUGCAAGAGGUACUAGCUAUAUUGAAGAGUCAAGAGCAGAGGUUUGAUUUGCAUUCCUCUGAUGCAACUGAGAGAGCAUUUUCUUCUCUUACUGUUAGUUCAAAAGGGCAGAAUCGAAGUUAUGCUCAGUCUAGUACUUUUAAACCACAGAAAAAUUGGAAUCAAAAGGGUAAGAAAUGGGAUUUAAAACCAAAGUUUCAGCAAAAAUCAUACACAAAUGUUGCACAGAAUAGUAUUUCCUCACAGAUUAUGGGUCAAGAGAGUGUAAAACCUCAAUGUAAGGUGUGUUCAAAGUUUCAUUAUGGUGAAUGUAGAUAUAAGGGGAAAUCCAAGUGCCAUAACUGUGAUAGAUUUGGUCAUUGGGCCAGAGAGAGUGUACUGUUGGAAAGUCUGUUCAAAAGGCAAACUGUGCAAGUCAAAUGGAAGUGACAGGAAACUUAUUUUAUGCAAACUGUGCAGUUGCUGAGACUAAGGUUAAUGGAGAUUGGUACAUAGAUAGUGGCUGCAGUAAUCAUAUGACAGGAAAUGUUGAUCUUCUUGUUGAUGUGAAUACAAAUGUUGCAGGGAAAGUUCAAAUGCCAACAGGAGGGUUAGUUAAUGUGGCAGGAAUGGGAUCACUGGAAAUUGAGACUAACAGAGGAAGAAAAUACAUUCGAGAAGUCAUGUACUUACCUGGUUUGAAGGAGAAUCUAUUAAGUGUAGGACAAAUGGAUGAGCACGGAUACUAUCUUGUGUUUGGUGGACAUAUGUGUACUGUUUUUGAUGGUCCUUCUCUGAAAUGUCAAAUUAUCCGUGUAAAAAUGAAAGAAAACAGGUGCUAUCCUCUAUCUCUACGGCCUGAGAAACAACUUGUGUUGAAGACCAGUUUUGCUCAUUGUUCUCUGACUUGGCACAGAAGAUUAGGUCACCUACACUUUGGUGGAAUUAAGAAAUUGAAGGAUAAUGACAUGGUACAUGGAUUACCAUAUCUAGAUGAGUAUGACAAAGUGUGUGAAGGCUGUCAAUAUGGUAAGCAACACAGAGAAAGGUUUCCUAGUGGUCAAGCACAAAGAGCUGGUGCUCCACUUGAAUUGGUUCAUGUAGAUCUGUGUGGACCGAUGAGAAUCGAGUCUACUGGAGGAAACAAGUACUUUAUGUUGCUUGUAGAUGAUGCAACCAUGAUGAUAUGGGUGUAUUUUCUUAGAUUCAAAUAUGAAGCUUUUACUUGUUUUCAGAAAUUCAAGGCCAUGACUGAGUUGCAAAGUGGAAUGAAGGUAAAAUGUGUAAGGAGUGAUAGAGGAGGGGAGUUCUUAUCAAAUGAAUUCAAGCAAUACUGUGACACAGAGGGAAUCCAAAGGCAACUGUCUCUCUCUUACACUCCACAGCAAAAUGGAGUGGUUGAAAGAAAAAACAGAACUGUGAUUGAAAUGGCCAAGUCUAUGCUUCAUGACAAAGGAAUGCCUUACUAUAUGUGGGCAGAAGCUGUGCAUACUGCUGUCUAUCUGUUAAACAGAUGCCCUACCAAAUCACUGGAUAGUAUAACACCUUUUGAAGCUUACAGCAAAAGGAAACCAGGUAUUGCUCAUUUGAAGGUUUUUGGCUCAGUUUGUUAUGUUCAUACUCCAUCCGAGCUAAGACACAAGCUAGAACCCAAGAGUAUAAAAGGAGUCUUUGUUGGAUAUGCAAAAUGUGAGAAAGGCUAUAGAGUAUUUGAUCCAAUCUCUAAGAGACUGAUUCUGUCAAGAGAUGUUGUGUUCGAUGAAAACUCAGCUUGGGAUUGGGAAAGAAGCACUGAAAGAUAUAUGUCACUGCCUACUUAUGAGUUUGACUCUGUUGAUACACAAAGAAGUGAAAAUGCAGAAAAUGACCCUCAAGUUUCAAGUGAUUUAUCAUCUGGAAUAUUGGAAGAAGCUGCAAGUGGUAUUGAUGAUACACAGAUCAACUCUCAGUCAAGUGCAGGUGUGAAUGACACUCAGUUUUUUGAUCAUACUCCAUUAAAAUGGAGAAAGCUGGAUGAUGUUCUUGCUCAGUGUAAUCUUUGUAUUAUAGAACCAGAGAAAUAUGAAGAUGCAGCUAAGGAUGAAUCUUGGAUGAAUGCUAUGAAGGAUGAGCUCUCCAUGAUUGAAAAGAAUGCAACCUGGGAGUUAGUGGACAGGCCAAGUAACAAGCCUAUAAUUGGAGUAAAAUGGGUGUGUUUAAAACCAAACUCAACCUGGAUGGAACUGUGCAAAAGAACAAGGCAAGGCUUGUUGCAAAGGGAUAUGCACAGAAACCAGGAAUAGACUACAAUGAGACCUUUGCUCCUGUUGCUCGAUUAGAUACAAUCAGAACCCUUAUAGCAUUGGCUGCACAAAAGAGUUGGAAACUCUAUCAACUUGAUGUUAAAUCGGCUUUUUUAAAUGGUGUUCUAGAGGAGGAGGUUUAUGUGGAGCAACCUGAUGGUUUUGUAGCUAAAGGGGAGGAAGACAGGGUAUAUAAACUUCACAAAGCCUUGUAUGGUCUAAAACAGGCACCACGGGCCUGGUAUGGAGAGAUAGAUACAUAUUUCUCACAAUGUGGUUUCACAAGAAGUUUAAGUGAACCAACACUGUACAUCAAGACAGAAGAGGAAGGCAUUUUGAUUGUGUCGAUCUAUGUGGAUGACAUAAUCUAUACUGGGAGCAACAAACAAAUGCUUGAAGAAUUCAAGGAAGACAUGAAACGAAAGUAUGAGAUGACUGAUUUGGGCCUUCUCCAUCAUUUUCUUGGAAUGGGAAUAAUUCAAACCACUUCAAGCAUUUUCAUCCACCAAAAAGAAAUAUGCAAACUCUCUGUUAGACAAAUUUGGUCUAAAAGAGUGCAAACCUGUGCUUACUCCAUUGGUUGCAACUGAGAAGUUAACCACGGAUGAUGGAAGUGGUGCUGCAAGUGAAGAAUUAUAGAAGUUUGGUGGGAAGUCUCUUAUAUCUCAUUGCAACCAGGCCUGAUAUUAUGUAUGCAUCCAGUCUGUUAGCCAGAUUUAUGCACUGCCCUACCAGUAAGCAUGUUGGAACUGCUAAAAGAGUGCUAAGAUACAUUAAGGGUACACUUGAUUAUGGUCUGGAAUAUGUGAAGGGUAAGGACUCAAUGUUAAUUGGGUUCUGUGACAGUGACUGGAGUGGAUCAAUUGAGGACAGUAAAAGUACUUCUGGUUAUGCUUUCUCCUUUGGCAGUGGAGUAUUCUCUUGGGCAUCUGUGAAGCAAAAUUGCGUUGCUCUUUCCACUGCAGAAGCAGAGUACAUCAGUGCUUCAGAAGCAACUACUCAAGCCAUUUGGUUGAGAUUUGUUCUUGAAGACUUUGGUGAAUUUCAAACCGAAGCCACUCCAGUGCACUGUGACAACACCUCAGCAAUUGCAAUCACCAAGAACUCUGUGUUUCAUCAAAAGACCAAACACAUUAACAGAAGAUACCAUUUCAUCAAGGAUGCACUGAAGGAUGGCAUCAUUGAUCUGGUGUACUGUCCAACUAAUGAGCAACUUGCUGAUAUCUUCACAAAACCUUUGCCUAAAGAUCGGUUUAAUUAUCUCAGGAGCAUGCUAGGAGUGAAAUCAGCUCAAGACUUAAAGGGGAGUGUUGAAUUAUAAGUCUCUAGCUGAUUGAGUAUUAGAAAUAAGAUGAGUUUUAAUGUGUGUAUUCACUUGAGCAUAUCUGCCAAGUGUAAGGUUAAAUGAUGUAAGGCCAUGAGUGCCAUGUGGUGUUUGAUCCAUGUAAUUAGGUUGAUGAGUGACUAAGAUUAAAAGUAGUGUUUUGUGUGGUCCUAAAGCUAAGGCCAUCAGUUAAAUGUAAAGCAGUGUUAGUGCGCAUUUUUCUGUGCAGUACAAAUAUUCCUCUGCAAUACUUUUGCAGCAGAGAGAACAAGAAAGAAAAACUUUUCGGUUCAACUUCUAUCUUUGCUUUGCUUCUGUUCAGCAUUCUGAAAAUAAACCCAGCAAAAUCAAGUUACACUAACAAGCUUCUAUCUGCAUCCGCAACCAUUGACAUGACACUUAAAUAUUUUGAAACCCUCUGUUGGAGGACAAUGCUAUGUAAAAUAUAGAAUUACAUACCUGAUCGGAGAUAUUCUUUUAGGUUUUCGUUAAGCAUGUACUUGUAUAUAAGUGCCAACUUGUCGAUAUCAUCACAGUAUCCAAUAAAUGAGGCCAAGUUUCUAUGAUGGAUUCUCUUCAGGAGCUCAACCUGCAGCCACAAGGAACUCAUCAAUCUCUAACCAACGAGACGAGGCAUUUAACUUGCAUUCCAAGGAAUUAAAUUCAAACUGUCAAACCUCUGUUUGGAACUCCCUAGCUGAGCUAGCUCCUUGAGAUGACGAUGUAGAACCACAUCUUGAGUGCCGUAUUUCAACUAUCCAUGGUACAAUCCCAAAUCCCCCUUUCCCGAUUUCAGUUUUAAAGUUUUUGGUGAUUUCUAAAACCUCAUCAUAAGUGAACUAGAACUUCUGAAGCUACAGGAGUUUUGUUACGUUUUCUCCAUUUGCAGCUUAAGUAGACAAAAAGAUAUGUGUUCAGACUAACUGGUCAGAAAUACUACUGCACCAUAGUAGGAGCGCCGGUUCUAACUGAAUAAGUAUCAAAGGUAUAAAAUGGUACCUGGUUUUCUUAUUCUUCUCAGCUUCCAUACCAGUAUGAGCACUAUAACUAGGAGGAGAGGCCACUGCUGACAGUAAUGAUCCAAGUAUUGGAACAACCAUGUUCUCCUUGCACUUGAUUGAAUCUGAACUAAAACAGGACUUAUAAGCACAUCGAAAAUCUGAAGGACACAAUACCAUUAGCUUUCAUUAAAGAAAAUGCUAACCUAUUCGGUGCUCUCCAUGAACGAAACUUGCACAGAGCAGUAGGACGAGGAAACCAGUUGAGAUCUUCUUCUCUCUUUGUCUCACUGCAGCCUAUGAACUACCUGGUAUUUAAAACGCGUGACAAUGUUCCGACCAAAAAAGCAGAAAAACGUAUGUGACAGUGUGGAUUUGUACCUCAUGCUGCACAACUUUACAUGAAACAUGAUCCUUAUCACACGGAGAUGCUCAGUCUACAUCAAUCAAUGGAUCAUGCAAUGUUCAUACUAAGAGAGCAAUUUGGUUAAGCCAACGUAUUUUCUAGUCAAAACAUUUCAAGCAUUGUUCCAAAUUGAUUAAGUAGAGGACAAUAUCGAUAUAUAUUAGUAUUUAGCCUACGCUGAUUCACUACACAACAGAUCCCACACCCAUUUUUAACCCAUCAAGUUUUGAACAUGGAAUGAAUGAGAUAGUUUGUAGGAACCAGCAAAGGUAAAGCCUAAAUAGCUACCUAGCAUGUUGCUGUCAUUGAACCUGCAUUUGUGGAAUCUGAACCAAUGGAAAUCACUCUAGGUGAACUCUGGCAUGGUGAAAUUGUAACACAAGUUUCUUCAUUUGAGCCUGGAGUUCUUUGUCGAUGCCUAGAGACCUUUAUUCCAUACAUUGUGUUAGUUGGCACAGCACAGAACCCAUGGUGGUUAUAUGUUGGCACGUGAAAGUUGUGCAUGCCAUUGCUGUCUCUAAAGCUUUCCAGGCCGAAUUCACAUCCAACGCUCCUCGAAUCAUUUGAUACAAAAUCGUUGUUAAAUCCCAUUCUGGAACUCAGGGUUCACCCACUGCACUAUGUGGACAAGAUCAUCAAUUUCUAUGAUUGCAGGUUGGCCAGUAAAACUCUCAAAAUCAAUUUUUUUCAUUCUACCUUCGACAAUUAUAGUACCUGCAGACCAAAAAAAAGUAAUAUCAAACCACUCACUGUUCAUGCAUUUGUAUUUAUAACAUGAUAAAAAAAAUCUAAUAGAACGCAGAAACUUGAACAUACUCUAGAUCAAGAUAACCCACUCUGCCCAUGACCGACGUUACCACACAAGUCUCAUUAUCACUGAAAACAACCCUGGACAGACCGAAAUCUUCUAUUUACGCGUCCAAGCUUUUAUUGCACUGCGCUUGCUCCUCUCUUAAUGCAAUUCUCCUACUGGAUUCCCUUCUUAAGUGAGCUGAAAUACAAAUCCAAUUUAUCUGUGUUUAAAGUAUUCUAGAUAACUCGACCUGAUUUUAUUCAAGGAUGAAAGAUUGAAGAAAGAAGUUACAUAUUGACUAAACAGAUUACCUUCUAAAAAAUUGGUCUAAGAAAACUGUGUUAGUUGAGAGAACCUGCACACAGUGAGAAGAAACACAACCUUGUACAAAAGUGUAUCUCAACAUAUGGAAAUCACUCUAGGUGAACUCUGGCAUGGUGAAAUCGUAACACGAGUUUCUUCAUUUGAGCCUGGCGUUCUUUCUCGACACUUAGACACCUUCAUUCCAAACACUUCCAAACGAGAUAGAGAGUGCAGCCCCUUGGGCAAAUAUUGUAAUUUCCCACAUUUAUAUAAUUCCAAAUGAGAUAGAGAUUGCAAGCUGGAGACAUUGUGAUCCGGCAGAGAUAUCAAAUUGGAGCAUUCACUGACACGCAAAUCGGUAGACUUAUUAAUCCAUCACAUCCCCUAAUUAUCAACUCAGUGAGGGAGGUGGGAAUAGCCUCUAGAUUAGGGUAAAAAUAUAUAUCCAUCUUCUGAAGAGAGACGGGGGUUUGUAGCCCGUGACCCGACAAAGUCCUCAAAUUUGGACAAUUACAGAUCUGCAGUGUGCAAAGACUAGUUCAAGAAUGGAGCCCACGUAUACUUGCGAAUCCAUCGCAGUGUUCAAUAGACAAUCAGCGGAGGGAUGUGCAACCCUUUAAAGACAAGUCCCCCUCGAGAGUAGUGCAUCUCUCAAAAACCAGAUCAUGAAGUGAGGCAGACUCUGAAGUACGUCUUAGCUUUGGGCAAUCAAUUAUUUUCAACUCCUGAAGAGAUUGGGAUGGUGAAAUUUGGAAGGAUUCUAGAUUGCCGCAAUCCUCAAUUUCCACCGUCUCAAGUGAGGGGCAAUAUUCUAACCCACAACACAAGCUCGACAAUUUCUCACAGCUCCUAAUUCUCAAUUGAUGGAGAUUGGUUACUCGACAAUUUCUCAUCAUUCAAGAUGCAAAUUUAGUACCCUUGAAUUCCUCAAUCGUCAAGCUUUCUAAGUUGGGGUGCGGUUGGAAUCCUUCAAGAAUAUCCUCGUCAAGAAAAUUGCCAUUUCUUUCUUUAGGAGGGACCCGCCCCCAUUUUAAUAUCAAUUUUCGUAGGUUUGCCUUUUCCACUAAUUUUGAUUUCACUGCUUCUUCCUUGUCUCUCACAUAUUCUAAUGCUCCAAUAACUAGUUCCCCUUUCAAUUCAUUUAACCUGCCCAACUCAUCAAUUCUAUGACGCCUUGCUCUUUCCAAUUUAAAUGAAGGUAGCGUCUGCAGAUGAGUCAAUCUUGUCAUCCCAAAUGGAACUUCCACAUCCUCGUCGAAAUAAACAUGUCUGAAGUUGAUCAAAUUUUCCAUUUCCUUAGGAAACGUCUUAAGACUAUAUGUUCUUGACAUUUUUAACGUCUGAAGAUUAUAGAGCUUGCCAAUAGAUUUUGGGAGUUUUUUUACUUUUGUCCUUUAAAUGUUGAGAUACCUUAAUCGUUUCAACUUUCCAAUUGAAUUGGGCAACUCCUCAAUUUCAACAUGGAAAAAAUUCAACAUCUGUAAACCUUUAAACCUUUGAAAGAUGUUUUAACGAAAUAUUCCCGGUACUAUUCACUUUUGACGAAAAAUCACAUUUUUACCGUUCCUUGAUAUUGUUCACUACACCUUUAUUUGUCAUUUUUCAUUCAAACUAUUUUUUUUUUUUAACUUUUCAUUAGUUUUCCUUUGAAAAAUAAAUAAAUAAAUAUGGCAUCAGUCAUACAAAGUCAAGCUUUCUAAACCUCUUUUAUGGACAGAUACGGAUUUCACGGUUCGAAGCUCAAUCAACAAGUAAUAUGGACCACUCAAAUUGAAUUCAAUAGUACUAAUUAACUCAUUUGCUGCCUCACCUUACAUAAUCUAAAGACUUCAAUGUCUCUUUCACACAAAGGGCCCAAAUUUUCUGGUCCUUAAGCUCUGAAUACUAAUGUCAGGAGGGGAUCCAAAUUCCUGUUUAUUAUCCAUCUGUCAAAUUGUCAACUGUUUGCUUUAGCUUGUUGUCCUAGUUUCUCUCUUCCUCAUCCUCCUCUAGCUAGCUUUUGGACUCCGGCAUCCGAAUCACAUGUCCAUGCGGCCCUAGACACAUUAAAGCUUACCUACUCAAUGUAAUGACUCCAUUCCCCUCUCCAACUACCUUCAUGGCCCAACACCUCCAGAGGUUUCAAACGAAAGAAUUUCUAGGUUCUUGUGUCCGAAACCCCAGCUAAGUUUAAUAGACGAGGGGUGGGAACAUAAUAUCUUGUAUCGUGGGCCUCACAAUCAUGGAGAUAUAGUGCUUUUUAGUGUCCAAGCCAUAUGAAUUAGGUGGUCCGGUUGCUCUAAACUAGAAUUUUAUCCUCAAUUUGACAAAUUAACAAUGGCUAAUUGGCUAUGCGUCUCCCUCUCUAUGUUGUUAAUAGUGUCGAUAUUGUCCCAUCACAUCAAUUGAAGAAAAACCCCUAUCAGGAAUAAUAUGUAUUAACAAAACAUGAUGCUUUAUUUGAGAAUUUAUUUGAGAAUCAUAGCCUUUGGAUGAGUUCACGAUAGAUAAAUACCACAAAGUAUAGAUAGUCAAAGUUCAAACAUUAUUGACGGAUGGUGAAUGUGAACGAUAAUUCAAGAGUAGUGAGAAAGAUGAUUGGUAUUAAGUCUUUGGUCACUAUUAUCUUGAAAGUUGAUGACCAAAAUGACAACUGCCUCCUUCUUUUGGCUGCAACAGCAGAAAUAGGAUGCUUACAUGGAACCUGCAUUUGUGGAAUAUGAACAUCUGGAAAUUACUCCGGGUGAACUCGUAACACGAGUUUCUUCAUUUGAGCAUGGAGCUCUUUCUCGAUGCCUAGAUGUACACCUCCAUUUCCAAACACUCUGUUAACGCACAGCACAAAACUCUCUGCUGAGAGGUGGAAGUUGUGCAUGCAAUUGCUGUCUCUAAUGGUUUCCAGAACGAAUUCACGUCAAACUCUCCUCAAAUCUUUCGAUCUCAAAACCCCGUUCUGGAACUCAGGAAUCAGGAUUCACCAACUCCACUAUGUAGAGAAGAUCAUCAUUUUCUAUGAUUGCAAGUUGGCCAGUAAAACUCUAAACAUCAAUUUUUUUCAGUCAACCUUUGAUAAUUAUAGUACCUGCAGAUCAAAUAAAGUAAUCAUAGAUCAUUCACUGCUCAUAGAUUUGUUUGUUUUUUUAAAUCAAAAUUCUAAGAACACGAAAUCUGAACAUACUCAAGAUCAAGAUACCCCGCUGUACUCAUGGCCGAUGUCACCACGAGUCUCACUGUCACUGGGAAAUGCCAUGGACAGACCGAAAUCUGCUAUUUUUGCUCCAAGUUUUCACUUAAGAGAAUGUUGGCAGUAUUUACAUCUCUAUGCACAGUACGUGGAUUGCACCUUUAUGCAAGUAAAUAGUCCUGUGAGCCAAAUUUCACAAUAUACAUAUGUUGAAUUAGGCAUAUGAACUUGCACAAUUAUAUUAGCGUACGAAAUAACACAACGCACCAACCUAUAGGCAAUAUCUAGUGUUAUCCGAAGUCUCAUUUCCCAAGUCACAUGUGAGCUUCUAUCUGCAUGCAGCCAUUGACGUGACACUUCAAUAUUUUGAAACCCUCUGAUGGAGGACAAUGCUUAUAAAAUAUAGAUCUACAUACCUGAGAGAUAUUCUUUUAGGUUUCCUUUAGGAAUGUACUCGUAUGUAAUAUAAGUACCAAGUAAUCGGUAUCAACACAGUAUCCAAUAAAUGAGGCCAAGUUUCUAUGAUGUAUUCUCAUCAGGAGCUCAACCUGCAGCGACAAGGAACUCAUCAAUCUCUAACCAACGAGACAAGGCACUUGCAAUUCCAAGGAAUUAAAAUCCUAACUGUCAAACCUCUGUUUGGAAUCCCCUAGCUCCUUGAGUUGACGAUGGAGAAAGUAUUUUAACCGCAACUUGAGUGCCAUCUUCCAAGUAGCCAUGGUAUACAAUCCCAAAUCCUCAUUUCCCAAUUUCAGUUUGAAAGUUUUCGGUGAUUUUUAAAACCUCAUCACAAGUAAACUGGGACUUCAUUGAUGCUACCGGUGUGCUACAGGUGUUUUGUUAUGUUUUUCUCCAUCUGCAGCUUAAGGACAAAAAGUUAUGAGUUCAGACUAACUGGAUAGGAAUACCACUACGCCUUAGUAGCAGUGCCGUUUCUAACUAAAUAAGUAUCAAGGUUAUAAAAUGGUACCUGGUUUUCUUAUUCUUCUCAGCUUCCAGACCAGUAAGAGCACUACAACUUGAAGGAGGGCCAUUGUUGAAAGUAAUGAUCCAAGUAUUGGAACAACAAUGUUCUUCUUGCACUUGCUUGAAUCUGAGCUAAAAAGAACUUAUCAGCAGAUAGAAAAUAUAAAUCUGAAGGACGCAAUACCGUUCGCUUUCGUUAAAGAAAAUGCUAACCUACUCAGCACUCUCCAUGAAUGAAACUUGCACAUAGCAGUACGACGAGGAAACCAGUUGAGAUCUUCACCUCUCUGUCUCAUUGCAGCCUGUGAACUACCUGGUAUUUAAAAUGUGUGACAAUGUCCUGACCAAAAAAACAGAAAAACGUAUAUGACGGUGUGGAUUUGAAACCUCAUGCUGCACAACUUGCAGAGUACAUACAAGAUCCUUAUUACAUGGGGAUGCUUAGUCUACCCCAAUCAAUGGAUCAUGCAAUGUUCAUACUAAGAGAGCAAUUUGGUCAAGCCAACGCAUUUUCUAGUCAAAGCAUUUAAAACAUUGUUCCUAUUAGGGUUAUGUGGUGUGAUACAAGUCAGGGAGACAACCCGAAGUAUUAGACAAAAGUGAUUAAGUCGAGGACAAAAUAGAUGCAUACUUGUAUUUAGCCUACACUGAUUCACUGCACAACAGAUCCCACACCCAUUUUUAACCGACCAAGUUUUGAACAUGGGAUGAAUGAGAGAGUUUGAGGCUACCUAGCAUGGUGCUGUCAUGGAACCUGCAUUUGUGGAAUUUGAACAUCUGGAAAUCACUCUAGGUGAACUCUGGGGUGGUGAGAUCAUAACACGAGUUUCUUCAUUUGAGCCUGGAGUUCUUUCUCGAUGCUUAGACACCUCCAUUCCAUACAUUUUGUUAGUUGGCACAGCACAAAACCAACCAUGGUGGCUCUAUGUUGGGAGGUGGAAGUUGUGCAAGCCAUUGCUGUCUUUAAUGGUUUCCUGACCGAAUUCACAUCGAAAUUUAUAUGAAUCGUUCGAUGCAAAUUAGUUGUUAAAUCACCAUUCUGGAACUCAGGAUUCACCCACUCCACGAUGUGGACAAGAUCAUCACUUUCUAUGAUUGCAGCCUUGCAGGUUAGCCAGUAAAACUCUAAAAUUCAACCCUUGAUAAUUAUAGUACCUACAGACAAUAAAAAGUAAUCAUAAAUAAACCACUCACUGUUCAUACAUUUGUAUUUAUAACAUGAUAAAAAAUCUAAUAGAACAUGGAAAUUUGAACAUACUCGGGAUCAAGAUAACCCGCUCUGCCCAUGACUGAUGUCACCACACUAGUCCCAUUAUCACUCGAAAAAACCACAGACAGACCAAAACCUGCUAUUUUCGCGUCCAAGUUUUUGUUGUACUGUGCUUGCUCUCCUCUCUUAAUGCAAUUCUCAUAUUUGAUUCCCUUCUUAAGUGUAGCUGAAAUACAAAUCCAAUUUAUCUGUGAUUAACAUAUUCUAGAUAACUCGACAUGAUUUUAUUCAAGGAUGAAAGAUUGAAGAAAGAAGGUGCAUAUUGACGAUACAGAUUACCUUACACAAAAUUGGUCUCAGAAAAGUGUAUCUGCACCAUAACACCAUGUGGAACAUGUCUUAGAACAUAUUUGAAUGCACAUUGGAUGUUAAAACAUAUACAGAAUGACCACGGAUUCGUAAACAGUUGCAAAUGUACUUCUAUUUACUCAUAUUUAAGGACUAAAAAGCUUAAUUUCCACAAAAGUCUUAAGUGCUGUUCCAAAAAGAUUGUGAAAGCAAAGAAAUUAAUGUUCUUCCACGAGGCUAGAAAAUGUAUGAUUUUGCAAACUAAAUGCAACUAAGACAAGAGAACAGAACCAAUCACGAAUUACUGUUUCGGGAAAGAAAUCUACACUUGACAGUUGGAAAUGCGAGAAAUCUUGGGCCAGUCAAGCAGGGUGCUUCUUUUAAUUUAGAACACAACAGUAAAAUUUGAACUGGCUUCCCUACUGUCAAUAGAUACUCCAGGUUCCCACAACGGUGAGUAGAUAGAUCAUCGACACAUGAAAGGUUCCGUCAUCACUCUGGUAAGACCCUUCUGAAUCAUCAAGUGCCAUUGUUGAUAGUAAUGAUCCAAGUAUUGGAACAACAAUAUUCUUCUUAAGCUUGCUUGAAUCUGAUCUAAAAAUAACUUAUCAGCAGAUAGAAAAUAUAAAUCUGAAGGACGCAAUGCCAUUCGCUUUUGUUAAAGGAAAUGCUAACCUAUCGGGCACUCUCCAUGAACAAAACUUGCACAGAGCAGUAGGACGAGGAAACCAGUUGAGAUCUUCAUCUCUCUGUCUCAUUGCAGCCUAUGAACUACCAGGUAUUUAAAACGCGUGACAAUGUCCCAACCAAAAAAACAGAAAAAACGUAUAUGAGUGUGGAUUUGUAACCUCAUGCUGCACAAUGAUCCUUAUCACAUGGGGAUGCUUAGUGUACGUCAAUCAAUGGAUAAUGCAAUGUUCAUACUAGAGCAAUUUGGUCAAGUCUAACAUAUUUUCUAGUCAAAGCAUUUCAAACAAUGUUACUGUUAGGGUUAUGUGCUGUGAUACAACCCGAAGUAUUGGACAAAAGUGAUUGAGUUGAGGACAAUAUAGAUACAUACUAGUAUGUAGCCUACACUGAUUCACUGCAUAAAAGAUCCCAAACCCAUUUUUAACCCACCAAGUUUUGAACAUGGGAUGAAUGAGAGUUUGUAGCUCCCUAGCAUGGUGCAGUCAUGGAACCUGCAUUUGUGGAAUCUGAACGUCUGGAAAUCACUCUAGGUGAACUAUGGUAUGGUGAAAUCGUAACACGAGUUUAUUCAUUUGAGCCUGGAGUUCUUUUUGGAUGCCUAGGCACCUCCAUUUCCAAACGUUGUGUUAGUUGACUUGACACGGCACAAAACCCAUGCUGCAGACCAAAAAAAGUAAUCAUAAACCACUAACUGUUCUUACAUUUGUAUUCAUAACAUGAUAAAAAUCUAAAGGAACAAGGAAAUUUGAACAUACUCUGGAUCAAGAUAACCUGCUGUGCCCAUGACUGAUGUCACCACACGAGUCCCAUUAUCACUGGAAAAAACCAUGGACAUACUGAAAUUUGCUAUUUUCGCAUCCAAGUUUUCGUUGCGCUGGGAUCGCCUCCUCUCUUAAUGCAAUUCUCUUACUGGAUUCCCUUCUUAAGUAAGCUGAAAUACAAAUCCAAUUUAUCUGUGAUUAACGUAUUUUACAUAACUUGACAUGAUUUUAUUGGAGGAUGAAAGAUGGAAGAAAGAAGCUCCAUGUUAACUAAACAGAUUACUUUCCAUAAAAUUGGUCUAAUAAAACUGUGUUAGUUGGGUGAACCUGCACAUAGUGAGAUGAAACACAACCCCGUAAAAAAGUGUAUCUGCACGAUAACAAUCAAAUGGAACUAAGACAAGGGAACAGAACAAAUCGUGAAUUACUGUUUCGGGAAAGAAACCUACAUUUGAUUGUCGGAAAUGUGAGAAAUGUUGGGCCAGUGAGGUAGGUUGCAUUUUCUUUUAAUUUAGAACGCAACAGAAAAAAUUGUACCGGCUUCCCCACUGCUGUAGAUGCUUCAGAUUCCCACAGCUGUGAAUAGAUAGAUCGUCCACACACGAAGGGUUCCGUCAUCACUCUGACAAGAGCCUUUUGACUCAUCAAGGGUUCCGUCCACACACGAAGGAUUCCGAUUCUUCACUCAACUAAUAUCCCGUUUACUGCAGAAAACGAGAGUGAGUGAACAAUAUUGGACAAAAUAAAAUAUACAUGGAUAAUUGAUUGGAAAUAAAAAUAAGGGCUCCAAAAAUUAAAAUUACCUCUGAUAACUGGAAUGUGAUAAAUCUUUGGCCAUUCAGGGCCGUCCUUGGCGCAUCUUUCUUUGAGACGGGGACACCAUCGGAUCUGUAGCUUACGUAAUUUGGUUAGGCGUUGCAUAGCUUCGACCGUAGGCAGAUGCAUCAGAUUCUUACAUUUCCAAAUUUCCAACUCUGUAAGAGAUGUAAGGUUGCCCAACCACUCUGGAAGAGCCUCCACACCAUGGAAAUAUUUAAUAGACAAAGAUGUUAGAGAAGUAGAGUGUUGAAUUGGCUGAGGCAGAGACUUGAGCUUAGGCCACCCGUAUAAUAUUAAUUUUUCCGAUGGGACCUGAAGAUCCGGGAAAGAAUCGAGCUCCUUGCAGAACUUACCGAUCCACAACCUUUUCAAACGAGAUAGAGAGUGCAGCCCCUUGGGCAAAUAUUGUAAUUUCCCACAAUUAGACACAGAUAGAGAGGAAAGAGAUUGCAAGCUGGACAAAUUGUGAUCCGCCAGAGAUAUCAAAUUGCGGCAAUCAUCGACAGACAAACUGGUAAGAGACGUGCAGGAUGCAAGCCCACUCGGUAUACUUGUUAAUCGACCGCAUUUCCUAAUCUUCAACUCAGUGAGGAAUGUAAGGUUGUCUAAACUGGGAAUAGCCUCUAGACGAGGGCAAUUAAAGAUACUUAGACCUUCGAGAGAGACGGGGGUUUGUAGCCCAUGACCCGACAAAGUCCUCAAAUUACGACAAUUCCAGAUAAUUAGUGUGCGAAGACUAGUACAAGAUUGGAGCCCAUUCAGUAUACUUUUGAAUCCAUUGCAUUCUUUAAUAAACAAAUAACAGAGGGAUGUGCAACCGUUUAAAGACAAGUCGUCCUCCCCGUCCGCCUCCGGUGAGAAAUCUACCGAGUUCUCGAUUUGCAAAUGACGGAGUGAAGACAGACUGUGAAUUGAAGUGCAUCUUAACUUUGGGCAAAGAGCUAUGUACAACCGUUCAAGAGAUUGGGAUGAUGAAAUUGGAAUGGAUUUUAGAUUGGGGCAAUCCACAAUAUCAAUACUUUGAAGUUUCCGCAAGUGUCCGAGCGGUGGGACCUCCUCACAUUUUUUGCAAUUGGAUAGUUGAAUCUCUGUUAACGAAUCACUCAUCAUACAUGAUGCAAAUUUAGCACCCAUAAAUUUCACAAUCCUCAAGCUUUCUAAAUUGGGGGGCGACUGAAGGCCUUCAAGAAUAUCCUGGUCAAGAAAAUUGCCAUUUCUUUCCGUAUAAUGGCUCCUCUUCCAUUUUAAUUCCAAUUUUCGUAUGUGUGUUUUUCCCACUAAAUUUGAUUUCAUUGCUUCUUUCUUGUCUCUCACAUAUUCCAAUGAUCCAAUAACUAGUUCCCCUUUCACUUCAUUUAGCCCGCCCAGCUCAUCAAUUGUAUGACGCCUUGCUCUAUCCAAAGUAAAGGAACGUAGUGCUUGCAGGUGAGUCAAUUGUGUUAUCCGAAAUGGAAAUUCCUUAUCCUUAUUGAAAUAAACAUGCCUCAAGUUGAUCAAAUUUUCCAUUUCCCUAGGAAACGUUUUAAGAUUGUAUGUUUUUGACAUUCUUAACGUCUGAAGAUUAUAGAGCUUGCCAAUAGAUUUGGGGAGUUCUUUUAUUUAUGUCCUUGAAAUAUUGAGAUACCUCAAGCGUUUCAACUCUCCAAUUGAGAUGGGCAACUCCUCUAUUUCAGCCUUGUAUAAAUUUAACGUCCGUAAAUCUCUAAACCUUUCAAACAUGUUACUGAACUCAAAGCGUCGUGGAGGAAACAACGACCGCAAUCUCGUAACACUCCCUUGUAGAAAUCUUUCAAGUGUGGUGGAAGAAAUCCGGGCAACAUGCUGAAUCUCAAGUGCUCUAUCGUCCAUCCAAUCCAAGUCUCGCGUUAAGCUUUCAAAUUUGAAUACUUCCUCAGCAAGAUCAUGCACAAGAUCAUGCAUCUUGCAUUUGGUAUUCCCAUACUCAUCUUCUCUUUCUCUUCUAUGUGCAUACUCAUAGUUUCUAGCAUCUUGAAAUAAAGAGUUUUGCAAUAGAAUAUUAAAAUGUUCAUUACCUUUAUCCUCCAUGGGAGAAGAAUGGAGAUAUCCUUGAGCCAUCCAGAGCUGGACCAAGUCAUCUUUUUCAAUUUCACAAUCUUUUUCAAACAUUGAGCAAUAUGCAAAACAUUGCUUCAAUGAUGGCUCUCUUAAAUUAUCAAAACUCAACUUCAAGAUCGACAUGAUUUGGUCCUCUCCAUUUGGUAAUUCCCAUAUUUUACUUUCUAGAAUUGACGACCAUUCCUGUGAACGCAUCAAGCUUCCUAAAACCUGUUGAUACAUAAGAUAAUUAGUUUCUAUAUGUUUUAGAAUAUAAAAAGCUGAUCAGCAAAAUAAUAACAGUGCCAAAUUAUAGUUUUAUUGAAUUUUGACUAUAGUUAUUGGCAAUAUAAAAGACGCAUUGAACUCAACUUUGUUUUGUAUCGAUGAAAAGUGAAAGACUGCUCUUGCUAGAAGAGAAAUACUUAAGGGACUUGCUAGCCAAGUAAGAAUUGGUCUCAGAAUUAAUUGAAAGAUACUUUAUUAGAUCAUUUAAAUAUAAGUUUUAAAUUUUUUUUUGAGUACAUCAAUAUAUUUUUACACCAAAAGAUUGGAGAGUUCGGCUAAACCACACAAUGGACAACCUAAUUUGGUAUCGAAUUCGGCAUCCACAAGAUUUGAACCUAAAACCUUUCACUUCUAAAUGAAGAAGAAUAUUAUGAUACUGUAGUACUAAGGGGCUAUAAGUGUCAAUUAGAUACUUAUGAUAACUGAGUAACUGAAUGGUUCGUAACAAUGCACUAGGAAUGUAGUAUUUUGAAGGAGAGCUUUGAUCCACAUUUUCUAGAGCGUUUACAUGUAUAUAUAAGGUUAAGAUUCGGAGACACUCAUUUUUGAAACAUAUUUUAACACAAGUUUUCGUGGCUUUCAUUCUGUAAUUUUUUUUUCAAGGAUCUCAAUCGUUUAUAUUUCAAUUCAUCAUUCAUAGAUCUUUCUUGUAAAAAUUUAGACAAAUCCAAACUCAUUUUGACAUUUAUUGGUAGUGAAGAAAAAAGCCGAUACGAUUCUACAAAGAUACACUAAAUUUAUGCAGUUGCACGAUGAGCACAAAGUGAACUAUUCUUUCGCCUUUUACUAAAGAAACACUGAAUUUGAUCCAAUGGUCAUAUGACUUCAGAUUUGGAUGAUUUUUUGAUAGAGAUGAUAUUUUAGGGAAGACAUAAAAUAUAAGACGGUUAGAUCGUUGAAAUACGUUAAACACACAAUAUAUAUAUACACACACACAGAGCUUAAGGGGAGGGAUCCCCAUUUUUUGGAAAAAAAUGGGGACACGCUCCCCACCGUUAGAUUGACUUUAAUGAAAUUGUGUGAUUGAGAUUGUGUGGCCUGUGUUUUAAUCUCAACCACACAAUUUCAUUAAAGUCAAUCUAAUGGUGAGGAGCGUGUCCCCAUUUUUUUGAAAAAAUGGGGAUCCCUCCCCUUAAGCAAUUCCUAUAUACAUAUAUAUUAUAUAUAUAUAUAUAUAUAUAUAUAUGUAUGUAUAUAUGUAGAUAUAUGUAUAUAUGUAUAUAUAUGUAUAUAGAGAGAGCUUAAGGGGAGGGAUCCUCAUUUUUUGAAAAAAAUGGGGAUUAGGUGUGGGGCCCACUUCACAUCAAAUUUCAACGAUUCGAACCGUCUAUUUUGUUAGUUUCGAUUCAUAGAUCAUCCUUGCAAAAUAUUAGCUAAAUUGGAAAUGUUUAAGACAUCUAAUUGGGUUCAAGGAAAUGAACGAAUACUUUGUUAUAUAAGAAAAUAUGAAAUUUGAUAUUGAUAAUUAAAUAGGCAAAUGGUUUCGGAUUGAAUUGAAUUUUUGCAAGUAUGAUCUAUGAAUCGAGACUAACAAAAUAGACGGUUCGGAUCGUUGAAAUUUGAUGUGAAGUGGGCCCCACACCUAAUCCCCAUUUUUUUCAAAAAAUGGGGAUCCCUCCCCUUAAGCUCUCUGUAUGUAUAUAUAUGUAUAUAUGUAUAUAUAUGUAUAUGAAGGCUUUAAGGGAAGGGAUCCACAUUUUUUUUUAUAUAAAUAGGGAUCUGUUGUGGGGCCAUACCACAUCGAAUUUUAACGAUUCGAACCGUCUAUUUUUCAAAUUGCAUCUCAUAGAUCAUUCUUGCAAAAUAUUAGCCAAAUCGGAAAUAUUUAAGACAUCUAAUUGGGUUCAAAGAAAUUAAUGAAUACUUGUUAUAUAAGAAACAAUGAAAUUUUACCUUGAUAAUUAAAUAGGCUAAUGAUUUCGGAUUGAAUUGAAUUGUUGCAAGAAUGAUCUAUGAAUCGAGACUUUCGAAAUAGACUGUUCGGAUGAAGUUCGAUGUGAAGUGGGCCUAUGGAUUGUUCAAAAAAUGUGUCUCCCAAUCCUAAUCCAUAUAUAUGUUAUAUAAACAAAAUUGACCCUUUAAAGCUCACUAUUAUGUUUUUCAUGCAAUUUUCCUUUAAAAUUGUUGGACAAAAUUAGAUAUACCAAGUUAAGGCUUUUUAUAAUGGCGAUUCUGUUGAAUAUUUAAUCAUACUUAUAUUACUAACAUAUAAUAAUAUUCUUUUUUACCUGUAACUGAAGGGUUUUUAAGUUUUUGACUCAUAUGAAUGGUGAUGACACAUUAUAUUUAUUUGAGUUUGAGUUAGAAAUCUAGAUAAUUGUAUGUUUGACUCUGAAUAAAUAAUUAAAACUUAAAAUUAUGUAAUUGAUGCAUUAUUUAGGAGUUCAAUUAUCUGCUAUUUUUUAGGGAGAAAGAGGCAUAAAUAGUAGUAGUUCGAACAAAAAAACAUAAUUGGACUCACUUAAAAUGUAGCCUAUGAUUUUGGGCCUCUAUCUAAAAACCUUAAUAUAAUAAUAUAUGAAUACAUAUCUUCGCCGCCAAUGGUACACCAGCACACUUUUUAGCUAUGGCCCUUCCAAUGCACUCUUGAUCUGAAUCUAGAGAAGAAGCAUUACCAUCUGGUAAUGCUUCACCCUUUAAUACAGACCAACAAUCCUCCACCGAUAGGCCCUUCAAAUCACACCUCGGCAUUGUCUCAGUGAUUGAUGCAACCUUAGCACUACGGGUAGUAACAAUGGCAAUGCUUCCGGGACCUGAAUUGAGUUUCGACAAACAGUCCAUAAACUCCCUCCAAAAAUUCUUCUCUUCAUUCCAAACAUCAUCAAGUAUCAGAAUAUAUCUCUUGUCUGUCAACCUUUCUUUGAGGUCAUUCAGCAAUGCUUCCCGAGUUGUAAGUCCUGUCCUGUUUGAGUUAAGGGAUUCUAACAUCCGAUUUAGAAUCGAAUUAACCUCAAAAGUGUCGGAUACACACAACCACAUUUUUUCAACAAAAGGCGUACGAAUAGCAUCAUGAUUGAAUAUUGAUUUUGCCAAAGUCGUCUUUCCGAGUCCUCCCAUUCCCACAACGGCCAUAACCGAAAGGUUAUUUUCCUGAUUCUUGGACAUCAAGAUUUUAAUGAUAUCCGACACAAUUUUCUCCCUUCCAAUGAUCUUGUCAUACUGACCGAAGCUCGAGUCAGUUUCUCUGUUCCUCAUAAUUGGAGGAGGGCUAUGAUCUACUGGCCUUACAACUAAGCCAAUGGAAGGUGCCUCACUCUUGAGACCCGCCAGUGACGCAUUGAUGUUCUUAAUCUUUUGUGCCAUCUUUUGACGAAAUAAAAUGGGAUUGGAAAGCGAAAAGAAGUCAAGUACCUUCUUCUUCAUGUGGUUUUGAAUUUCUACUUUACGCCGGAGAACGUCGUAGUUGAUGUCCUCCAAGACGUCAUCGGCAUCGUGAGCUACGUCUUUCAGUUUCUUGACCCAGUUUCUGACUGCCAUGCUCCGAUCCUGUGGUUGGUGGGCAACAUCGCCUAAGUACUGUUCAAUUUCCUCUAACGAUACAGCAAGCUCAGUUGCUUCUUUUUUAAAAUCCUCGGAAAAGACAGAUUUCUUGAGCAGCAAGCGAACCGACCGACUUCAGUAUUCCCUCCACCGGAUAAGUGAUGAGACCUUGUAGCACAUCCAUACUCGCGCGAGAAAGGGAGAUUAGAGAGUAGAAAGCAGAGAACUGAGAGAAAGCCAAGGAAGGACACAAGAAGAGCGAAUAAGAUGAAUGAAAGGCUUAACAAUAAUUCAAGAAAAUGUGGUAUAAGAAGAAAGGACCCCUUAUAAUUGACGCCACUUACCUGUGAGCGUCAACAUAAUGUUCAAGAGCAAUAUUAACCCAUCUUAUCAGCAAAGAUUCUUUCUACAACUUUAGUAAAUAGUGGAGGCGGACUUUGAUUAGUCAAUAUUUAUUGGUCUUCCAUGGAUUUUUGUCAGGACUUAGUACUGGUGACUAUUCAACCCUACCCGGUCCUGUCACUUCAUCUUCUACAUGAUUUCGCGUAGGCAGUGGUAUUUACACAUUUAACUUUACUUUUCAUUCUUAAUUUUACUGAAUGAAUUGAAAAAGAAUAAUUAUACAAAAUUAACAAAAAUGUGUCAGAAAUAAAAAUGAUUGUGUGAAUAAGACUUUCACAUAAAAUGUGUUUUCUUUUACACAAUCGAGCUAGAAACUUGUCUCUUACACAUCGAAUUGACUAUGGUAAACCUAAACCUAACGACAAAAUGCGGUAGCUAUUACGAUCAAACGCUAGGAAUUCGUCUCCAACCCUACACAUAUCUGAUAAAGAGCGAUUAAAUUGGUCUUGGUUUUAGCAGUUUAUACAUACGUCAAAUCCAACGAAAUCAAACCAAACUAAUUAUAGUUUGAUUUAGUUCAACCUAAAAUUGCAUUUUUUUUUCAUUAUAAAAGUCAUACCAAACUUCUUAGAUUGAUUUUUAUACAACGAUAUAUAUACAGAGAUAAAAGUUAAAUCAAAACUUUUUGGAUUGGGGUGUAGUAUAAAUUUGUAUUGAACUCUUCAUUCAUGAAUUUCAAACUUAAGACCUAUUAUUUAUAAGUAAAGAAAAUUAUUGUUAGAUCAUAAUAUUAAAUGACACCCUCUUGGAUGGUUUAGUUUGAACAGUAUUUUCAUACAACGAUAUAUUUACGUUAAAUUGAGAUAAAAUGGACAAGAAUACUCUCCGAAUCUCUAUUUAGGAACUUCCACCACUAUCUCUGAGAGCUUAUUUAAAGAUUUUAAAGAAAUAUUUGGGUCUUUAAAAGAAUAUUGUUUUUUAUGAAAAGUUCUUAUAGUGUAAUCUUCAGAUUAAUAUAAAAACUAAAAUAUUGAAAAAUUAUUAUUCAUGGAUGAAAAAACCUAAAAAAAUAUCUCUACCCUUAGUUUUUCAACAAUUAAAAAAAAAUUACGUGAAAAACCAAAAAUGAAAAUUUCACGUGGGUGGGAAUCGUGGGAUCAACAAACAAGGUAAAAGACAAAAAACCAACUGGUGUGGGUCACUUUUCUCCAAAAUCAACAGAGGCCCACUAUACAAUUUUCACAUUUGAGAUUUUCUUUUGAAGUAUUUAGCGAGUUUUUAUCAAGGAACAAAAUGCCGAUAAUAUCGGUGAUAUUUCGCCGAUAUUAUCGGUUUUUCAGGGUACCGAUAUUUUAAUAGGUAUCCAAUGGGUUUUCGUCAAAAUAUUGCGAUAUUUCCGAAACUAUCGCGAUAUUUUGGAACUGUGCUACUCGGAGAAGAACGCCGGAGCUUCUACAGCUCCGGCCGAUUACAAACGCAAACCUUAGACUCCGAUCUAAUUACCAACGUGAAGAGGAAAGAGAGAGGAGUAAGUUUAUACCCUUGGUUCGCCGUGAAAUGGCUGAAGGUUUUCGGAAAGCUCCUUAACAGUCACGGGUUCGCCGGAGUUGGGUGAGCUUUCCCUUGACCUGAUCUCGUUCCAUAACACACACAUAAGCUUACCUAACUGGAGAAAAUGAAGAAAACUCACCGGAGGUUUCUGGGUUUCGUCAAUCUUGCAGAGACAAGAGGAAGAGAGAGAAAGACGAGGUUUUGAUGGUGAUGCCGUCUACGGAACGAUGGUGUGGGUGCCGUGUACUAGGGUAAUCAUGGGAGAAAGAGUGAGAGUGAUGAGAGGGUUUCGAGAGAGAAGAGAGUGUGCAGAGAAGGAAAGAAAGAGAAGAAGAAAGAAAGGGGGUCUCGGGUAGGAUCUGGUUGAUCUCGGUGACGAUGGUGAUGAAGCCAGAGGAGGAAGAGGAGGAGGGAAGGCGGCGGAGGGAGAAGGAGUAGGAGGAAACGAAGAGGGUUUUGCAGGGGCGGAGAUUGCGAAGAGGGAGAUGAGGGCGAUGAGGAGGAGGAGGGAUCGUUUACUCGUUCUCUCUGUCUUCUCUUCUUUCUCGUUUCAAUUGGCAAUUUAGGGAUUUAAGCAAGUUUUAGGCCCCCAAAUCAUCUACUUAUAUUGCCCUAAAAAACUCCAAGUAAUUACAACAUCGUAUUAGAAUUGUAAUUGAUCCUUGUUAGAUUUGGUUUAGAAAUUCUAUGUAAUUUAGUGAUUGUUUCAUAUUAGGUUUAGAUUUGAAUUUUUUACUCCAUUCAGAUUUUAAAGGAUUAUAAUAGAUUUAAAAAUUUAUGAAUUUUGAUGAAGUUUAAUAAUUUUUAAAACUUUUAUGUAAAAUUUUAAGUGAAUUCCCUCAAAUUUUCAGGGAGCGAUUUGAGAAUGUUUAAAAUAUUAUGUGAAAUAUUUCUAAUUUUUUCGAGUUUCCCAACUUUUUAAAAAUCUCUUCGAAUCAAUUUCUAAAUGAAUACAUUUGGAAUGUAUGAAUAUCUUAAAAAUCAUGAUCGAAUACCCAAAAAACUUUAAAGAAUCACUUAAAAUCCUGAUUAAAUACCCUUAGAUUUUUAAGGAGAAUUAAAAUGUUUAUAAGCCCCAAUUGGAUGUACCGCUUAAUUUAACUAAUUGACACAACACAACAAAACUAGUUAAGAUUACAAAUUAACACAAAAGACGACUUGAUGCGAGGUCAUAUCUAAAAAACUUGCCGCAAUAAGCCCCAAUUGGUGUGUUUAAACUUCUUUCAUUAAUUACUACAUAUUUUCUACACUCACAUGUUUGUCAGCUCGCUAUAUAAUCAACUUGAUAAUGUUAAAUCCAUCAUGCAAUGCAUUUCCUUCCAAUUUUUUGUGAUAAACUAAUAGAUAAUUGACUAAAUAAACAUCCUGCAAAGUUUUUCAAUAAAAAAUUUCCAAGUUUUUCUUACAAUUUUCGUGGUUUCCAUGUAAUUUUUAUCGAUAUCGAUAUUAUCCCGAUAUUUCCAUCGAUUUUCCGUGUUUUCGGACUACCGAUAUUUCCGAUAUUACCGAUAUUUAAUACCUUGGUUUUUAUAUAGGGAGUUUUAACGAAAAACCCACGGUACUGUUCACUUUAACGAAAAACCACAUUUUUACACUAAAAAGUCAAACCUGGUACUAUUCACUUUACCUUUUAUUUUGUCCUUAUCAUUAAAACUCAAAGUUUUCAAGCUUUUUUCAUUAGUUUUCCUUUUUAUAUAUUUGAAUAUUUUUUGACAAAAAAAAUAUUGGAAUAUUUUAAAGACUUUAUUUUCGACUCUUUAAAUACUUUUUGUCUUUAUGUUUAGAGAUUGUACUAUUAUAAAGACUUUGUUUAGAUUCUCUAUUGGAGAUGUUCAAACAUGACAAAAAGGUGAAAGUAGAGCAAGACCACAUAAAUAUAAAUUCAUCUUAUCUGUAAUCUCUUUCGACAACUUUAGAUGAUAGUGUAGACCCAACUUUAACAAAGUAAAUUAAAGAUAUUUAUUAAAAAAUAAUAACAACUUCGUUAGUACAUUCAAAAGUGUAUGUAUGAUAAGAAGAUCCUAAGUAUUCGUUUUUCAGUACUAACGAGAGUCAUCAGAUUGAAAUACCUCCAAGUAAUUGUAAACGAUUCGAAUUCACGGAACAACUAUACAAAUUCAACAUAUGUCAUUUGGUUUCCAAGUUGAUCACUACGUGUAUUUCAAUCAAGGAUGAAAAAAUCGAUAAUAUCGGCGACAUCGUUUUUUUGAAGUUCCGAAAUUUUUUUAACUAUCCAACCUAUUUUCAUCAAAAUAUCGCGAUAUUAUCGAUAAUACCAAUAAUAUCGCGAUAUUAUCGAUAAUACCAAUAAUAUCGCGAUAUUUUCGAAAUUAUCGACAAUAUCGUGAUAUUUUAUUAAAAAAAUACUUAAAUAUGUUGAGAAAACUCAACACAUAGUUAACUUGAUCAUGGCCCAAAGGCCAAACAAGUUUUGGUUAUCUCUCCAGGGAAGUGAGUUUUAUAGCAAAAAUUCAUUUCUCACUUCCUUGCAUGGGCGAUGUGGGACUCGCCCAAUGGGGGAAAAAAUCAAAAUUUCGGCCGAAAUUUUACACUCACUUUAAACGGCCAUAACUUUGUCAAAACUCAACGAAAUCAAGCAAGACAAAAACUAAAGUUGUAGCCCUCGAAGAGACUAAGAGAAUGGUACCUCACACUAUGUCUUAAUCGUAGUGGUUUGGCCGGAAAAUGCCUCGAAAGUCACUGAGGUCGCUGAGGUCGUCGGAAACUGGGUAAGAUUCAAAUGAGUAUAACUUUUUCAAUACGCAACGAAAUUGAGUGAAACAAAAAGGAAAGUUGUAGCCCUCGAAGAGACGAAGAUAAUGGUACCUCACACGAUGUCUGAAUCGUCGUGGUUUGGCCGGAAAAUUCCUCGAAAGUCACUGAGGUCGCUGAGGUCGUCGGAAACUGGGUAAGAUUCAAAUGAGUAUAAUUUUUUCAAUACGCAACGAAAUUGAGUGAAACAAAAAGGAAAGUUGUAGCCCUCGAAGAGACGAAGAGAAUGGUACCUCACACGACGUCUGACUCGUUGUGGUUUGGCCGGAAAUUGCCUCGAAAUCUACUGAGGUCGCCGGAAACUGGGUAAGAUUCAAAUGAGCUUUUUCAAUACGCAACGAAAUUGAGUGAAACAAAAAGGAAAGUUGUAGCCCUCGAAGAGACGAAGAGAUUGAUACCUUGCACGUCAGCCCAAAAUUCAAAUUGACACACUCCUAGCUUCCAAAAUUCAAUACUUUUUACUUUAUAUCAAGUUGAAAAAACAUAAUCGGCAUCCAAAUUAAAGUUUAAUCUUAUUCAAUGUAUUGAUUUUCAAUCGUUAAUUGAUAUACUAUAAUUUGGAACUUCAACGCCUAGACGCAUGCUUAUGUGUAAGAAAUUUAAAUUGUCAAAUUCGGCACAUUAUUCUUCAUCAUUUUAUUCACUUCCCUUUUUUUUUUUUUUAAUAUCCUAAAUAAAACCUCCAAAUAUUGUACUAAUUAAUUAUAUAUAAAUGAUUAUGGUGUGUUUAAACUUCUUUCAUUAAUUACUACAUAUUUUCUACACUCACAAUGUUUGCCAGCUCGGUAUAUAAUCAACUUAAAUCAGUUAAAUCCAUCAUGCAAUGCAUUUCCUUCCAAUUUUUUUGUGAGAAACUAAUAGAUAAUUGACUAAAUAAACAUCCUACAAAGUUUCAUUAAAAAUUUCCAAGUUUUUCUUACAAUUUCCGUGGUUUCCAUGUAAUUUUUAUCGAUAUCGAUAUUAUCCCGAUAUUUCCGUGUUUUCGGACUACCGAUAUUUCCGAUAUUACCGAUAUUUUCUUCCUUGCUUUCAAUAAUAUCUUGUUUAGAAUUUGUUUGGAUUUGCAGAUCCUCCAUCUUCUAACAUAGAGGAAAUUUCUCCAACACUGCCUUCCUUGUAAUUGUUGUAAUGAGAUGCGUUGUUGUUUUCAUGGGGCAGGUCCUAAUGAAUCCUAUAGCUAUUGGACCCCAUCCCACUUGUGUUUGGCAUCGGUGGCACCAUUGUGUUUGGCAAUCAAUGCAAAAUUACGUACAAUAAUUUAAGUAUCAAACAAAAUGUAAACUUCAUUUUGAACAUAUGGAGUAGGGUUUGUUGCAAGUAUAUUAUUGGAGAUCGAAUAAUGACAUGAGACUAAUAAUAAUUUCUGGUGUAAUUUGUUAAUUUUCUGAGUAUUCCACUGACUUUUUGGAAGGCUGGCUGGUGGAGGAAGCUGCUUUUAGCUUUUUAUUACUUCUUGAAACUACCCGCUUCGGAUUUGAAUUUACCAAAAGCAACUUUCAGCUGUUAACUGCAAUUUAUGCAGCUGAUAAGAGAUAUAACCCACUCUACACCUCGUAACGAAAAAAAAAACCCUUCUAUAGACACUUUGAUCACGUCAUCUAUAGAGUUAUUUAGUGUAAGAGCUUUUCUAAUACGUUGAAACUCAUUUUCAAGUGAGAGACAUCAAAUUUGACUCACAUAAAUAGUAAAUUUGAAAACAUUUUUUGUCGAAAAAAAAUAUGUUUGUUACUUAAUUGUUAUAUGUUGGAUGUCGAGUUUCUAUUAGAAAAUAUUUCUUGUAUAUAAAAGGAAAACAAUUUUAAUUUCAUUAUGUACACAUGUCAAUAUCACUGGCAAUUUGACCAAAUGGCUACUAUUUGGUGUUUUAACUGCAAAUGCAUGAAAUCAGUGAGAGAUUUUUCAAUGUGAUCGAUACACAAAAUAAUAUAUCACGUGUCACUAUAUAAAUUUUUAUGUAUGUUAAAAAGUUAAUAACUUAAAAAAUAAAAUUUCUCACAAAUUCUAUAAAAACAUGUGAUGUACCAUUCGUGUUCCGAUCACAAUGAAAAAUUUCUCGAAACCUUCACGCUUGCUUCCUCAAUCACCAACAUUGACCAUUCUCUCUUUCCCAUUAAAAAAAUUAAUAAAUAUGGCGUCAGUCAUACAAAGUCAAGCUUUCUAAACUCUUUUAUGGACAGAUGCGGAUUUUAGGGUUCAAAGCUUAACCAACGGGUAAUUCGGAUCAUUUAACUUGAUUUUAAUAGUACUAAUUAACUCAUUCUGCUGCCUCAUUUUACGCAAUCUAAAGACUUCAACGUCUUUUGGACCUAAAUUUUCUGGUCCUUAGGCUCUGAACCCUAAUGUCAGAAGGGGAACAAAUUCCUCUUUAUUAUCCAUCUGUCAAAUAUUCAACUGUUUGCUUUUAGCUCGUUGUCCUAGUUUCUAUAUUCCUCAUCCUCCUCUAGCUAGCUUUUAGAGUCCGGCAUCCGAAUCACAUGUCCAUGCGGCCCUAGACACAUUAAAGCUUCCCUACUCCAUGUAAUGACUCCACUCCCCUCUCCCUCCACCUUCAUGGCCCAACACCUUUGGGUUUCGGACAAAAUAAUUUAUACAUCUAGAGAGGUUCUUGUGUCUGAAACCCCAGCUAAGUUUAAUAGAGGAGGUGGGAUCAUAAUUUGGUGUAUCGUGGGCCACACAAUCAGGGAGAUAUACUGCUUUUUUAGUGUCCAAGUCAUAGGGAUCAGGUGGAUUGGUUGCUCUAAACUAGAAUUUUAUCCUCAAUUUGACAAAUUAACAAUGGCUAAUUGGCUAUGCCGCUCCCUCUCUAUGUUGUUAAUAGUGUCAAUAUUGUCCCGUUACAUCGAUUGAAGAAAAACCCAUAUCAGGAAUAAUAUGUAUAAACAAAAUAUGAUGCUUUAUUUGAGAAUUUAUUUGAGAAUCAUGGCCUUGGAUGAGUUUACGAUAGAUAAAUACCACAAAGUAUAGAUAGUCAAAAGUUCAAACAUUAUUGACGGAUGGUGAAUGUGAAUGAUAAUUCAAGAGUAGUGAGAAAGAUGAUUGGUAUUUAGUCUUUGGUCACUAUUAUCUUGAAAGUUGAUGACCAAAAUGACAACUGCCUCCCCUUCUUUUGGCUGCAACAGCAGAAAUAGGAUGCUUACAUGGAACCGGCAUUUGUGGAAUAUGAACAUCUGGAAAUUACUCCACUACGUAAGACAAGAUCAUCACUUUCUGUGAUUGCAGGUUGGCCAGUAAAACUCUAAACAUCAAUUUUUUUUCAUUCAACCUUUGAUAAUUAUAGUACCUGCAGACCAAAUAAAGUAAUCAUAGAUCACUCACUGCUCAUAGAUUUGUUUUUUUUUUUUAAAUCAAAAUUCUAAGAACACGAAAUAUGAACAUACUCAGGAUCGAGAUACCCUGCUGUGCUCAUGACCGAAGCCACCACGAGUUUCACUGUCACUGGGAAAAGCCAUGGACAGACCGAGAUCUGCUAUUUUUGCGUCCAAGUUUUCACUUAAGAGAAUGUUGGCAGUAUUUGCGUCUCUAUGCACAAUACGUGGAUUGCACCUUUAUGCAAGGAAAUAGUCCUGUGAGCCAAAUUUCACAAUAUACAUAAGUUGAAUUAGGCAUAUGAACUUGCGCAAGUAUAUUAGCGUACGAAAUAUCACGAAGCACCAACCUAACGCAAUAUCUAGUGUUAUCCGAAGUCUCAUUUCCCAAGUCGCAUGUGACCUUCUAUCUGCAUUUUUAGCCAUUGACGUGACACUUCAAUAUUUUGAAACCCUCUGAUGGAGGACAAUGCUUAUAAAAUAUAGAACUACACACCUGAGAGAUAUUCUUUUAGGUUUCCUUUAGGCAUGUACUCGUAUGUAAUAUGAGUACCAGGUAGUAUCAUCACAGUAUCCAAUAAAUGAGGCCAAGUUUCUAUGAUGUAUUCUCAUCACGAGCUCAACCUGCAGCAACAAGGAACACAUCAAUCUCUAACCAACGAGACAAGGCACUUGCAAUUCCAAGGAAUUUAAAUCCUAACUGCCAAACCUCUGUUUGGAACUCCCUAGCUCCUUGAGUUGACGAUGGAGAAAGUAUUUUAACCGCAACUUGAGUGCCAUCUUCCAAGUAGCCAUGGUAUACAAUCCCAAGUCCUCCUUUCCCAAUUUCAGUUUGAAAGUUUUCGGUGAUUUCUAAAACCUCGUCGUAAGUAAACUGGGACUUCAUUGAUGCUACUGGUGUGCUACAGGUGUUUUGUUAUGUUUUUCUCCAUCUGCAGCUUAAGGACAAAAAGUUAUGAGUGCAGGCUAACUGCAUAGGAAUACCACAACGCCAUAGUAGCAGCGCUGUUUCUAACUAAAUAAGUAUCAAGGGUAUAAAAUGGUACCUGGUUUUCUUAUUCUUCUCAGCUUCCAGACCAGUAAGAGCACUAUAACUUGAAGAAGGGCCAUUGUUGAAAGUAAUGAUCCAAGUAUUGUUCAAAGUAAUGAUCCAAGUAUUGGAACAACAAUGAUCUUCUUGUACUUGCUUGAAUCUGAGCUAAAAAGAACUUAUCAGCAGAUAGAAAAUAUAAAUCUGAAGGACGCAAUACCAUUCGCUUUCGUUAAAGAAAAUGCUAACCUAUUCAGCACUCUCCAUGAACGAAACUUGCACAAAGCAGUAGGACGAGGAAACCAGUUGAGAUCUUCAUCUCUCUGUCUCAUUGCAGCCUAUGAACUACCUGGUAUUUAAAAUGUGUGACAAUGUCCCGACCAAAAAAACAGAAAAACGUAUAUGACAGUGUGGAUUUGUAACCACAUGCCGCACAACUUGCAGAGUACAUACGUGAUCCUUAUUACAUGGGGAUGCUUAGUCUACGUCAAUCAAAACCUUCCCCAGAAAACUAAAUCCCUAAUAUCAGAAUUUCAAAAACCCUAACCCUUGGGAUCCUGCUGACAGCGCUGGGGCUGGGCUGACGGUGCUGGGGUGACGGCAGUGGGGUGAUGGCGGUGUGGCGACGAUGUUGCUCCAAGCGGUGGCGUGGCGACCAGACCGGUGUUCUGGGCUUCUGGGCUUCUGGCGCGCGAGAGAAGAAGAAGCAAGAAGGCAGAAGGCAGAAGGCAGAGGUAGACGAAGGCGAUCGAAUUCGAAGGUAUGGUAUGAAGACUGAAAAUCCUUACCCAAACGGCGUUGUUUUGGGUUUGGAUGGUUUUCAAAAAACAAAAAAAAGGGUAUGACAAGGCGCCUGGACGCCCUGAGGCGCGCCUCCGCCGCCUCGGCGUCUCCGGCGAAGCAUUUCGCCUACUCCAGAAAAACUGAGGCGUUUGCCUCACCGCCCAGCCUCAAAGGCGCCCUAGGCGCGCCUCGAGGCGAGUUCUUUAAAACAUUGCUUAGAACUUAUUCGAAUGCACAUUGGACGUUAUAACAUAUACAGAAUGACCACGGAUUCGUAAACAGUUGCAAAUGUACUUCUAUUUACUCAUAUUUAAGGACCAAAAAGCUUAAUUUCCACAAAAGUCUAAAGUGCUGUUCCAAAAAGAUUGUGAAAGCAAAGAAAUUAAUGUUCUUCCACGAGGCUAGAAAGUGUAUGACUUUGCAAACUAAAUGCAACUAAGACAAAAGAACAGAACCAAUCACGAAUUACUGUUUCGGGAAAGAAACCUACACUUGACUGUAUGAAAUGCGGGAAAUCUUGGGCCAGUCGAGCAGUUGCUUCUUUUAAUUUAGAACACAACAGUAAAAUUUGGACUGGCUUCCCUACUGUCGAUAGAUACUUCAGGUUCCCACAACGGUGAGCAGAUAGAUCAUCGACACAUGUAAGGUCCCAUCAUCACUCUGGUAAGACCCUUCUGAAUCAAGUGCCAUUGUUGAUAGUAAUGAUCCAAGUAUUGGAACAACAAUAUUCUUCUUGAGCUUGCUUGAAUCUGAUUUAAAAAUAACUUAUCAGCAGACAGAAAAUAUAAAUUCUGAAGGACGCAAUGCCAUUCGCUUUCGUUAAAGGAAAUGCUAACCUAUUGGGCACUCUCCAUGAACAAACUUGCAGAGAGCAGUAGGACGAGGAAACCAGUUGAGAUCUUCAUCUCUCUGUCUCAUUGCAGCCUAUGAACUACCAGGUAUUUAAAACACGUGACAAUGUCCCGACCAAAAAAACAGAAAAACGUAUGAGUGUGGACUUGUAACCUCAUGCUGCCUGCACAAUGAUCCUUAUUACAUGGGGAUGCUUAGUGUACGUCAAUCAAUGGAUAAUGCAAUGUUCAUACUAGAGCAAUUUGGUCAAGCCAACGUAUUUUCUAGUCAAAGCAUUUCAAACAAUGUUCCUGUUAGGGUUAUGUGCUGUGAUACAACUCGAAGUAUUGGACAAAAGUGAUUAAGUUGAGGACAAUAUAGAUACAUACUAGUAUGUAGCCUACACUGAUUCACUGCACAACAGAUCCCACACCCAUUUUUAGCCCACCAAGUUUUGAACAUGGGAUGAAUGAGAGUUUGUAGCUACCUAGCAUGGUGCAGUCAUGGAACCUGCAUUUGUGGAAUCUGAACAUCUGGAAAUCACUCUAGGUGUACUAUGGUAUGAUGAAAUCGUACAAAACCCAUGCUGCAGUCAUGGAACCUCCAUUUCCAAACGUUGUGUUAGUUGACACGACACAGCACAAAACCCAUGCUGCAGACCAAAAAAAAGUAAUCAUAAACCAACUGUUCUUACAUUUGUAUUCAUAACAUGAUAAAAAAUCAAAUAGAACAAGGAAAUUUGAACAUACUCUAGAUCAAGAGAACCCGCUGUGCCCAUGACUGAUGUCACCACACAAGUCCCAUUAUCACUGGAAAAAACCAUGGACAUACUGAAAUCUGCUAUUUCCACAUCCAAGUUUUCGUUGCGCUGGGAUUGCCUCCUCUCUUAAUGCAAUUCUCUUACUGGAUUCCCUUCUUAAAUAGGCUGAAAUACAAAUCCAAUUCAUCUGUGAUUAACGUAUUUUACAUAACUUGACGUGCUUUUAUUCGAGGAUGAAAGAUGGAAGAAAGAAGUUACAUAUUAACUAAACAGAUUACCUUCCAUAAAAUUGGUCUAAUAAAACUGUGUUAGUUUGGUGAACAGAUUACCCUGUACAAAAGUGUAUCUGCACCAUAACAAUCAAAUGGACCUAAGACAAGAGAACAGAACAAAUCGUUAAUGACUGUUUCGGGAAAGAAACCUACACUUGACUGUUGGAAAUGUGAGAAAGGUUGCAUUUUCUUUAAAUUUAGAACACCACAGAAAAAAUUGUACUGGCUUCCCCACUGCUGUAGAUGCUUCAGAUUCCCAACAGCUGUGAAAAGAUAGAUCGUCCACACACGAAAGGUUCUGUCAUCACUCUGGCAAGAGCCUUUUGAAUCAUCGAGUGACAAUGAUUCCGAUUCUGACUAAUAUCCCGUUUACUGCAGAAAACUAGAGUGAGUGAACAAUAUUGGACAAAAUAUACAUGAUAAUUGAUUGGAAAUAAAAAUAAGGGCUCAAAAAAUAAAAAUUACCUCGGAUAACUGGAAUGUGAGAAAUCUUUGGCCAUUCUGGGCCGUCCUUGGUGCAUCUUUCCUUGAGACGGGGACACCUUUGGAUCUCUAGCUUAUGUAAUUUGGUUAGGCAUUGCAUAGCUUCGACCGUAGGCAGAUACAUCAGAUUCUCACACCAGGAAAUUUCCAACUCUGUAAGAGAUGUAAGGUUGCCCAACCAUUCUGGAAGAGCCUCCACACCAUCGAAAGCAGAAAUGGACAAAGAUGUUAGAGAAGUAGAGUGUUGAAUUGGCCGAGGCAGAGACUUGAGCUUAGGCCACCUGUACAAUGCUAAUUCUUCCAGUUUCGAUGGGACCUGAAAAUCUGGGAAAGAAUCGAGCUCUUUGCAGAAUAAAUCGAGCUCCUUCCAGUUUUGGUGUGAUACAAGUCAGAGAGACAAUCCGAAGUAUUGGACAAAAGUGAUUAAGUCGAGGAAAUAUAGAUACAAACUAGUAUUUAGCGUACACUGAUUCACUGCACAACAGAUCCCACACCCAUUUUUAACCCACCAAGUUAUGAACAUGGUAUGAAUGAGAGAGUUUGUAGCUACCUAGCAUGGUGCUGUCAUGGAACCUGCAUUUGUGGAAUCUGAACAUCUGGAAAUCACUCUAGGUGAACUAUGGAAUGGUGAAAUCGUAACACAAGUUUCUUCAUUCAAGCCAGUUUCUUCAUUUGAGCCUUGAGUUCUUUCUGGAUGCCUGGACACCUUCAUUUCCAAACAUUGUGUUAGUUGACAUGACACAGCACAAAACCCAUGCUGCAGACCAAAAAAAGUAUUCAUAAACCACUCACUGUUCAUACAUUUGUAUUCAUAACAUGAUAAAAAAAAUCUAAUAGAACAAGGAAAUUUGAAAAUACUAUAGGUCAAGAUAACCCACUGUGCCCAUGACUGAUGUCACCACACGAGUCCCAUUAUCACUGGAAAAAACCAUGGACAUACUGAAAUCUGCUAUUUUCGCGUCCAAGUUUUCAUUGCUCUGGGAUUGCUCUCCUGUCUAACUGCAAUUCUCUUACUGGAUUCCCUUCUUAAGUGAGCUGAAAUACUAAACCAAUUUAUCUGUGAUUAACGUAUUCUAGAUAACUCGACAUGAUUUUAUUCAAGGAUGAAAGAUUGAAGAAAAAAGUUACAUAUUGACUAAACAGAUUACCUUCCACAAAAUUGGUCUCAUAAAACUGUGUUAGUUGAGAGAACCUGCACAGAGUGAGAAGAAACACAGCCUUCUACAAAAGUGUAUCUGCACCAUAACAACCAUGCACAACAAGCCUUAGAACAUAUUCGAAUGCACGUUGAAUGUCGUAAGUUAUACAGAAUGGCCACAGACUUGCAAACACUUGCAAUUUUACUUCUAAUUAGUAAUUACUAAAAGCUUAAUUUCCACAAAAGCCUAAAGUCCUACAACAACAACAACAACAACAAAGCCUUUUCCCACUAAGUGGGGUCGGCUAUAUGAAUCCUAGAACGCCAUUGCGCUCGGUUUUGUGUCAUGUCCUCCGUUAGAUCCAAGUACUCCAAGUCUUUUCUUAGAGUCUCUUCCAAAGUUUUCCUAGGUCUUCCUCUACCCCUUCGGCCCUGAACCUCUGUCCCGUAGUCACAUCUUCGAACUGGAGCGUCAGUCGGCCUUCUUUGCACAUGUCCAAAUCACCGGAGCCGAUUUUCUCUCAUCUUUCCUACAAUUCCGGCUACUCCUACUUUACCUCGGAUAUCCUCAUUCCCAAUCUUAUCCUUUCUCGUGUGCCCAUACAUCCCACGAAGCAUCCUCAUCUCCGCUACACCCAUUUUGUGUACGUGUUGAUGCUUCACCGCCCAACAUUCUGUGCCAUACAACAUCACUGGCCUUAUUGCCGUCCUAUAAAAUUUUCCCUUGAGCUUCAGUGGCCUACGACGGUCACACAACACGCCGGAUGCAUUCUUACACUUCAUCCAUCCAGCUCGUAUUCUAUGGUUGAGAUCUCCAUCUAAUUCUCCGUUCUCUUGCAAGAUAGAUCCUAGGUAGCGAAAACGGUCGCUUUUUGUGAUCUUCGCUAGAUUGCUCCGGUCAUUAGUGUGGAUAAGUAUAUAAAUGGAUAGAGAUAGGAAAGCAAACACAAGAUGUACGGGGUUCACCCAGAUUGGCUACGUCCACGGAAUAGAAGAGUUCUCAUUAAUUGUGAAGGGUUUACACAAGUACAUAGGUUCAAGCUCUCCUUUAGUGAGUACAAGUGAAUGAUUUAGUACAAAUGACAUUAGGAAAUAUUGUGGGAGAAUGAUCUCGUAAUCACGAAACUUCUAAGUAUCGGAGUGUGGUGUCGUCUUGACUUGCCUUAUCUGUCUCAUAGGUAGAUGUGGCAUCUUCUCUGGAAGUACUCUUCCUCUAUCCAAGGGUGGUAUCUUUAACUGGUGGAGAUGCACAAGGUAAUGUAUCAAUUUCACUUGAAGCUUACUUGUAGUUUCAGGCUUGGUCAAGCGCGAUACAAACCAUGUAGUACGAGUCCCCCAAGUCGCCGAGCUAGGGGGUCUGCUGAAAGAGGUGACAGACAAGGUAAGCAAUCAGAGCUCCGACUGAUUGUUCACCUUCUCCCCAUCUUGCAGCAGCAUGAAGGAUAAAGAGAAGAAAAAUGAGAAGAGAUGAUAUGAGAUACUUUUGCUUUUGAAGAAGUAACUUUCCACAGGCUUAUUCUUGAAUUGAGCUGGAGGGUUUUCUGGUUUCCUCCAGAGUAUAAGGCCGACUGAAGAAUUUGAGGGUCAAAACAAGUCCAUCAAAUCUAGAGUACAUUCCACCCUGCUGAUAUGGGAUGCUUUUGCUUUUGACAGAGUAAUGGAUGUAUCGGCACGUGUGCUGUUACGCUUGUCUCCACAUGCUUCCUUGUAUCCUUCGCACUUGCCCUAUCUGUUCCUCAAGUAGAUGCGGAAUCUUCCCUGGAAACAUAAGAUGUUGAAGAUGAGUACUCGAGAGCAAUGCCAGGUAAGUAAUCAGGUAAGGGGUUCCAGGCAGUCAGUUCCUGGCUGGAAGCUUGAUUCCAAGUGCUGACUGAUUGCUCUCUUUCUCCUUGUCUUGCAGGUAAAAACAAGGCCAAAGGAAAAGACAGGGAAAAAGCAUGAUAUGGGAUACUCUUGCUUUUAACCCUGAUGAUAUGAGAUAUUCUUGCUCUAGUAUAGCUUGUUUGCAUAGGUAUUAUCGGGGGGAAGGAAAGCUGAAUAUUUCGAAAGGCUUCGUUGGGAGUGCCCUCUCAGAUAUGAUGAAGGGUUGAGCAUUUUUGCAGGUCUGCCUGUCUGUUGGGGAUGGAGGUCGACAUAUAUAGGAGUCUCCCUAAGAAGUAGUAAUGUUAUUCCUUUACCCUGCUUGGUCAUAGCACGGUAGUGGGAGCGGCCAGUUUCACAUGUUUUAACUCUGUCAGAGCACUUUGAGAAAGUGGUCUGUGGUAUCUGGCUCUCGAGAUUCGGAGAACGAUGCCUCUUCGAUUUUUGAGAAAGCAAUCAUGCUAGGGGUCUGGCUCUCGAGAUUCGGAGAGCGGUGUCUCUUCGAUUUUUGAGAAAGUAAUCAUGUUGGGAGUUUGGCUCUCGAGAUUCGGAGGGCGGCGCCUCUUCGAUUUUGGAGCAAGCAAUCUUGUUGGGAGUGUUGUCUCGAAUGUGAGUAAAGGUUGGGCAUGUUUGUUAGUCUACCUUGCCACGAAGCACAAAGGUUGACACACAGGGAUUUUCCAAUUAUCCAGCAAUGGUACUGUUCCUUUACCCUCUCUUCGAUUUUGAGAAAGUAGUCAUGUUGGGAGUCUGGCUCUCGAGAUUCGGAGGACGGUGUCUCUUCGAUUUUGGAGCAAGCAAUCUUGUUGGGAGUGUUUUCUCGAAUGUGAGUAAAGGUUGGGCAUGUUUGCUAGUCUACCUUGCCACGAAGCACAUAGGUUGACAAACAGGGACUUUCCAAUUAUCCAGCAGUGGUACUGUUCCUUUAUCCUUGUGGGUAAUAAUAUGGUAAUAAUAUGGUAGCUAGACCUUCAAAAUUUAUGUGUCUAAACUUUGUUAGUGCUACUUCUUUGCUAUUCUUUUACCUUUCUUGGUCAGAGCGAUGUAGUGGGAGCUGCAAGCUUCACGUGCUCAACUUUGGCAGAGAACUUUGGCAAAGUUAUCUGUGGUACCCAUGAGCUAUUGUUGCGUGUGGGAAGUGGGUGAUUGAACAGUAAGAUUCAUGUGCUUUCUACUUCACCAGAAGUCUUCGACAGAAUGCCCAUAAUUUCUGCAAAGCUGAGUGUGCGUGUGACAGGUGCUGACAAGGCUAGAAAAGUAGGUGCCUCUUCGAUUUCUGAGAUCGGCCCUCGUGGUCUCUAAGCAGCCCAGCUUUUGAGAAAGCGAGCGCCUCUUCGAUUGAUUCGGAGAACGAUGCCUCAUCGAUUUUUGAGAAAGCAAUCAUGCUGGGGGUCUGGCUCUCGAAGAUUCGGGGAGCAGUGUCUCUUCGAUUUUUGAGAAAGUAAUCAUGUUGGGAGUCUGGCUCUCGAGAUUCGGAGGGCGGUGCCUCUUCGAUUUUGGAGCAAGCAAUCUUGUUGAGAGUGUUUUCUCGAAUGUGAGUAAAGGUUGGGCAUGUUUGCUAGUCUACCUUGCCACGAAGCACAGAGGUUGACACACAGGGACUUUCCAAUUAUCCAGCAGUGGUACUAUUCUUUUACCCUCUCUUCGAUUUUUAAGAAAGUAGUCAUGUUGGGAGUCUGGCUCUCGAGAUUCGGAGGACGGUGCCUCUUCGAUUUUGGAGCAAGCAAUCUUAUUGGGAGUGUUUUCUCGAAUGUGAGUAAAGGUUGGGCAUGUUUGCUAGUCUACUUUGCCACGAAGCACAGAGGUUGACACACAGGGACUUUCCAAUUAUCCAGCAGUGGUACUAUUCCUUGACCCUUGUGGGUAAUAAUAUGGUAGCUAGACCUUCAAAAUUUAUGGGUCUAAACUUUGUUAGUGCUGUUUCUUUGCUAUUCUUUUGCCUUUCUUGGUCAGAGCGAUGUAGUGGGAGCUGCAAGCUUCACGUGCUCUACUUUGGCAGAGAACUUUGGCAAAGUUAUCUGUGGUACCCAUGAGCUAUUGUUGCGUGUGGGAAGUGGGUGAUUGAACAGUAAGAUUCAUGUGCUUUCUACUUCACCAGAAGUCUUCGACAGAAUGCCCAUAAUUUCUGCAAAGCUGAGUGUGCGUGUGACAGGUGCUGACAAGGCUAGAAAAGUAGGUGCCUCUUCGAUUUCUGAGAUCGGCCCUCAUGGUCUCUAAGCAGCCCAGCUUUUGAGAAAGCGAGCGCCUCUUCGAUUGAUUCGGAGAACGAUGCCUCAUCGAUUUUUGAGAAAGCAAUCAUGCUAGGGGUCUGGCUCUCGAAGAUUCGGGGAGCAGUGUCUCUUCGAUUUUUGAGAAAGUAAUCAUGUUGGGAGUCUGGCUCUCGAGAUUCGGAGGGCGGUGCCUCUUCGAUUUUGGAGCAAGCAAUCUUGUUGAGAGUGUUUUCUCGAAUGUGAGUAAAGGUUGGGCAUGUUUGCUAGUCUACCUUGCCACGAAGCACAGAGGUUGACACACAGGGACUUUCCAAUUAUCCAGCAAUGGUACUGUUCCUUUACCCUCUCUUCGAUUUUUAAGAAAGUAGUCAUGUUGGGAGUCUGGCUCUCGAGAUUCGGAGGACGGUGCCUCUUCGAUUUUGGAGCAAGCAAUUUUAUUGGGAGUGUUUUCUCGAAUGUGAGUAAAGGUUGGGCAUGUUUGCUAGUCUACCUUGCCACGAAGCACAAAGGUUGACACACAGGGACUUUCCAAUUAUCCAGCAGUGGUACUAUUCCUUUACCCUUGUGGGUAAUAAUAUGGUAGCUAGACCUUCAAAAUUUAUGGGUCUAAACUUUGUUAGUGCUGUUUCUUUGCUAUUCUUUUACCCUUCUUGGUCAGAGCGAUGUAGUGGGAGCUGCAAGCUUCACGUGCUCAACUUUGGCAGAGAACUUUGGCAAAGUUAUCUGUGGUACCCAUGAGCUAUUGUUGCGUGUGGGAAGUGGGUGAUUGAACAGUAAGAUUCAUGUGUUUUCUACUUCCCCAGAAGUCUUCGACAGAAUGCCCAUAAUUUCCGCAAAGCUGAGUGUGCGUGUGAUAGGUGCUGACAAGGUUGGAAAAGUAGGUGCCUCUUCGAUUUCUGAGAUCGGCCCUCGUGGUCUCUGGGGAGCCCAGCUUUUGAGAAAGCGAGCGCCUCUUCGAUUUCUGAGAUCAGCCUUCGAGGUCUUUGAGCAGCCCAACUUUUGAGAAAGCAAACGCUUAUUCGAUUUCUGAGAUCAACCCUCGUGAUCUCUAAGCAGCCCAGCUUUUGAGAAAGCAAACGCCUCUUCGAUUUCUGAGCAGGCGCCUCUUCGAUUUCUGAAGCUCCGUCGAGUGCAGAUUUUUAUAGGGGCUGGCAUUAAGUUCCAAAGCACACUUGAAUCUCCACCAGUAGAAGCUUCAUUCUUGCACUUCUAAGAUCUUGAUUUGUCCGACCUCUUCUCUCUUCAACACCUUUGAAAAUGUCUGGCCCCUCCGACCGUCAUUUUGACUUGAACCUUGUUCAAGAGGCAGCCCCGCCUUCUCCAGACAACAUAUGGCGCCCAUCCUUCGUCUCCCCUACUGGUCCUCUUACCGUUGGGGAUUCCGUGAUGAAGAAUGAUGACCGCUGCGGUGGUGGCCAGGAACCUUCUCACUCCCAAAGAUAACAGACUACUUUCCAAACGGUCUGAUGAGUUAGCUGUUAAGGAUUCGCUGGCUCUCAGUGUUCAGUGUGCAGGUUAUGUGUCUAAUAUGGCCCAACGCCUAUUUGCUCGAACCCGCCAAGUUGAAUCAUUGGCGGCUGAAGUGAUGAGUCUCAAACAGGAGAUUAGAGGGCUCAAGCAUGAGAAUAAACAGUUGCACCGGCUCGCACAUGACUAUGCUACAAACAUGAAGAGGAAGCUUGACCAGAUGAAGGAAACUGAUGGUCAGGUUUUACUUGAUCAUCAGAGAUUUGUGGGUUUGUUCCAAAGGCAUUUAUUGCCUUCGUCUUCUGGGGCUGUACCGCGUAAUGAAGCUCCAAAUGAUCAACCUCUGAUGCCUCCUCCUUCUAGGGUUCUGUCCAGUACUGAGGCUCCAAAUGAUCCCCAUCCGGUGCCUGCUCUUUCUGGGGCUCUACCGACUGCUGAGACUUCUCCUAAGCAACCUUUGUGAAAGCUCCCUCUUGUGUGUUUAUUUUGACUCAUGUAUAUGUACAUAUUUAUAGUUUAUCGGAGAUAUCAAUAAAUAAGCUUUCCUUCAUUUCAACGUAUUGUGUUAAAUACACCAAAGCCUUCUUCGCUAAGUUCUUUGAAUUUUCUUUUGUUGAAGCUUGUAUGUUGAAGCUUUCUGAGUGGAGCAUGUAGGUUGGGGUAGUGUUCCCUUAAUUUUCCGAGUGAGGAAAACUUCUCGGUUGGAGACUUGGAAAAUCCAAGUCACUGAGUGGGAUCGGCUAUAUGAAUCUUAGAACGCCAUUGUGUUGGAUCCUGUGUCAUGUCCUUCGUUAGAUCCAAGUACUCUAAGUCUUUUCUUAGAGUCUCUUCCAAAGUUUUCCUAGGUCUUCCUCUACCCCUUCGGCCCUGAACCUCUGUCCCAUAGUCGCAUCUUCUAAUCGGAGCAUCAGUAGGCCUUCUGUGCACAUGUCCAAACCACCGUAACCGAUUUUCUCUCAUCUUUCCUUCAAUUUCGGCUACUCCUACUUUACCCCGGAUAUCCUCAUUCCUAAUCUUAUCCUUUCUCGUGUGCCCACACAUCCAACGAAGCAUCCUCAUCUCCGCUACACCCAUUUUGUGUACGUGUUGAUGUUUCACCGCCCAACAUUCUGUGCCAUACAGCAUCGCCGGCCUUAUUGUCGUCCUAUAAAAUUUUCCCUUGAGCUUCAGUGGCAUACGGCGGUCACAUAACACGCCGGAUGCACUCUUCCACUUCAUCCAUCCAGCUUGUAUUCUAUGGUUGAGAUCUCCAUCUAAUUCUCUGUUCUUUUGCAAGAUAGAUCCUAGGUAACGAAAACGGUCGCUCUUUGGUAUUUCUUGAUCUCCGAUCCUCACCCCUAACUCGUUUUGGCCUCCAUUUGCACUGAACUUGCACUCCAUAUAUUCUGUCUUUGAUCGGCUUAGGCGAAGACCUUUAGAUUCCAACACUUCUCUCCAAAGGUUAAGCUUUGCAUUUACCCCUUCCUGAGUUUCAUCUAUCAACACUAUAUCGUCUGCGAACAGCAUACACCAAGGAAUAUCAUCUUGAAUAUGUCCUGUUAACUCAUCCAUUACCAACGCAAAAAGGUAAGGACUUAAGGAUGAGCCUUGAUGUAAUCCUACAGUUAUGGGAAAGCUUUCGGUUUGUCCUUCAUGAGUUCUUACGGCAGUCUUUGCUCCUUCAUACAUAUCCUUUAUAGCUUGGAUAUAUGCUACUCGUACUCCUUUCUUCUCUAAAAUCCUCCAAAUAAUGUCUCUUGGGACCCUAUCAUACGCUUUUUCCAAAUCUAUAAAGACCAUGUGUAAAUCCUUUUUCCCAUCUCUAUAUCUUUCCAUCAAUCUUCGUAAGAGAUAGAUUGCCUCCAUGGUUGAGCGCCCUGGCAUGAACCCGAAUUGGUUGUCCGAAAUCCGUGUCUCUUGCCUCAAUCUAUGCUCAAUGACUCUCUCCCAGAGCUUCAUUGUAUGACUCAUUAGCUUAAUACCCUUAUAGUUCAUGCAAUUUUGUACGUCGCCCUUAUUCUUGUAGAUAGGCACCAAAGUGCUCGUUCGCCACUCAUUUGACAUCUUCUUCGUUUUCAAAAUCCUAUUGAAAAGGUCAGUGAGCCAUGUUAUACCUGUCUCUCCCAAAAGUUUCCACACUUCGAUUGGUAUAUCGUCUGGGCCUAUUGUUUUUUUAUGCUUCAUCUUCUUCAAAGCUACAACCACUUCUUCCUUCCGGAUUCGACGAUAAAAAGAGUAGUUUCUACACUCUUCUGAGUUACUCAACUCCCCUAAAGAAGCACUCAUUUCAUGUCCUUCAUUGAAGAGAUUAUGAAAAUAACCUCUCCAUCUGUCUUUAACCGCGUUCUCUGUAGCAAGAACCUUUCCAUCCUCAUCCUUGAUGCACCUCACUUGGUUUAGGUCCCUUGUCUUCUUUUCCCUUGCUCUAGAUAGUUUAUAGAUAUCCAACUCUCCUUCUUUGGUAUCUAGUCGUUUAUACAUAUCGUCGUAAGCCGCUAACUUAGCUUCUCUGACAGCUUUCUUCGCCUCUUGCUUCGCUUUUCUAUACCUUUCACCAUUUUCAUCGGUCAUCUCCUUGUAUAAGGCUUUACAACAUUCCUUCUUAGCCUUCACCUUUGUUUGUACCUCCUCAUUCCACCACCAAGAUUCCUUUUGGUGUGGGGCAAAGCCCUUGGACUCUCCUAAUACCUCUUUUGCUACUUUUCGGAUACAACUAGCCAUGGAAUCCCACAUUUGGCUAGCUUCCCCCUCUCUAUCCCACACACAUUGGGUGAUUACCUUCUCUUUGAAAAAUGGCUUGUUUUUCUUCUUUUAGAUUCCACCAUCUAGUCCUUGGGCACUUCCAAGUCUUGUUCUUUUGUCUUACUCUUUUGAUAUGUACAUCCAUCACCAACAAGCGAUGUUGAUUAGCCACGCUCUCUCCUGGUAUAACUUUGCAAUCCUUACAAGUUAUACGAUCCCCUUUCCUCAUUAGAAGAAAAUCUAUUUGUGUUUUUGACGACCCACUCUUGUAGGUGAUCACAUGUUCUUCUCUCUUCUUAAAGAAGGUGUUGGCUAAGAAGAGAUCAUAUGCCAUUGCAAAAUCCAAGAUAGCUUCCCCAUCCUCGUUUCUCUCCCCAAAACCAUGGCCACCAUGAAAACCUCCAUAGUUGCCUGUCUCCCUGCCCACGUGUCCAUUUAAAUCUCCUCCUAUAAAUAACUUCUCCGUCUGAGCAAUUCCUUGCACCAAGUCUCCAAGAUCUUCCCAAAAUUUCUCCUUCGAACUCGUAUCCAACCCUACUUGAGGUGCGUACGCACUAAUCACAUUGAUAAGUUCUUGUCCUAUUACAAUCUUGAUUGCCAUGAUUCUAUCUCCUACCCUCUUGACAUCUACAACAUCUUGUACCAAGGUCUUGUCCACGAUGAUGCCAACACCGUUUCUCGUUCUAUUUGUGCCCGAAUACCAAAGUUUAAACCCUGAGUUUUCUAGAUCCUUUGCCUUACUACCAACCCACUUAGUUUCUUGUAGGCACAUAAUAUUUAUCCUUCUCCUCACCAUCCUUACUACCAACCCACUUAGUUUCUUGUAGGCACAUAAUAUUUAUCCUUCUCCUCACCAUAACUUCCACUACUUCCAUAGAUUUUCCCGUUAAGGUUCCUAUAUUCCACGUUCCUAAACGCAUUUUGCUCUCUUGAACUCUACCCUUCUGUCCUAGCUUCUUCAGGGUCUGGGAGAGGUGAAUGUCGGCUAGCCUUACCCCCAUUUUAUGGAGAGCCUGCUCCCAAGUCUCGAACCCGAGACCUACCGCUCAUGGGCGAAGGCACUUGCCAUCGCACCAAGUGCGACCAGAGUGAGUAAACAAUAUUGAACCAAAUACACAUGAAUAAUUGAUUGGAGAUAAAAAUAAAAAUUACCUCUGAUAUCUGGAAUAUGAUAAAUCUUUGGCCAUUCUGGGCCACUGUUCUUGGCGCAUCUUUCUGCCAGACGUUGGUGAUUGGUAUUUAGUCUUUGGUUACUAUUAUCUUUAGUAAAUGGAGUAGACUUGUACUUGAAAGUUGAUGACCAAAUUGACAACUGCCUCCUCUUCAUUUGGCUGCAAUGAAAUCCUAACUAGCUACCCAGCAAAUGGUGUUGUCAUGGAACCUGCAUUUGUGGAAUAUGAACAUCUGGAAUUCACUCAAGGUGAAUUAUGGUAUGGUGAAAUCGUAACAUGAGUUUCUUCAUUUGAGCCUGGAGUUCCUUCUCGAUGCCUAGACACCUCCAUUUCCAGAAAUUGUGUUAGUUGGCACAUCACAAAACUCAUGGUGGCUCUAUGUUGGGAGGUAUGCAAAGCUGCCUCUGAUGCUUUCCAGACCGAAUUCACAUUGAACUCUCCUCGAAGCCCUUGAUCCAAAAUAGUUGUUCAAUUCCCGUUCUGGAACUCAAGAUUCACCUACUCCACUAUGUGGACAAGAUCAUCAUUUUCUAUGAUUGCAGGUUGGCUAGUAAAACCCUAAACAUCAAUUUUUUUUUUCCUUCAACCUUGCUAAUUAUAGUAUCUGCAGACCAAAUAAAGUAAUCAUAGAUCACUCACUGCUCAUAGAAUUCACAUUGAACUCUCCUCGAAGCCUUUGAUCCUAAAUAGUUGUUCAAUUCCCGUUCUGGAACUCAAGAUUCACCCGCUCCACUAUGUGGACAAGAUCAUCAUUUUCUAUGAUUGCAGGUUGGCCAGUAAAACCCUAAACAUCAAUUUUUUUUUCCUUCAACCUUGCUAAUUAUAGUAUCUGCAGACCAAAUAAAGUAAUCAAAGAUCACUCACUGCUCAUAGAUUUUUUUUUUUUUUUAACAUGAUCAAAAUUCUAAGAACAGUAGAACACGAAAUCUGAACAUGCUCGGAAUCAAGAUACCUUGCUGUGCCCAUGAACGAUGCCACCAGAGUCUCAUUGUCACUGGGAAAAACCAUGGACAGACCAAAAUCUGCUAUUUUGCAUCCAAGUUUUAAUUCAGGAGAAUGUUGGCAGUCUUUACAUCUCUAUGCACAAUACUGGAUUGUGAAUAUAUAGUAGCACAAAAAAUAACACUAAGCACCUAUCUAACGCAAUAUCUAAUGCCAUCCAAAGUCUCAUUUCCCAAGUUUAUGUGAGCUCCUAUCUGCUUCUGCAACCAUUAACGUGACACUUCAAUAUUUUGAAACCCUCUGUUGGAGGACAAUGCUAUGUAAAAUAUAGAAUUACAUACCUGAUCAGAGAUAUUCUUUUAGGUUUUCAUUAGGCAUGUACUUGUAUAUAAGUGCCAACUUGUCAGUAUCACACAGUAUCCAAUAAACGAGGCCAAGUUUCUAUGAUGGAUUCUCAUCGGGAGCUCAACCUGCAGCCACAAGGAACUCAUCAAUCUCUAACCAAAGAGACAAGGCAUUUAACUUGCAUCCAAGGAAUUAAAUUCAAACUGUCAAACCUCUGUUUGGAACUCCCUAGCUGAGCUAGCUCCUUGAGAUGACGAUGUAGAACCACAACUUGAGUGCCAUAUUUCAACUAGCCAUGGUAUACAAUCCCAAAUCCUCCUUUCCCGAUUUCCGUUUUAAAGAUUUCGGUGAUUUCUAAAACCUCGUCAUAAGUGAACUAGGACUUCUGAUGCUACAGGAGUUUUGUUACGUGUUUCUCCAUCUGCAGCUCAAGUAGACAAAAAGAUAUGAGUUCAGACUAACUGGUUAGGAAUACCACUACACCAUAGUAGGAGCGCCGGUUCUAAUUGAAUUAAGUAUCAAAAAGAUAUGAGUUCAGACUAACUGGUUAGGAAUACCACAACACCAUUUGCUUUGGUUAAAGAAAAUGCUAACCUAUUCGGUGCUCUCCAUGAAUGAAACUUGCACAGAGCAGUAGGACAAGGAAAUCAAUUGAGAUCAUCUUCUCUCUUUGUCUCACUGCAGCCUAUGAACUACCUGGUAUUUAUUAUGCGUGACAAUGUUCUGACCAAAAAAGCAGAAAAACGUAUAUGACAGUGUGGAUUUGUACCUUAUGCUGCACAACUUUACAUGAAAUCAUUCUAGGUGAAAUCGUAAUAUGAGUUUCUUCAUUUUAGACUGGAGUUCUUUGUUGAUGCGUAGACACCUCUAUUCCAUACAUUGUGUUAGUUGGCACAGCACAAAACCCAUGGUGGCUCUAUGUUGGCAGGUGAUAGUUGUGCAUGCCAUUGCUG